UUGCCUCGCAAGUUGAGCAAAUUGAGGUUUGGGAAAUCAAAAAUGUUUUUUGGGAAUUUUCCUUGCAAAUCACAACUAUCAAGACUGAGAGACCUUAGAGAAGAUGAUAGAUUCAUGAAGACAUGAGGAUUAAUAGAAAACAUGUCGAUUCCAUCCAAGAAAAGAUGUCUUAGCUCGGUUAGGUUGUGAACAAGUCCCUCCAGAGCAUAUUUGUCAAUUGUUAAUUGUUCAUCAAUCCAAGAGAGAUCAAGCGAGACCAAUUUUGACAGGUGGGAGACCUGCGAUGGGACUACUCCUACAAACCCUGUAUGAGAAAGGUUGAGGUAGUGUAGGCCUGUAAAUCGACCAAACUCAGAUGGAAUUUUGGAAUGAUUAAAAUUAUUGAAGGCAAGAUUGAGUUUUUGAAGGUGAGGAAGAAGGAAGAGACUGGUAUUGGAAGGGAAGUUGCCAAAAAGCCAACUGCAGCUCAAGUCAAGGGUGUUGGAAUUUUCGAUUAACAGCAAGGAACAAAACAAAGUUUUUUGUGUUUGAAAAAUGAAAAACAGAAGCAAAAACAAAAGCUUGAUGAUGAAGAGCAAAACUUAACUUCAUUACUUAAAAUUGAGUAAAAACAAAUACAUAAGUAGUUCAAAAAUUACAUUGAAAGAAAACAAAGCUUGCUUGUGCAAGUAUCUAAGCUAUUACAUCAGCUUAAUGACAACCUAAGUCACUACCAAAUCAGCUAAGCACACAAUUAAACCUUAGCUGAUCAAAUAAAAAUGAUUACAACAUAAGCUAGCAAAAAGUCAACUGUGCAAAAACUCUACAGUCGAAUUACACCAUGGAUAUUAGCAUGCUUCAGCUGUGUUCCUGGUUACUUGCAUGCUGCAGCUCUGUUGCAUGGUUUCUUGCAUGUUGCUGCUGUGUUGCCACCUUUGAACAAAGGGCAAUAACAUGAGCAUUAAGGUGAUCACAACUGACCCCAUCCCAUGAGCAGCAAUCUGUACCCUCCUUCCAUGAAUUUGUCUUGGGAUAAGAUUUAAGGCCAGCAAUCUCAUCGCAAUACAAAGCAGGAAGCAUUGUCUGAGUGAUGGAAAAAGAAUUCUUUAACUGGAUAGGGAAGCAGCUUCAGGGUGAGAGCAGGAGUGAGAUCCUGAAGAAGAAGCAUAAAGAUGGGGAAAGAAGAGAAAUAGGCAGAGAAAGAGUAUAAGGAGGCCAUGUUAUGUUUUUAGAGUAAGAUGAUGGAGAAUGAUAUUUAUAGGCAACAACAACAGCAGUUGAAAAGUGAAACAAAUUAUAAUAUCCAAUACUAAACAAAAGAUUUGUUUAAAUAAUUUUAGAUGUAUAUUUUCAUAUUUUAAAUAAUUUAUUUAUCAUUUAAAUAGUAAUCUGUGAUUUUAUAAUAGAAUAUGCGUUAAAGGAUUCUGGAAAGUUAAGGAUCUGCACGCACACAGACAUGUUGUGAAGAUUAGGUGAAAUACUAGCUGUCCGGUUGUCUUUUUAUGUGUUUUUGACCUUCAUUUAAAUAUAAAAAAUGUCUUUGUUUUUCUGUUGGUAAUGAACAGGAGCCAAAUGUUGAAGGGGCUGGAACUUGUCUUGUAUUGCUUGCCUGCAGAUUUUGGUAUGUUUGAAAUGUAUGGAAAUGUGCCAAGUGGAACUAUUUUGGGGCUUAUCACUACCUCUGUCACACAACAGAACACAAAAUAAAAUAAUCAAAUCAGAUCUUUGAAUAUUGAAAUACCAAAAGUUAAAAGAGUACAUGCACUAAAAUACAGUAGAAUAAAAUAGAAAUAUUUUUUUUUAGAUUGUAAAUAAGUAUAUAUUAUUGUUGUAAAAUAUAGUCGAAAAUAUUUUUUUGAUAAAAUUGGAAUAAACACAUUGUGGAUGAAAAUUUUUAAUACAAUACAAAUUGAUCAUUAACAAAUUAAAUGACGAUUUACAUGAGAAAAAUUUAAAAUAAAAAAAAUAUCGGUGUUGUUUGCCCAAAUGUGUGCCACAACCCAGUGGGUGUUAGUUACGAGUAGGAUUUCAUCGUAGUUAGGGUUCUAGCUCUUUCUUUUCUUCACCUCCACCUCCAAUUGAUCUCCAUCUUCAUUUCGUUCCUUCGUGCUAGUAUGGAUUAAAUUCUUGCAAUACAGGGGAGAGAAACCUAGUUUUCCCGUAAGCUUAUUAUCAAAAAAGUUGAACAAUUUCAAGUUCCAGCAAAUGGAAAGGGGCUUAGCGAUCUUACUCACACUAGACUUAGCACCUAGGUGGUUUGGCUAAUAGUGGGCUAAGAAAUCUUGAAUGGCGAUAUGAGUUGGGGUUUCCGAGGAAUACAAAUAACCUCUGGAUUUUUUUUUCCAAAUUUGACGAGCAUCUAGAAUAACUAGUGAAUUACAAUUCUAUUGUACGACAAUUGGUGCAUUGGUCUUUGCGGACUUAAUGUGUUUUGCUUGUUGGUUCUAUUAUCACAAAGCGAACCCAAAAUUGGCUUGGUUCCAAGAUGUAGAAUUUAUGUUAGAAUCACCAUUUAGCAAGGUUACCGGGGCUUAUUUCCCUUUCUUGGGCAGGGCAUCAAGUACAUGUCUCUUUACCAAUAAAAUAAUUUUUAAAUGCUUUAGUAGACUCUAAAGAGAUCCCACUUCCCCAUGAAUUUAUAUUGAAUCAUGAUCUUUUGGCUCAACUUUAUCCUAGUUUUGAUGAGGGAACAACCCCAUUUUUUUCCUUGAAUUGGUCAAAAUAUGCAAAAUUAUUUCUUACUUUUCGUGGAUGAUUAAAUCCAAUGAUUGGGGGUCCAUGGUUGACUGGUAUUGCACACCAUCAUUUAGCUAUUACAAUUCUUUUCCUAAUAGUACGUCACAUGUAUAAGACCAAUUGGGGCAAUGGGCAUAGCCUAAAAGAUAUUUUAGAGGCUCAUAAAAGUCCAUUCAUAGGCCAAGGACAUAAAGAACUAUAUGAAAUCGUAACAACACCAUGGCAUGCUCAAUGAUCUCUUAACUUAGUUAUGUUAGGCUCUUUAACCAUUGUUGUAGCUCACCUUACGUAUUCCAUGCCCCCUUAUCCAUAUCUAACUAUUGACUACGGUACACAACUAUCAUUGUUCACACAUCACAUGUGGAUUGGUGGAUUUCUGAUAAUGGGUGUUGUAUGGUAAAAAUUAGUUGUAUUCAUUCUUCACAUAGUUGAUCUUUUGUUGUGGAAGUAUUGUAUUUCUGGUAAUCCAAUAAGUAUUCAGUUUUUGGUACAAUUGAUUUGCAUUUUAUUAUUGUAUUUUGUGGAAGGAUCCUUUUUCUAUUUUGUUUUUUGCAUUUCUGUUAAGUUUACAUUUUUCAGCAAUUAAUUUAUGUAGUUUUAGCCAAACUAUGUAGCGUUUCACUUUUGGUAAAAUUCCAUCCUUGGUCCCUUUAAACUCCUUUUUGCUUUAAUUUGAUUGCUUUCUAGCUUUGCAAAUUACAUAACACUCUUCAAAUGUCUAAUUAAAUUCUCACUUUUACGAGUGCUAUGUUAAUCAAUUUUAAGUUCCAUAUAACACUUACAUGGCUACAAAAUGUGUGUGUGUGUGUGUAAGUGUCCUCAACCACAAACAAUCCAAAUUUGCUGAGAAACCACCCACUGUACAUAGGUUUGCCAAUGAGAUGGCAAGCAGACUGCUAGCUAGAAAUUCAUGCAUCUUUGAAUCAUCAAUUCAAUUAAUAAGCUUAACUAGAGGAAAUAAGGACUUUACACCACCAAUUAAAGCAACCUAUAUGUACCCUUUUACAGUCUGCAUUGUUCCAUGUUUCCAUUCAUUACAUCAUUCCUUCAACUCUGCUAUAUAUUAUUACCGUCUCCAUAUAACCAAACCUUUUACUGCUAACUUGUAAAGAAAUUAUGAAAAUACAACAGAUAUGAUUGAGACAUUUUGUUCUCCUUUCUCCUUUACUGAGCAGUAGCAAAGAUUAUGGAGACUAAAUUGAAAAUCAUGAAAGAAGACAUAAACAACACCACCAUACAAAAUGUUCCACUCAAACAAACCAUUACAGAUAGUACGAAAUCCAAUGAAAGACAGAGGAAUUGGUACAAUAAUAAAGACAGACACAUACCAAUGCAACCCUUCACCAUAGGCAAAACGGUCUACAGAACAAGAAAUUAUGAAAAUACAACACUAAUUCUUAAACAUCAUUUGCAGUAAUUAGAUCCUUCUUCGUCUAUUGCUUCGAUUGCCUUUCUUUGACUUUCUUCUUCGCCUCUUCUCUUGUUGGUUUUCAACCAAAUUCACCAACCAUUUCGGCUUACCAGUUUGGAAAACAACAUAUCCCACGGACAUUCCGAACACCACUCCGCAUCCAUAGCCUAUCAACACCACUUUCCAACCAAAAGCGAUGUUUGAUUUUGAGCCAUCAUUUUCAAGCACAUUUGGAGGUGCUGGCUCAAUGAUGUUGCAACCUUUCGAGACCGGAAAUCCACAUAGUCCCUUAUUUCCAUCAUAUGAAUCAUUUCCAAAUGUGUUGAACUGUUUGCCUUGAGGAAUCUGACCAUGGAGUUGAUUUUCAGAAACAUUGAAGGACGAAAGAAAUGGCAGAUCUGCCAAUCUAUUUGGAAUCGUCCCAGACAACCUGUUUGAAGAUAGGUCCAGCCAUUCAAGACUUGUCAAAUUCCCUAUUGAGGUGGGGAUACCUCCAUUAAGGUUAUUAUGAGAAAGGUUGAGCCCUUUCAGUAAGUUAAGCUUCCCAAAAACCUCUGGAAUACCCCCUUCAAACUGAUUGUCUGAUAGAUCAAUGAUCAUCCACAUGGUGAAAAUUUUCACCAAUUCCAUAUAUUGCCCUUUCAUAACAAUUCCAAUGGAAUAGGUAUAGAAGCCACUACCUCUCUGAACAUACACCCCCAUGUACGACAUUGUACUCCCAAUCUUCUCUAGAUUUAUCAUAGCCUUGAAGCUGUUGAUGUAUCUCACUGGUAGGGCUCCAGAAAAAUGAUUACUUGAGAGGUCAAAAAUUUGGAUUUUAGAGAAAAAAGGGUUAGACUUGGAGCUAUUGACACGCAAGGAACCAUGCAUAUGAUUUGACUUCAAUACAAGAACUUGCAAAAAUGGAAGACUGCCCAACCAAUGAGGAAAUGUAUCAUUGAUCUUGUUGUUACCAAGAUCUAGCACUUCCAGACCUCUACAAUUAAGGAUGGAUGGUAUCAAUGGCCCUUCUAACAGAUUUCCAUUUAAGUUGAAAUUAGUCAAUCGGCAUCCCAGUGCAAAUUUUGGAGGAAUCGUCCCAUAGAACUUGUUCUUCUUCAGAUUCAAGAAUUCAAGGCUGUUGCUCAAAUUUCCAAAACAUCGCGGAAUUGUUCCACUCAAGUUAUUGUGGGACAAAUCAAGAACUCGAAGAGAAGUGGCAUUGCAGAUUAAAGAAGAGACCUCUCCAUUGAAACUAUUAUUUGAGAUCAAAAAGAAAUUGAUGGUCGAAGCUGGAAUCGGAAGAUUUCCGCUGAUCAAAUUGGAGCUUAAGUCAAGAACUUCAAUAUUCUUCCAUAGAAAGUGCUCAACUUCUGUCAAAGAGUUGUGAGAUACGUUUAAGUAAGUCAAAGAGCCAUUCCCCACCUCUUGCAUCCACUGUGGAAUCUUGCCUUCAAUUUUGUUGCAAGAGAGGUCUAAGCUUUCCAAACUUUUAAGCCCUUUUAAAAAUUGGGGGAAUUCACUAAGAUUGCAAGAUGACAAAAGUAAGUCUGUAACAUUAGGCAAUAUAUGAUUAACACUAGAUGUAGUAUUAGAUGUUAAGGAUAGGCUGUUAUAUGAAAGGUCGAGAUGUUUUAGAUUUGGAAGGUUUGAGAACAUGCGAAACUCUAUGACACCACUAAGAUUAUUUGAGGAUAAAAGGAGCCAGGUAAGAUUGAGAAGUUGGAAUAUUGAAGAUGGAAGGGGACCUUGGAGUUUAUUAUUUUCUAGAUCUAAAUAUUCUAGUGAUUUGGUUUGGAAUUCUUUGAUAUGCCCACUGAAUUGAUUUUGAGAGAGAAUUAUACCCUUUAAGGAGGGAGCAGUAUACAACCAUGACGGAAGUGUUCCAUUGAGUAAAUUGUCAUAUAAGACUAAAUAUAUUAGAUUCGGAACAGCGGUUACCUCAUCUGGAAUAGAACCUUCUAAAGAAUUUUCAGAUAUUUCCAAGUAUUCCAACUGCGUUAGGUUUAGAAUUGACAAUGGAAUUUGUCCACUCAAUUUAUUUGAUCCCAAGUCUAAAUGAGUGAGUUGCAAGAGGUUUCCAAGUGAUCUUGGAACCGGUCCUGAUAAGUUGGAAUAGGAGAGAUCUAAAAACUUCAAGGACACAAGAUUCCCCAUCGAGUCAGGCAAUCCUCCAAAAAAAUUUGCGCCUCUAAGAAUCAAGUACUCCAAAGAUGAUAAAUUUGUGAUUGAGACAGACAAUCCUUGAAAGAAAGAAAUUCCUGAUAGAUCUAAGUACUUUAAGGCCCGUAGAUUAUCAACCGAAUCAAUGAAUUCUGUAGAGAAGGACAUCCUCGACAGAUCCAAAUGUUCGAGAUUGCUGCUCCGGUUCAACUUCAAAGGAUCAAGAUUGAGGUUUUGGUUGCCUCCCAAGUUGAGGAGAUUGAGGUUUGGCAAAUCAAAAAUGUUUUUUGGGAAUUUUCCUUGCAAAUCACAACCAGCAAGACUGAGAGACCUUAGAGAAGAGGAUAGAUUCAUGAAGACAUGAGCAUUAACAUAAGACAUGUCCAUUCCACCCAAAAAUAGAUGUCUGACAUCGGUUAGGUUGUGAACAAGUCCCUCCAGAGCAUGUUUGUCAAUUGUUUGUUCACCAAACACAGAGGAGGAGAGAUCAAGUGAAACCAAUUUUGACAGGUGGGAGACUUGGGAUGGGACUUCUCCUGCAAACCCUGUAUAAGAAAGGUUGAGGUAGAAUAGGCUAGUAAACCGACCGAACUCGGAUGGAAUUUUGGAAAGAUUAAAAUCAUUGUAGGCAAGGUUGAGUUUUUGAAGGUGAGGAAGAAGGAAGAGAGUGGUAUUGGAAGGGAAGUUGCCAUAUAGCCAACUGCAGCUCAAGUCAAGGGCAAUAACAUGAGCAUUUAGGUGGUCACAAGUGACCCCAUCCCAUGAGCAGCAAUCUGUACCCUCCUUCCAUGAAUUUGUCUUGGGAUAAGAUUUAAGGCCAGCAUAAUCAUUGCAAUAAGAAGAAACAUCCUCUGUUACGGAAAAAGAGUCCUUAAACUGGAUUAGGGAAGAGCAGGAGUGAGAUCCUGAAGAAGAAAAAGAAGCAUAAAGAUGGGGAAAGAAGAGGAAUAGGCAGAGAAAGAGAUAGGGGGCCAUGUUAUGUUUGUAGAGAAAGAAGAAGGAUAGGAAUGGUAUUUGUAGGCAACAAAUAGUACCACAACAUUGGUGUUACAGUAUUUUUUUUUUCUUUUACAUUGAAAAGCUAUGGAUAUUAGAUUUUCAAAAAUUUUGUAUUUUUCACCAUCAUCAACAACCACUUAGUCUUCUUUUUACCAUAUAUUUUUCAUUCUAUUUUUUUAACAAAAUCUUGUAUUUCAUUUCAGCUUUCAAAACAACUAAAAAAUUUAAAAUUGAUGAAAUUACAAAGUAGAUUGACUUAGUCUUCUUUCCUAUAACAUUUAAAAGAAUAUCUUGUCAACCAAAGUUAAUUAAUGUGAAAAUUCUUUUUCACACAAAAGAACAAAAUUGUGCUCUAUUCACUAAGUUAGAGGAAAAAGACUGCUAGAUUUUUUAAUUAUUUUUUCUUUGAAAAAUUUGAAAGUUUUUUACUGCCUUUAAGCCAAUAAAAAAAACAUGUAUUAAUUUUGUUUUUAAAAAUAGUGUGUUUGAUUGUGAAAUGAUUCAUCAUCCUCCACCACAAACUAUCCAUAUUUGCAGUGUGAAAGCAGCUACUUUCAUAAAGAAAUUACUUAGGAGAUGGGAUCCACCAAUUUUACCUAAACUCGCAUCAACAUUGUUUAGCAAUUUCAAAAUAGACUAAUUAGUCUGGUUCAAAUACCAAGACUACAAUAUCUAUUCACUUCACUUGGUCUUGCUUCCUAUCGCUGUCAGCCAAACUUGAUCGACUAGCAGUAAGGAAAUUUCAGUCAUUUGCAGCAUAAUGUACAAGAAUUCCACUCCCGCAAAAUAAUUUACAAUAUGGACUAACACACUAAAAAUGAUUUUUAAAAAAUGAUUUUUAGAAAGUAAUUUUUGAAAAAUGGUUAGAAGAUAAUUUUUGUUUCUGAAAUAGUUAAUUUUUUUUGGUGUUUAGAUAAAUUUUGUUAUGUUUUCAUUGUUUACUUGAGUUUAUUUCAUAAAGCUUAUGUAUAUAUUUUAAUUAAUCAUGUUUUAGUUUUAAUUAAUCUUAAUUUACUUAAUUAAGCUUAAUUGUUAACUUCGUACAUUAGAAUAUAAAUUUAUGUUUAAUUAAGUUGAAAGUGAUAAAUAUUUAUUUUGAAUAUUAUUUGGAUAAGUUGAAAAAUGAUUUAAUUUGAUAAAAUUGAAGUCAGGGUCAUAGAACUAUGCUUUUUACUGACAAAAUCUUAGAUGCAGUGAUUAUUGAGACUAAAAAAUGAAAGUCAUGAAAGAAGACAUAAAUAGUUGAACCAUACAAAAUGUUACAUUUUGUAAUGCAAUGAAAUAUAGAUGAAUUGUUACAAAUAUAAAGACAGAUGCAUUGCAAUGCAACCUUUCUCCAUAGGAAAAAAAAUUUGACAGACUUCAAAACAAGAAAUUAUGAAGAUACAACAUACACACUUGAACAUCAUUUCCACUAACUAGAUCCUUCUUCGUCCAUUGCUGCGACUGCCAUCCUUUGACUUUCUUCUUCGCUACUUCUCAUGUUGGAUUCAACCAAAUUCACCAACCAUUUUGGCUUACUAAUUUGGAAAACAACAUAUCCCACGACCAUUCCAAACACUACUCCGCAUCCAUAACCUAUCAACACCAAUUUCCAACCAAAAGAGAUGUUUGAUUUUGAACCAUCUUUUCCAAGCACAUUUGGAGGUGGUGGCUCAAUGAUGUUGCAACCUUUUGAGACCGGAAAUCCACAUAAUCCCUUGUUUCCUUCAUAUGAAUCAUUUCCAUAUGUGUUGAACUGUUUGCCUUGAGGAAUCUGACCAUGGAGUUGAUUUUCAGAAACAUUGAAGGACGAAAGAAAUGCCAGAUCUGCAAAUCUAUUUCGAAUUGUCCCUGACAACCUGUUUGAAUAUAGGUCCAACCAUUCAAGACUCGUCAAAUUCCCUAUUGAAGUGGGGAUACCACCGUUAUAAACACUGUCAUAUGGCAUGAAUAACAUACUCAUAUAUUUACUGUCACAUGGCAUGAAAAACACACCCUCAUAUUCACUUUCACAUUAGUCAUCAUAAGCUUAUAACAUAUGUCAUAGCAAUCUCAUAUAUAUUCAUAAUUUCACAAUUUCACAAGCGUACAUAUAUCACAUUUAAUCAUAUGCGCGAGAAAACUUACUCUCACUUACUCUUGGAAUUUAGAGUAGGAAUUUAGGCUACCACUAAAUUCUCAUCAAUUAAACAAUGAAUCAUCUACGAGCAACAAUUUCAAACCACAAUGAAUCGAGAGCUCAAACUAGCUCUUCCUCUAACUCGUAGAAGGCUUUAAUGAAUCCGAGGCUUCACACAUGACAAUCACACAAUACUCACAGUCAAAUGACAGCCAAGGACCCACUUAAACUAACCAAAAUAAAAGCCUAAGCUACCUUCUAAUGUAACCAAACCCUUUAGCAUGACGAACUUAAAAUGCAAAUAUAUCAAUCUACACUUAAACAUUUUCACAUGAAACAAGUUUCAGUCAUCCCCCAUAUUCAUUUAUAGCUAAACUCCAAUCUUUAAACCACACAAAACUACAAGUUUCAAGGUAUAACAUUUUUCCACAAAUUUUGACCAUAAUAAUGAAAAUUCAUUAAAACACGGGAAAUCUAUAAUGAAACUUAGAAGUAAUUUUAAAAAACUUCUAAUUAAGUUAAAACAAGUUGAAAAACACUUUUAAAUCACUUUUUCAUCCACAAUCUCGAAUUCCACCAUUAAUGACCCAAUUUUUAGGUUUAAAUUAAAACAUGCAAUUUCAUAACUAAAAUCUCAAUUUUAAAGUCUAGAUAACAUUAAAAACUAAUGAGAAAGUAAAUGGUUACCUUUGAUGAAAGAUUAAACGAGUUUUGAAGUAAAUUUGAAAAACCCACAAUUGAAGAAGAAGAUGAAAUCUAUGGCGUUUUUGAGUGUUUUUCUUGGAAUUAUAAGAAAUCAAAGUACUAUUGUUUGGGAAUAAAAAUUAAUUGAAAGAUCAAGGGAAUAGCAAAGGACGGCAAUAGCAAACUUUGGAGAGUAACUAUUGUGAAAUAGAACAGGGAAUGGGGUUUAUUAGGUUCAAUUUAAAACAUUGGUAAAACUUCAAUCUAAGUGCUCACUAUUUUAACUUUGUUACAAAUUAGUUCUUUUUCUAAAUUUUAGGUAUUUAAAACUCAUUUUCAGAAAUCGGCUCAAUUCCCUAAUAGCCAUUGUCGAAAACAUUAUUGAAUACUAACCUUACGAAAUUUUGAUUACAUAUAGGCUAAAAUUCCUAAAAAAAAAUUGAAACUCUUAGAUCCUAUUUUGGGGUGUUCACGUAUGGUCAUGAUUCAUGUUGAAUUAAUACAUCAUUCACCGUAAUAAGGCUUAUCGUUGUAAUAAUUAGUUAAAUCACCUAAUAUCUAAAAAAUUAUUAUUAUUUUCAUAAAAUCAUUGAUCAAAUUAUUGUUUUCAAAUUUCAUACAUAAAAUUAACAAAUAAAGAUAGCUCUAAAUAGCAAAACCCAAUAUGUGUAACAAGUAUUUUUAUUAAUCCAUUUGGAAUGUUAAGGUUUGCUGGAGCAAAUAAAUUGAUUAAUGCUUUGAACUUUCCAAACACUUUUUAUAGUUUUGUUAUAUGCAUUUUGUAUAAUUAGUAUAUUUGAAUAUAUUAGAUACAUCGUCUAAAACAAUGCCAAUUGUAAUUUUUUUAUAUUUUGUUGAUCAUAAGCGUAUUAUAUAAAUAAUUUAAAAAAAAAAAGAUGGAGUGAUACAUUUAUGUAGUGCUUAUGAAUAUAAUGUUGGAUUAAAAUCCUUAAUUAUGAGUACAUAUGUAUAUGCUUGAUAUUACAAUUAUCUUAAUAAUUUUGUUUCUGUUCUUGUUGAUUGAUGAUUAUAGAAAUCAUUAUUCUUCUGAAGGCAUACUUUGUUGUCAAUGACAGUACCUGCACCCUAAAAAAGUCACCAGCUUUAACGACUACAAAAGUUGUCCUGCCUGAUAUUUAUUAAAAAAUCACCAGGAAGCACAUUGUCAGGACAUCCUUGCUGGAAAAAAACUUGGUAGGAUGGUUUUUCUGUGCAAACUUAGUAAUUAAUUUAUGUUGUUUUUACCAAACUUUGUAGCGUUUCACUUUUGGUAAAAUUUCAUCCUUGGUCCCUUUAAACUCCUUUUUGCUUUAAUUUGAUUGCUUUCUAGCGUUGCAAAUUACAUAACACUCUUCAAAUGUCUUAUUAAAUUCUCACUUUUACGAGUGCUAUGUUAAUCAAUUUUAAGUUCCAUAUAACACUUACAUGGCUACAAAAUGUGUGUGUGUGUAAGUGUCCUCAACCACAAACAAUCCAAAUUUGCUGAGAAACCACCCAUUAUAUAUAGGUUUGCCAAUGAGAUGGCAAGCAGACUGCUAGCUAGAAAUUCAUGCAUCUUUGAAUCACCAAUUCAAUUAAUAAGCUUAACUAGAGGAAAUAAGGACUUUACACCACCAAUUAAAGCAACCUAUAUGUACCCUUUUACAGUCUGCAUUGUUCCAUGUUUCCAUUCAUUACAUCAUUCCUUCAACUCUGCUAUAUAUUAUUACCGUCUCCAGAAAACCAAACCUUUUACUGCUAACUUGUAAAAAAAUUAUGAAAAUACAACAGAGAUCAUUGAGACAUUGUUGAAGUUGGCUUGCAUGCAGACCAAGAAGCACACCAAGCUGUCCGAGAUAUGCAAGUUGCAGCUGAAGCUUAUGCUGCUGUUUUGUUACUUUCAAAUAGAUAUUUUAUUAUUUACUUAGAUAUGAACUAAGUUGCUGAUAUGCUUGAUGUAAUUAGGAGCUGAUAGAUUGAUAAAUCAGCUUUACCAAGUGUACAAGCAAUGUUUAUCAAGUUACUAAGCCACUUAGUGGAGUUAGGUAUGUGUUUAGGUAACAUUUUCUUAUUUUUGACCAGCUGAUUGCUUGCUAUAUGUAAUGGCAUUGUGCCUUCAUUCAAAUGUAAAGAAAUCUUUCAGAAAAUUCUUCUUCAUUUGGUCUUUACCUAAGCAUUUUUUUUCACGAAGCUCUUGCUGUUUUUGUUUUGUUUGUUGAGCAAGAUAACAAUGCUUUAUGCUUAAGUUUCUGUCAAAAUUUCUCAUUCUGUUUUCUUAGUUCCUACAGACAUUUUGUUCUCCUUUCUCCUUUACUGAGCAGUAGCAAAGAUUAUCGAGACUAAAUUGAAAUCCAUGAAAGAAGACAUAAACAACACCACCAUACAAAAUGUCACACUCAAACAAACCAUUACAGAUACGAAAUGCAAUGAAAGACAGAGGAAUUGGUACAAUAAUAAAGACAGCCAGAUACCAAUGCAACCCUUCACCAUAGGCAAAACGGUCUACAAACAAGAAAUUAUGAAAAAUACAACACUAAUUCUUGAACAUCAUUUGCAGUAAUUAAAUCCUUCUUCGUCUACUGCUGUGAUUGCCUUUCUUUGACUUUCUUCUUCGCCUCUUCUCAUGUUGGUUUUCAACCAAAUUCACCAACCAUUUUGGCUUACCAGUUUGGAAAACAACAUAUCCCACGGACAUUCCGAACACUACUCCGCAUCCAUAACCUAUCAACACCACUUUCCAACCAAAAGCAAUGUUUGAUUUUGAGCCAUCUUUUUCAAGCACAUUUGGAGGUGCUGGAUCAAUGAUGUUGCAACCUUUCGAGACCGGAAACCCACACAGUCCCUUAUUUCCUUCAUAUGAAUCAUUUCCAAAUGUGUUGAAUUGUUUGCCUUGAGGAAUCUGACCAUGGAGUUGAUUUUCAGAAACAUUGAAGGACGAAAGAAAUGGCAGAUCUGCCAAUCUAUUUGGAAUCGUCCCAGACAACCUGUUUGAAGAUAGGUCCAACCAUUCAAGACUUGUCAAAUUCCCUAUUGAGGUGGGGAUAUCACCAAUAAGGUUAUUAUGAGAAAGGUUGAGCCCUUUCAGUAAGUUAAGCUUCCCAAUAACCUUUGGAAUACCCCUUUCAAACUGAUUGUUUGAUAGAUCAAUGAUCAUCCACAUGGUGAAAAUUUUCACCAAUUCCCUAUCUUGUCCUUUCAUAACAAUUCCAAUGGAAUAGGUAUAGAAGCCAACUCCAUAAUCAUGCACCCCCAUGUAUGACACUGUACUACCAAUCUUCUCUAGAUUUAUGAUAGCCUUGAAGCUGUUGAUGUAUCUCACUGGUAGGGGUCCAGAAAAAUAAUUACUUGAGAGAUCAAAAAUUUGGAUUUUAGAGAAAAAAGGGAUAGACUUGGAGCUAUUGACACAUAAGGAACCAUGCAGUUGAUUUGACUUCAAUACAAGAACUUGUAGCUGUGGAAGACUUCCCAACCAGUGAGGAAAUGUAUCAUUGAUCUUGUUGUUACCAAGAUCUAGCACUUCCAGACCUCUACAAUUAAGGAUGGAUGGUGUCAAAGGCCCUUCUAACAGAUUUCCAUUUAAGUUGAAAUUACUCAAUCGGCAUCCCUUUGCAAAUGCUGGAGGAAUCGUCCCAUAAUACUUGUUCUUCUUCAGAUUCAAGAAUAGAAGGCUGUUGCUCAAAUUUCCAAAACAUUGUGGAAUUGUUCCACUCAAGUUAUUGUGGGACAAAUCAAGAAUUUCAAGAAAAGCGGCAUUGCAUAUUAAAGAAGAGACCUCUCCAUUGAAACUAUUAUUUGAGAUCAAAAAGACUCUUAUGGUCGAAGCUGGAAUCGGAAGAUUUCCACUGAUCAAAUUGGAGCUUAAGUCAAGAACAUCAAUAUUCUUCCAUGGAAAGUGCUCAACUUCUGUCAAAGUGUUGUGAGAUACAUUUAAGUGAGUCAAAGAGCCAUUCCCCACCUCUCGCAUCCACUGUGGAAUCUUGCCUUCAAUUUUGUUGCAAGAGAGGUGUUGAAGUAAUGGUCAGCAUGCAGCAACCAAGACUGUCAAAGGCACUACAUGCAGAAGCUGCUGGUUCACCUAGUCAGCAAGCUGUUUAUGUUUCAUUUUGUAAUUUUAAGUUAGAGUAAUGUAACUUAGUUGCUUUAUAACUAUGUUAGGUUUAUGUUUGAUGUAAUUUUGAUGUUGACUGAGCUGAUAAAUCAGCUUUGUUUGUUUAUUCAAGCUAAUUAGCACAAGUUACUAUGUGUAUUAGUGGUAGUAGGUGAAGUUUAGGUCAACCUACUGUUUUGUCAAGAUUGUAAACUUGUUUUAUGUAUUGGCUUUGUGCCAUAUUUAGUUUGAUGAAUGAAUUCAAGAAGUUAUCAUCCAUAUGCUCUCCAUUUUUAGUUUUGCUUAAAAAUCCAUUUGAGUUUUCUGCUUUGUUUCUCCUACAAGUCACGAGACUUGCCAUACAAGCAUUCUGCUGAAGCUUGCUGCUGCUGCCUCUUGCACCAACAAUUGGUAUCUAGAGCCACAUUCUUAGAGGACCUGUUGUAGUUCAGUAUCAAAACGAUGGCAUCAUCAGGUUUUUCACCAGCUUCACCACCUGUCUUCAAUGGAGAGGGCUUCAACAUUUGGGCAGUUAAGAUGAGGACUUACCUGCAGGCAUUCGACCUAUGGGAAGUUGUUAACUCAGAUGCUGAGCCAGCACCUCUUCGAGCUAAUCCAACAGUUGCUCAAAUAAGGCAACACACUGAUGAAAGGACAAAAAGGCACAAGGCCAUGUCAUGCAUACAGAAUUGUGUGACAGAUGUGAUCUUUAUGAGGAUCAUGGCCUGUGAGACACCAAAGGAGGCUUGGGACAAGCUGAAAGAAGAAUUUCAGGGGACUGAGAAAACAAGGCAACAACAGCUGCUCAAUUUGAGAAGAGAUUUCGAAAAUCUCAAAAUGAAAGAGGAAGAAACAGUUAAGCAGUACUCAGACCGGAUUAUGGCUGUUGUAAACAGCAUAAGGCUCCUAGGAGAGCAAUUCAGUGAAGCUAGAAUGGUUGAGAAAGUCAUGUCCACUCUACCAGAGAGGUAUGAAGCUAAAAUUUCAUCCCUCGAAGACUCAAGGGACUUGACAACUAUCUCCUUAACUGAGCUAAUCAAUGCCUUGUAUGCAUAAGAGCAAAGAAGAGCUAGCAGACAAGAGGAGCACCAGGAAGGGGCUUUUCAAGCCAAAGAAGCCUCGAGCAUCAAAACUCAUAAAGGCAAAAAGUUCUGGAAAAACAAGCCUAAGCCUGAUGCUGCUAGGAGCAGUGACCAACUCUGCAGACAUUGUAAAAGAGCUGGUCAUCCAGAAGAUAGAUGCUGGUUUAGACCAGAUGCAGUAUGCCAAAACUGCAAGAAAAAAGGCCAUGUUGAAAAAGUUUGCAAGAAUAGAAGCAAACCAAGACAGAAUCAAUUUCAGCAACAAAAGGUGGAAGCUCGAGUAGCUGAAGAAAGUAGUGAUCAAGAAGAACAUGUUUUUGCUGUGUCAUGUGCAGCAAAUCAGAAGAAGGGUUCAAAGGGCUGGCUUCUAGACAGUGGGUGCACAAACCACAUGUCACCAGAUGCAACUAUCUUCAAAACCCUGGACAGAACCUGCAAAACCAAAGUAAAAAUUGGAAAUGGUCAGUUAAUCAAUGCUGAAGGAAGAGGAGAUGUGCUGAUUCAUACUUCUACAGGUGGCAAAAUCAUUUCAAAUGUACUUUUGGUACCUGAAAUCGAUAGGAACCUUCUCAGUAUAACUCAACUACUUGAGAAAGGUUACUCAGUUGUUUUCAAGGAGAAAGAAUGUCAAAUUUUUGAUCCAAGUGGAUCAAAUCUUAUAACAGUCACCAUGACUGAUAAAUGUUUUGAAGUAGACUGGCCAAAUGACUCACAUUCAGCCUGCAUAGCCUCCACUAAUGACUCGAGACUCUGGCAUCAGAGGCUUGGACAUGCAAACUACAAAUCCAUAGCCCGCAUGGUCAAUGAAGGUCUGGCAGAAAAUUUCAUUGAUUCAGUGAAGAAUGAUGAGCUUUGUGAGAUAUGUCAGCAAGGAAAAUUGGCAAGAUUGCCAUUUCCAACAAGCACAACAUGGAGAGCAUCAGAGAAGCUCCAGCUUGUGCAUACAGAUGUGUGUGGACCAAUGAAGACUGAGUCUCUCAAAGGAAGCAGGUACUUUAUUUUAUUUAUUGAUGACUUAACAAGAUACUGCUGGAUUUAUUUUCUAAAACAGAAAUCAGAAGUACCAUCUAUGUUCCUGAAGUAUAAGGCUGCUGUUGAAACUGAGUCUGGUUGCAAACUUAGAGCAAUGAGGUCAGAUAAUGGAACUGAGUACACCUCAGCUCAGUUCCAAGUCUACUGUGAAGAAGCAGGUAUCAAACACCAGUUGACUAAUGUGUAUACACCCCAACAGAAUGGGGUCAGUGAAAGGAAAAACAGAAGCUUGAUGAACAUGGCAAGAUGUCUUCUGUUUGAGAAGAAUUUGCCCAAAAGUCUGUGGGCUGAAGCUGUUAACACAGCAGUUUAUCUCUAAAAUAGGCUCCCAACCAAGGCUCUGGCUGAGAAGACUCCAUUUGAAGCCUGGUUUGGGUUUAAGCCAUCACUGGCUCAUCUCAGAACCUUUGGUUGUCUGUGCUAUACUCAAGUUCCAGCUGAGAAGAGAAGCAAGCUAGACAAAAGAGCUCAAGCAGGGAUCCUGAUCGGCUACAGCUUGGUUAAGAAGGGCUACAGAAUUCUAGAACCUGCUACAAACAAGAUAUUGGUUAGCAGGGAUGUUGUUUUCAAUGAAAAAGGACACUGGAAUUGGGAGAAGGCUGAACCAGAGGCAGUGGCUGAAGAUCUGGCAGUGGACCAAGUUGAAAAUGGUGAAAACACACCUGAAAUGGAUGUAGAUGAUGUUCCAAUCAGAGGCACUCGAUCACUGGCUGAUGUUUAUGAAAGAGCACAAGUGGCUACUGUUGAACCAAAUUGCUUUGAAGAAGCAGAAAACCAGGAGGACUGGAAGCAAGCAAUGAUUGAAGAAAUCAGAAUGAUUGAAAAGAAUCAGACCUGGAGUCUGGUUGAUAAACCAACAAACAGGAAGAUUAUUGGUGUCAAAUGGGUUUAUCGAGUAAAGAACAAUGCUGAUGGUAGCCUAAACAAGUUAAAGGCUAGAUUGGUUGUGAAAGGCUUCAGUCAAAGGUAUGGAUCAGACUACCUGGAAACCUUUGCACCAGUGGCCAGGUUAGACACUAUUAGACUGCUAGUUGCCUUAGCAGCACAAAAACAGUGGCUGAUACACCAACUUGAUGUAAAAUCAGCAUUUCUGAAUGGAUUCCUUGAAGAGGAGAUUUAUGUGGAGCAACCUCAAGGUUUCAAGGUGUCUGGCAAAGAAGAUAUGGUGUACAAGCUCAACAAAGCCUUGUAUGGCUUGAAACAGGCUCCAAGGGCCUGGUAUAGCAGAAUAGAUGGCUAUCUGACCAGUCAAGGAUUUGAAAGAAGUCUUAGCGAGCCAACUCUGUAUGUUAAAUCAACUAGUGCUGAAACUCAGCUCAUUGUCUCAAUAUAUGUCGAUGACCUACUGGUGACAGGAGGAGAUCAUGAGAUGCUAAGCAGUUUUAAAGUCAAAAUGCAACAGCACUUUGAAAUGUCAGACUUGGGAUUGAUGUCUUACUUCUUAGGCAUGGAAGUAACUCAAGCUAAGAAUGGGAUUUGGCUAAGUCAAAAGACCUUUGCUAUGAAGGUUCUCAACAAAUUCUCAAUGGAGAAUUGCAAAGCAACCAGCACACCAGUUGCUGUUGGAGAAAAACUCUCGAGCCAAGACAAGCAUGAAAAGGUUUGUGAAACAACCUAUCGAAGUCUAGUUAGAUGUUUGUUGUAUUUGACUGCUACUAGACCUGACAUAAUGUAUGCUGUGAGUCUACUCUCGAGGUUUAUGCAUUCUUCAAAUGAAAGUCAUUUUAGAGCUGCAAAAAGGGUUCUAAGAUACAUCAAAGGAACUUUGUCCUAUGGAAUGCAGUUUACCAAGGCUGAGAACUUGAGGCUAGUUGGAUAUUGUGACAGUGAUUGGGCUGGUUCUUUGGAUGACAUGAAGAGCACUACAGGUUAUGCAUUCAACAUAGGCUCUGCUAUGAUAUGCUGGAGCUCAAAGAAGCAAGGAGUAGUGGCUCAGUCGACUGCAGAAGCAGAAUAUGUGGCUGCUGCUGCAGCAGUCAAUCAAGCCAUAUGGCUUAGAAAAAUUUUGAAAGAUAUCAAUCAUGAGCAAAAGGAAGCAACUGAGAUAAUGUCUGACAACCAAUCAGCAGUUGCUAUUGCAAAGAAUCCUGUUUUUCAUGGAAGGACCAAGCACUUCAACAUCAAACUUCAUGCAGUUCGGGAAAUGGAACAAGCUCAUGUUGUUAAGCUGAUACAUUGCAGUUCUGAAGAGCAAAUUACUGAUAUUUUAACAAAAGCACUAAGUGUUUCCAAGUUUCAACACCUGAGAGCUAAUAUGGGAGUUUGCAACAUGCUAACCAAGGAGGAGUGUUGAAGUAAUGGUCAGCAUGCAGCAACCAAGACUGUCAAAGGCACUACAUGCAGAAGCUGCUGGUUCACCUAGUCAGCAAGCUGUUUAUGUUUCAUUUUGUAAUUUUAAGUUAGAGUAAUGUAACUUAGUUGCUUUAUAACUAUGUUAGGUUUAUGUUUGAUGUAAUUUUGAUGUUGACUGAGCUGAUAAAUCAGCUUUGUUUGUUUAUUCAAGCUAAUUAGCACAAGUUACUAUGUGUAUUAGUGGUAGUAGGUGAAGUUUAGGUCAACCUACUGUUUUGUCAAGAUUGUAAACUUGUUUUAUGUAUUGGCUUUGUGCCAUAUUUAGUUUGAUGAAUGAAUUCAAGAAGUUAUCAUCCAUAUGCUCUCCAUUUUUAGUUUUGCUUAAAAAUCCAUUUGAGUUUUCUGCUUUGUUUCUCCUACAAGUCACGAGACUUGCCAUACAAGCAUUCUGCUGAAGCUUGCUGCUGCUGCCUCUUGCACCAACAAGAGGUCUAAGCUUUCCAAACUUUUAAGCCCUUUUAAAAAUUGGGGGAAUUCACUAAGAUUGCAAGAUGACAAAAAUAAGCUUGUAAGAUUAACAGUAGAAGUUGUAUUAGAUGUUAAGGAUAGGCUGUUAUAUGAAAGGUCAAGAUAUUCGAGAUUUGGAAGGUUUGAGAACAUGCGAAACUCUAUGACACCACUAAGAUAAUUUGAGGAUAAGCUAAGUUGGGUAAGAUUGAGAAGUUGGAAUAUUGAAGAUGGAAGAGGACCUUGGAGUUUAUUAUUCUCUAACCAUAUCCAUUCUAGUGAUUUGGAUUGGAAUUCUUUGAUAUGCCCACUGAAUUGAUUUUGAGAGAGAUAUAUUGUCUUUAAGGAGGGAGCAAUAUACAACCAUGACGGAAGUGUUCCAUUGAGUAAAUUGUCAGAUAAGUCUAAAUAUAUUAGAUUAUGAAAAGCGGUUACCUCAUCUGGAAUGGAACCUUCUAAAGAAUUGUUAGAUAUUGUCAAGUAUUCCAGCUGCGUUAGGUUUAGAAUUGACAAUGGAAUUUGUCCACUCAAUUUGUUCCAUCCCAAGUCUAAAACAGUGAGUUGCAAGAGGUUCCCCAAUGAUCUUGGAAUCUGUCCACUCAAUUGGUUCAGCCACAAGUCUAAAUGAGUGAGUUGCAAGAGGUUCCCUAAUGAUCUUGGAAUUUGUCCACUCAAUUGGUUCUUCGACAAGUCUAAAUGAGUGAGUUGCAAGAGGUUCCCCAAUUUUCUUGGAAUUUGUCCACUCAAUUGGUUCUCCGACAAGUCUAAAUGAGUGAGUUUCAAGAGAUUCCCCAGUGAUCUUGGAACCAGUCCUGAUAAGUUGGAAUGGGAGAGAACUAAAAACUUCAAGGACACAAGAUUCCCCAUCGAGUCAGGCAAUCCUCCACAAAUAUUUGCGUCUGAAAUUAUCAAUUGUUCAAGAUUGCUGCUCCGAUUGAACUUCAAAGGAUCAAGAUUGAGGUUUUGGUUGCCUCCCAAGUUGAGGAGAUUGAGGUUUGGCAAAUCAAAAAUGUUUUUUGGGAAUUUUCCUUGCAAAUCACAACCAACAAGACUGAGAGACCUUAGAGAAGAGGAUAGAUUCAUGAAGACAUGAGCAUUAACUGAAGACAUGUCCAUUUCAUCCAAAAACAGACGUCUGACCUCGGUUAGGUUGUGAACAAGACCCUCCAGAGCAUAUUUGUCAAUUGUUAAUAGUUCAUCAAACCCAGAAAGAUCAAGUGAAACCAAUUUUGACAGGUGGGAGACUUGGGAUGGGACUUCUGAAAACCAUGUAUUGGAAAGGUUGAGGUAGAAUAGGCUUGUAAACCGACCGAACUCGGAUGGAAUUUUGGAAGAAUUAAAAUCAUUGUAGGCAAGGUUGAGUUUUUGAAGGUGAGGAAGAAGGAAGAGAGUGGUAUUGGAAGGGAAGGUGCCAUAUAGCCAACUGCAGCUCAAGUCAAGGGCAAUAACAUGAGCAUUUAGGUGGUCACAAGUGACCCCAUCCCAUGAGCAGCAAUCUGUACCCUCCUUCCAUGAAUUUGUCUUGGGAUAAGAUUUAAGGCCAGCAAAAUAAUCGCAAUGAUCAAAAGAAGCAUCCUCUCUUAUGGAAAAGGAGUCCUUAAACUGGAUUAGUGAAGAGCAGGAGUGAGAUCCUGAAGAAGAAAAAGAAGCAUAAAGAUGGAGAAAGAAGAGGAAUAGGGAGAGAAAGAGAUAGGAGGCCAUGUUAUGUUGGUAGAGGAAGAUGAAGGAUAGGAAUGGUAUUUAUAGGCAACAAAUAAUACCACAACAUUGGUGUUACAGUCUUUUUUCUUUUACAUUGAAAAGCUAUGGAUAUUAGAUUUUCAAAAUUUUUGUAUUUUUCACAAUCAUCAACAACCACUUUGUCUUCAUUUUACCAUAUAUUUUUCAUUCUUAAAAUUGGAUUAUUUUCUUUUAGCAAAAUCUUGUAUUUCAUUUGAACUCCCUAAACAACUAAAAAAUUAAGAUUGAUAAAAUUACAAAGUAGAUUGACUUAGUCUUCUUCCUUGUAACACGUAAAGAAUUUCCACGCAAAAGAACAAAAUUGUGCUCUAUUCUUUACGUUUGAGGAAGAAGACUGCUGGAAUUUUAAUCCACUGAUUCCAUAAAAACGUGUAUACUUAUAUAUAUAUAUAUUUAUAACCUCAUAAUUUAAAUCUAAAAUCUCAUUUGUUAUAAAUUCUGAUAAAUUUAUUUGGGAAUUGCUAUUUUUCAUUCGUUAAUUAUUUCUCUUUUAAUCGAGUAAAAAAUUAAAACUAAAGACAUAAUGAUUUAUUUGGUAUUUUUUAACUUCGCAAACGAAAAAUUAUUUUAGCUUUCUAUUUUUUUUUAUCUCUUUUAGUCUUGAAAUUUAUAUGGUUCAUUAAAUCACCCAAAAAAAUGAUGAAAAAAAUAACAAAACUAGCACCUACGUGGCUGAUGUUGACCCUUAAUAGUUAAUGGCAACACCUAUGUAGUUGUUAACAGAUACCACACCAACACUGUUUGUUGACGUGACAAUGCCACAUGAUCAAUAAUCGCAGACAUGGUAGCGCCACGCCAUCGCCCAUUGAUGACAUAUUAACCUUUGAGUUAAACUCAAAUAAUUUGGUCCCAAAUAGUUUUCAACACAAAAGAAUAGAGGAAGAAGACUGCUACAGGUUUAACUAUCAAUUGUCUAUUGACUAUACUUUUAACUCCACUAAAAAAGACCAAGACUAAGACUAUCAAUUGUCUAUUGACUACACUUUAACUCGACAAAAAAAGACCAAGACUAAGACUAUCAAUUGUCUAUUGGCUUCACACUUGCUGUUGCUUCCUCCUAUUUCUCUCACCCAAACUUAAUUUACAAGCAAUGUGGAAAUUUUGGACAUUUGCCCACAACGUACAAUACUUCCACACCAUUUGCAGUAUUGACUACGUUUACUUGAGGGAAAACAAAGACAUGAACGCUGGAAAUUUUAACUAGUUUGUACCGUCAAUGAAGCUACGUACCUAAAAGCCAUUUAGGAUAUCAAUUCCUGUAAUUGGAGUAAUCUCAUCGUUGCUGCAAUCUUUUGACAGUUUAAUCGAAUCUUAAAUAUGUUACUCUGCAAUGCUAUUGUAAAUAUUUUUCUUAAAUUUGUCGAUAGAUUUAUAGGUUUGGCACAAAAUUAAGAAUACACAAAGGCAGGUUGAAUUAUUCCAUGUUUGAACAUCUGCAACAUAAAUGCAUAUGGCAAAAGGGCUCAAACCAUACCUUAUGUUCAUGAAUUCUCAUCAUCACGUGUUUAUAAAUGCAACUCAAACUUCAAUAAUUGAAUCUUUUGUAAUUCUACAUGUAUUUUUUUAUUAUGGCGAGCAGUAUAAUGUUUACUAAAAAUUGAAAUUCAAGAAAGAAGACAUAUAUAGUUGCACCAUACAAGAUGUUACACUCGAACUAAACGCUUACAAAUAGUACGAAAUGCAAUUGAAUACAGAGGAAUUGGUACAAUCAUAAAAACAGACACAUACCAAUGCAACUUUUCACCAUAGGAAAAACUUUCUGACAGACUACUAAACAAGAAAUUAUGAAGACACAGUAGAAAUGCUUUAACUUCAUUUGCACCAACUAGAUCAUUCUUCAUCCACUCAUGCGAUUGCUAUAUUUUGGCUUUCUUCUUCGCCUCUUCUCAUGUUGGUCUUCAACCAAAUUCACGAACCUUUUCACCUUAUCGGUUUGGAAAACAACACAUCCCAUGGCCAUUCCAAACACUACCCCGGAUCCAUAACCUAUCAACACCACUUUCCAACCAAAAGCAAUGUUUGCUUUUGAGCCAUCCUUUUCCAGCACAUUUGGAGGUGGUGUCUCAUUGAUGCUGCAACCUUUGGAGACUGGAAAUCCACAUAGUCUCUGUUUCCUUCGUAUGAAUUGUUUCCAAAUGUAUUGAACUGUUUGCCUUGAGGAAUCUGACCAUGGAGUUGAUUUUCGGAAACGUUUAAUAAGGAAAGAAAUGCCGGAUCUGCCAAUAUCUCUGGAAUUAACUCAGUUCAAAAGACUAUAUAACUCGUAAAGUUUGGUCGAAGACUAGCAGGGGUCAAGAAAAAUAAUUACUUGAAUUGUCAAAAUUUUGGAUUUUAGAGAAACAAGCACUAGACUUGGAGCUAUGGUCAUGCAAGGAACCAUGCAUUUCAUUUGACUUUAGUACAAGAACUUGUAGCCGUGGAAGACUUCCCUACCAAUGAGGAAAUGUAUCAUUGAUCUUGUUGUUCCUAAGAUCUAGCACUUCCAAAGACCUAAAAUUGAGGAUGGAUGGUGACAAAUGCCAUUCAAAUUGAUUUCCAUUUAAGUUGAGAUUACUCAAUUGGCAUCCCUUUGCAAAUGUUGGAGGAAUCAAUCCAUAAAACUUGUUCUUCUUUAGAUUCAAAAAUUCCAGGUUGUUGCUCAAAUUUCCAAAACAUUGUAGAAUAGUUCCACUCAAUUUAUUGUGGGACAAGUCAAGAAUUUGGAGAGCACUCACAUUGCCUAUCAAAGAAGAGACCUCUCCACUUAAACUAUUGUUUGAAGUAAAAAACACGUUGAUUGUCGAAGAUGGGAUUGGAAGAUUUCCAUGGAUCAAAUUGGAGCUUAAGUCAAGAAUAUUAAUAUUCUUCCAUGGAAGUUGCUCAACUUCUGUCAAUGAAUUGUGAGAUAAAUUUAAGUAACUCAAAGAGUCACACGUCACUUCUUGCAGCCAUUGUGGAAUCUUCCCUUCAAUUCUAUUGUUAGAAAGCUCCAAAGUUUUCAACUUUUUUAACCCUUUCAAAAAUCGGGGGAAUUGGCUGACAUUAUUUGAGCUUAAGGAUAGGCUGUUUAGUGAAAGGUCAAGAUAUUCGAGAUUUGGGAGAUUUGAGAACAUGCCAAACUCUAUGACACCACUGAAAUUAUUUGAGUAUAAAAGGAGCCAGGUAAGGUUGAGAAAUUGGAAUAUUGAAGAUGGAAGAGGACCUUGGAGAUUAUUAUUCCCUAACACUAUCAUUCUAGUGAUUUGGAUUGGAAUUCUUUGAUGUGUCCACUGAAUUGAUUCUGAGAGAGAGAUAUUUCCAUUAAGGAGAAAGCAUUAUACAACCAUGACAGAAGUUUUCCAUUGGGUAAAUUGUUAGAUAAGUCUAAAGAUAUUAGAUUAGGGAAAGCAGCUACCUCAUCUGGAAUGGGACCUUCUAAAGAAUUUUCAGCUAUUCUCAAGUGUUCAAGCUGUGUUAGGUUUACAAUUGACAAUGGAACUUGUUCACUCAAUUGGUUCCAUGACAAGUCUAAAUAUAUGAGCCACAAGAGGUUCCCCAGAGAUCUCGAAAUUGAUCCCUGUAAAUUGGAAUUAGAGAGAGACAAAUAUUUCAAGACGUGCAGGUUGUCAAUCAAAUCAAUCAAUUUUGAAAAGGAGGACAUCCAUGACAGAUCCAAAUGUUCAAGAUUACUGCUCUGAUUGAACUUCAGAAGAUCAAGAAUCAGGUUUCGGUUGUAUCCUAAGUUGAGCAAAUUGAGGUUUGGCGAAUGAAGAACGUUUCUUGAGAAUUUUCCUUGCAAAUCACAACCACCAAGACUGAGAGACUUUAUAGAAGAGGAUAGAUUGAUGAAAACAUUAGGAUUAAUAGAAGGCAUGAUAAUUCUAUCAAGAAAAAGAUGUCUCACCUCAGUUAGGUUGUGAACAAGUCCCUUCAAAGAAUUUUAUCAAGUGUUAAUUGGUCAGAAAAAACAUUAUGAGAGAGAUCAAGUGAAACCAAUUUUGACGAGUGGGAGAUUUGGGAUGGGACUUUUCCUGCAAAUAACGUUUCUGAGAUGUUAAGAUACACCAGGCUUGUAAACCGGCCGAACUCGGAUGGAAUUUUGGAAAGAUUAAAAUCAUUGUAGGCAAGGUUGAAUUUUUGAAGGUGAGGAAGAAGGAAGAGAGUGGUAUUGGAAGGGAAGUUGCCAUAUAGACAACUGCAGCUCAAGUCAAGGGCAAUAUAUAACUUGAGCAUUUAGGUGGUCACAAGUGACCCCAUCCCAUGAGCAGCAAUCUGUACCCUCAUUCCAUGAAUUUGUCCUGGGAUAAGAUUUAUGGCCAUCAAUCUCAUUGCUAUAAGAAGAAGCAUACUCUGUUAUGGAAAAAGAGUCCUUAAACUGGAUUAGUGAAGAGCAGGAGUGAGAUCCUGAAGAAGAAAAAGAAGCAUAAAGAUGGGGAAAGGUUAAGGUAGAAUAGGCUUGUAAACCGACCGAACUCGGAUGAAAUUUUGGAAAGAUUAAAAUCAUUGAAGGCAAGGUUGAGUUUUUGAAGGUGAGGAAGAAGGAAGAGAGUGGUAUUGGAAGGGAAGUUGCCAUAUAGCCAACUGCAGCUCAAGUCAAGGGCAAUAACUUGAGCAUUAAGGUGAUGACAAGUGACCCCACACCAUGAGCAGCAAUCUGUACCCUCCUUCCAUGAAUUUGUCUUGGGAUAAGAUUUAAGGCCGGCAAAAUCAUCGCAACACAAAGCAGCAUGGCCUGUCUGAGUGAUCGAAAAUGAAUUCUUGAACUGGAUUAGAGAAGCAGCUUCGUGGUGAGAGCAGGAGUGAGAUCCUGAAGAAGAAGAAGCAUAAAGAUGGGGAAAGAAGAGGAAUAGGCAGAGAGAGAGAUAGGGGCCAUGUUAUGUUUGUAGAGGAAGAUGAAGGAUAGGAAUGGUAUUUAUAGGCAACAAAUAGAAUCCAAUAUUAAACAAAAGAUUUGAUGAUUAAUACCACAACACCACUGUUACAGUGUUGUUUCUUUUAUGGUAUAAAGAUUGUUAUUGGAAGAGUUUGAAAUGCUGACAUUGAAAACCUAUAUUUUUCAAUACUCAUCAACAACCACUUCCUUUUUACCAUAUCUUUUUCAUUCCCAAAAUUGGAUACAUUGUUUUACCAAAAUUUUGUAUUUCAUUUGAACUCCCUAAACAACUGAGAAAAUUAACAUUGAUGAGAUUACAAAGUAGAUUGACUUAGUCUUCUUCCUUAUAAUAGGUAAAAAAAAAAUGUGAGUGUCUAUUCACUUAUAAUAUUUCCAUGCUAGAGGUAGUUUUUGGAAAAUCUUUAAUUAAAUCUUAAUUUCAUUUUGUUAAAAUUUUAAACUGGGUUAUCGAAUUGGCUUCUGAUUGUAGGUUGAUCAAUGAUGGGCCGAUUUCUUCUUCUUCUUUUUUAAUUUUUUUAGGGUUAAUUUAUAAUAUACUGCUUAAUGUUGUUGAUUUAUUUUUCUGGUCAUCGUUUCAUCCGUUUGUUGAAGAUAACUGAAUUUUUAUUGGUUGUAAUUGGACUUGGGUUUUAGCCAAUGACUAUAAUCAAAGGGUUAAUUUAAGGUUCCAAUGAAUUGUUUGAAAAUUUUAUUAUUUUUCUUUUCAAUUAGUUGUUUUACAAGGAUUUAACUUAUAUUAGUCAAAUGAACUGGCUUUAAAAAAUGAACAAGAACGAAGAAAUUGGAUGGUUAACUGGACACUGGAAAGGGGGAAUGCUAAAAGUUGUAAAUGUUUUGAAUAUAGAGUUGUAUUCUUUUCAUGGCUUCAGAAAAAUGUAUGCAAUGUUUGGCCAGCGAUAAUGGACAAGUUUUUUUAAACCUCCAUGCCUUAGUCAUGCUUUCAUAAACAUGGGCAGCUAACACCGAGAAGUCUCAUUGAAUGUAGUAAGCGAUUUAAAAGUGAAGCUCAUAUGCGACCGGGGAUGGUUGAUUUGAGGUUUAAUUCUAGCUAGUAGAUUCUGUUGUUUGUUAAGCGUCUUUUUGGAGACAAAUGUCUGAGAUUGCUGGAAAAUGCUUCUUACCAUCAUAUUAAUGUGUAUUUGGGUUGCGUUUUCUUAGAGUUUUGGAUUCUUUGCAUCAUAUCAUAAAAUUGAGUUAGAUAUAACAUCUCAUUGUUAUCUGUUAAUUGUUUCACUUGGGACCAGGAGCAUGCUGGCAACUCAAUACAGCUGUAAAUGCAUAUUUCAGUGAGGGUGAUAGGUAUAUAUUUAUGAAUUAUCCUAAUAUUUUUUAUGAUAAGUAAUUCUAGGUUUAUAGCUUUAUUUGUUUGUUUGUUUUCUCGUGUUUCCUACAAAAAAAGGCCAACAUCAACCAUAGUUCCUGUAGAUGAUGCCAUGGAUAUAGAUGAUCCAAAUGAAGUAGUACCAAAUGGGCCAGUCCUUCCAUUUCUACCAUCAUCUAGAACAAACGAACAAUCGUCUCUUUUUCUGAAAUUUCCGGCGCGACGCCUGUGCGGGGGGCCUUGGCCGGAAUCUGGACUUAGUCCAGAGAGUUUUUUUUUCUUUCUUCUGUUUUUUUUUUUCAAUGUUCAAAUGAUUUUUUUUCUCAAAACACUAAUUUUUAUGCCCAGUGAAACGGCGCCGUUUUGGCUAAGCUCCAAAACACCCAAAACGACGUCGUUUCACUCGCCACCAACUUGAAUUUUAUAACUACUCCUAUGCCAACCAGCAAACCAUAACAGCGUACAUAAAAAAGAGGAUGCUGACUUACAAUUCCUUUCAUUUCACCAUAACCAAUCAAAUCCCUUGCAAUGCUGUUUGGAUCACAGCAGCUCAUCUUUCAAUCCUAGAUGGCUCCGCUAAUUUUUUGAAAGCAUACAUAAACUGUUAAAGAAAUAAAUGGAUAAAACAACUACAGGAUAGAAGGCUGAAAAAUUACAAAGUGCAAUGACCUUAUUGUUAAAAUUUCAACGCCCAUUCCUUGGAAAGAUAUCUUCACCAUUGCCCACUCAAGAGAACUCAAAUAGCAGCAAGAUCUAGUAUAAAAUGUAACUCUCAACAACACACACAAAUGUUUGUUCUAUCAAGGAGCAAUACACAGACAUAUUCACCUACCCUUGGUUCUAGCUUUGCAUAUUACAUAACACUCUUCAAAUGUCUUAUUAAAUUCUCACUUUUACGAGUGCUAUGAUAAUCAAAUAAAAUUCAAUUCAAUUUUAAGUUCCAUAUAACACUUACAUGGCUACAAAAUGUGUGUGUGUUUAAGUGUCGACAACCACAAACAAUCCAAAUUUGCAGAGAAACCACCCAUUAUAUAUAGGUUUGCCAAUGAGAUGGCAAGCAGAUUGCUAGCUAGAAAUUCAUGCAUCUUUGAAUCACCAGUUCAAUUAAUAAGCUUAAGUAGAGGAAAUAGGGACUUUACAUCCACCAAUUAAAGCAACCUAUAUGUACCCUUUUACAGUCUGCAUUGUUCCAUGUUUCAAUUCAUUACAUCAUUCCUUCAACUCUGCUAUAUAUUAUUACCGUCUCCAGAUAACCAAACCUUUUACUGCUAACUUGUAAAAAAAUUAUGAAAAUACAACAGAGAUCAUUGAGACAUUGUUGAAGUUGGCUUGCAUGCAGAGCAAGAAGCAGACCAAGCUGUCCGAGCCAUGCAAGUUGCAGCUGAAGCUUAUGCUGCUGUUUUGUUACUUUCAAAUAGAUAUUUUAUUACUUAGUUAGAUAUGAACUAAGUUGUUGAUAUGCUUGAUGUGAUUAGGUGCUGAUAGAUUGAUAAAUCAGCUUUACCAAGUGUACAAGCAAUGUUUAUCAAGUUACUAAGCCACUUAGUGGAGUUAGGCACGUGUUUAGGUAACAUUUUCUUAUUUUUGACCAGCUGAUUGCUCGGUAUAUGUAAUGGAAUUGUGCCUUCAUUUGGUCUUUACUUAAGCAUUUUUAUUCAAAAAGCUCUUGCUGUUUUUGUUUUGUUUGUUGUGCAAGAUAUCAAUGCUUUAUGCUUAAGUUUCUGUCAAAAUUUCUCAUUCUGUUUUCUUAGUUCCUACAGACAUUUUGUUCUCCUUUCUCCUUUACUGAGCAGUAGCAAAGAUUAUUGAGACUAAAUUGAAAUCCAUGAAAGAAGACAUAAACAACACCACCAUACAAAAUGUCACACUCAAACAAACCAUUACAGAUAGUACGAAAUGCAAUGAAAGACAGAGGAAUUGGUACAAUAAUAAAGACAGCCAGAUACCAAUGCAACCCUUCACCAUAGGCACAACGGUCUACAAACAAGAAAUUAUGAAAAAUACAACACUAAUUCUUGAACAUCAUUUGCAGUAAUUAGAUCCUUCUUCGUCUACUGCUGCGAUUGCCUUUCUUUGACUUUCUUCUUCGCCUCUUCUCAUGUUGGUUUUCAACCAAAUUCACCAACCAUUUUGGCUUUCCAGUUUGGAAAACAACAUAUCCCACGGACAUUCCGAACACUACUCCGCAUCCACAACCUAUCAUCACCACUUUCCAACCAAAAGCAAUGUUUGAUUUUGAGCCAUCUUUUUCAAGCACAUUUGGAGGUGGUGGGUCAAUGAUGUUGCAACCUUUCGAGACCGGAAACCCACACAGUCCCUUAUUUCCUUCAUAUGAAUCAUUUCCAAAUGUGUUGAAUUGUUUGCCUUGGGGAAUCUUACCAUGGAGUUGAUUUUCAGAAACAUUUAAGGACGAAAGAAACGGCAGAUCUGCCAAUCUAUUUGGAAUCGCCCCAGACAACCUGUUUGAAGAUAGGUCCAACCAUUCAAGACUUGUCAAAUUCCCUAUUGAUGUGGGGAUACCACCAUUAAGGUUAUUAUGAGAAAGGUUGAGCCCUUUCAGUAAGUUAAGCUUCCCAAUAACCUUUGGAAUACCCCCUUCAAACUGAUUGUUUGAUAGAUCAAUGAUCAUCCACAUGGUGAAAAUUUUCACCAAUUCCCUAUCUUGUCCUUUCAUAACAAUUCCAAUGGAAUAGGUAUAGAAGUCACCUCCAUCAUCAUUCACCCCCAUGUACGACACUGUACUACCAAUCUUCUCUAGAUUUAUGAUAGCCUUGAAGCUGUUGAUGUAUCUCACUGGUAGGGGUCCAGAAAAAUAAUUACUUGAGAGAUCAAAAAUUUGGAUUUUAGAGAAAAAAGGGAUAGACUUGGAGCUAUUGACACAUAAGGAACCAUGCAAUUGAUUUGACUUCAAUACAAGAACUUGUAGCCGUGGAAGACUUCCCAACCAAUGAGGAAAUGUAUCAUUGAUCUUGUUGUUACCAAGAUCUAGCACUUCCAGACCAUUACAAUUAAGGAUGGAUGGUGUCAAAGGCCCUUCUAACAGAUUUCCAUUUAAGUUGAAAUUACUCAAUUGGCAUCCCAUUGCAAAUGUUGGAGGAAUCGUCCCAUAGAACUUGUUCUUCUUCAGAUUCAAGAAUAGAAGGCUGUUGCUCAAAUUUCCAAAACAUUGUGGAAUUGUUCCACUCAAGUUAUUGUGGGACAAAUCAAGAAUUUCAAGAAAAGCGGCAUUGCAUAUUAAAGAAGAGACCUCUCCAUUGAAACUAUUAUUAGAGAUCAAAAAGACAUUGAUGGUCGAAGCUGGAAUCGGAAGAUUUCCACUGAUCAAAUUGGAGCUUAAGUCAAGAACGUCAAUAUUCUUCCAUGGAAAGUGCUCAACUUCUGUCAAAGAGUUGUGAGAUACGUUUAAGUAAGUCAAAGAGUCAUUCCCCACCUCUUGCAUCCACUGUGGAAUCUUGCCUUCAAUUUUGUUGUAAGAGAGGUCUAAGCUUUCCAAACUUUUAAGCCCUUUUAAAAAUUGGGGGAAUUCACUAAGAUUGCAAGAUGACAAAAACAACCUUGUAAGAUUAACAGUAGAAGUAGUAUUAGAUGUUAAGGAUAGGCUGUUAUAUGAAAGGUCAAGAGAUUCGAGAUUUGGAAGGUUUGAGAACAUGCGAAACUCUAUGACACCACUAAGAUAAUUUGAGGAUAAGCUAAGUUGGGUAAGAUUGAGAAGUUGGAAUAUUGAAGAUGGAAGAGGACCUUGGAGUUUAUUAUUCUCUAACGCUAUCCAUUCUAGUGAUUUGGAUUGGAAUUCUUUGAUAUGCCCACUGAAUUGAUUUUGAGAGAGUUUUAUAUCCUUUAAGGAGGGAGCAGUAUACAACCAUGAUGGAAGUUGUCCACUGAGUAAAUUGUUAGUUAAGUCUAAAGAUAUUAGAUUAGGAAAAGCGGUUACCUCAUCUGGAAUAGAACCUUUUAAUGUAUUUCCAGCUAUUCUCAAGUAUUCCAGCUGCGUUAGGUUUAGAAUUGACAAUGGAAUUUGUCCAUUCAAUUGGUUCUGCCACAAGCCUAAAUAAGUGAGUUGCAAGAGGUUCCCCAAUGAUCUUGGAAUUUGUCCACUCAAUUGGUUUUGCCACAAGCCUAAAUAAGUGAGUUGCAAGAGGUUCCCCAAUGAUCUUGGAAUUUGUCCACUCAACUGGUUCCCCGAUAAGUCUAAAUGAGUGAGUUGCAAGAGAUUCCCCAGUGAUUUUGGAACCGGUCCUGAUAAGUUGGAAUAGGAGAGAUCUAAAAACUUCAAGGACACAAGAUUACCCACCGAGUCUGGCAAUCCUCCAAAAAAAUUUGCGCCUGAAAUUAUCAAUUGCUCCAAAGAUGAUAAAUUUGUGAUUGAGACAGACAAUCCUUGAAAGAAAAAAUUUCCUGAUAGACCUAAGGACUUUAAGGCCUGUAGAUUAUCAACUGAAUCAAUGAAUUCUGUAGAGAAGGACGUCCAUGACAGAUCCAAAUGUUCAAGAUUGCUGCUCCGAUUCAACUUCAAAGGAUCAAGAUUGAGGUUUUGGUUGUUUCCCAAGUUGAGGAGAUUGAGGUUUGGCAAAUCAAAAAUGUUGUUUGGGAAUUUUCCUUGCAAAUCACAACCAGCAAGACUGAGAGACCUUAGAGAAGAGGAUAGAUUCAUGAAGACAUGAGCAUUAACAGAAGCCAUCUCCAUUCCAUCCAAAAACAGAUGUCUGACCUCGGUUAGGUUUUGAACAAGUCCCUCCAGAGCAUGUUUGUCUCCUACAAACCCUGUACUGGAAAGGUCGAGGUAGAGUAGGCUUGUAAACCGACCUAACUCGGAUGGAAUUUCGGAAAGAUUAAACUCAUUGUAGGCAAGGUUGAGUUUUUGAAGGUGAGGAAGAAGGAAGAGAGUGGAAUUGGAAGGGAAGUUGCCAUAUAGCCAACUGCAGCUCAAGUCAAGGGCAAUAACAUGAGCAUUUAGGUGGUCACAAGUGACCCCAUCCCAUGAGCAGCAAUCUGUACCCUCCUUCCAUGAAUUUGUCUUGGGAUAAGAUUUAUGGCCAGCAAUCUCAUUGCAAUAAGAAGAAGCGUCCUCUGUUAUGGAAAAAGAGUCCUUAAACUGGAUUAGUGAAGAGCAGGAGUGAGAUCCAGAAGAAGAAAAAGAAGCAUAAAGAUGGGGAAAGAAGAGGAAUAGGCAGAGGAAGAGAUAGGGGGCCAUGUUAUGUCUGUAGAGGAAGAUGAAGGAUAGGAAUGGUAUUUAUAGGCAACAAAUAAUACCGCAGUGUUACAGUCUUUUUUUCUUUUACAUUGAGAAGCUAUGGAGAUUAGAUUUUCAAAAUUUUUGUAUUUUUAACAAUCAUCAACAGUCACUUAGUCUUCUUUUUACCAUAUAUUUUUCAUUCUUAAAAUUGGAUGCUAUCUUUUCGCAAAAUCUUGUGGAAAUUCUUUAGCCUUCUUCUCUAUAACACUUAAAGAAUGUGUGUAUGUAUUCAUUUGCCUGUCAACUAAAGCUAAUUAAUGUGGAAAUUCUUUUCCACCCAAAAGAACAAAAUUGUGCUCUAUUCAUUAAGUUUGAGGAAGAAGAUUGCUGGAAAUUUAAUCUACCGAUUCCAUAAAAAACGUGUAUACUUAUAUAACCUCAUAAUUCAAAUCUAAAAUCUCAUUUGUUAUAAAUUCUGAUAAAUUUCUUUGGAAUUGCUAUUUUUCAUUUGUUAAUUAUUUCUCUUUUAAUCGAGUAAAAAAUUAAAACUAAAAAGACAUAAUGAUUUAUUUGGCAUUUUUAAACUUUACAAAUAAAAAAUCAUUUUAGCUUUUCAUUUUUUUAUCUCUAUUAAAUCACCCAAAAAAAAUAAUGAAAAAGACUAACAAAACUAGCACCUACGUGGCUGAUGUUGACCCUUAGUAGUUAAUGACAACAUCUACGUAGUUGUUAACAGAUACCACACUAACACUGUUUGUUGACGUGACAAUGCCACAUGAUCAAUAAUCACCGACAUGGUAGCGCCACGCUAUCGCCCAUUGGUGACAUAUUGAUGUUUGAGUUAAACUCAAAUUACUAUUUCCUUUGUUAUAAAUUAAGAGUAUAACUAAUUUUGAUAAGAAUGAUUACUUUUCAUUAACUCAGUCUAAAGGACUAUAACACGUAAAGUUUGGCCUAUUGCAGAAUUCACAUGCAAUGCGGGGCAUUUACAUUAUGCAGAAUUCGGCACAUAUAUGGGAAUUUUUGUAUUUCCACAAUCAUCAUGUUGUUCGUGAUCAACAACUACUUCCUUUUUACCAUAUAUUUUUCAUUCAUAAAAUUGAUUACUUUUUUUUUUACGAAAGAAGUAAAAUUAUUAACAUUCAUGAUAUUACAAAGCCUUCUUCCUUAUAACACGUCAAGUUUGGCCCCAAAUAAUUUUCCAGACAAAAGAAUUAAGAGGAAGGAGACUGCUACAGAUUGACUAUACUUUUAACUCCACAAACAAAGACUAAGACUAUCAAUUGUCUAUUGACUACACUUUAACUCGACAAAAACAGAUUGACUAUACUUUUAACUCCACAAACAAAGACUAAGACUAUCAAUUGUCUAUUGACUUCACUUUAACUCGACAAAAACAGACUAAUAAGACUUUGGUUGGCUGUAAUGGGCUAUUGACUAUACUUUAACUCCGCAAAAAAAGACUAAGGCUAUCAAUUGUCUAUUGACUUCACACUUGCUGUUGCUUCCUCCUAUCUCUAUCACUUGCUUCCUCCUAUCUCUAUCACCCAAACUUAAUUUACAAGCAAUGUGGAAAUUUUGGACAUUUGGGCCACAAUGUACAAUACUUCCACACCAUUUGCAGUAUUGACUACGUUUACUUGAGGGCAAACAAAGACAUGAAUGCUGGAAAUUUUAACUAGUUUGUACCGUCAAUGAAGCUACGUACCUAAAAGCAAUGUAUUAUCACCGUCUCCAGAAAUUUUGCUAAUUCAAUUUCCCAAGAAAUAUGAUUAAUUUUGGUUAAAUUGGAGUGAACAUUACUAUUUCUGUUUUAGCAAUUAAAGCAACCUAUAUGUACCCUUUUACAGUCUGCAUUGUUCCAUGUUUCCAUUCAUUACAUCAUUCCUUCAACUCUGCUAUAUAUUAUCACCGUCUCCAGAGAACCAAACCUUUUACUGCUAACUUGUAAAAAAAUUAUGAAAAUACAACAGAGAUUAUUGAGACAUUGUUGAAGUUGGCUUGCAUGCAGUAGACAUUGUUAAUCUUAUUAUUAUUAUUAUUAUUAUUAACUCAUGAACCCAUGGUUACACUUCCAACAGAGGUGAGAGAGGUUAAGAGUAGCCAUGAGCCAUCUAGUCAUGCUCCUGUUGUUGAGGAUGCCUCUGAAACUGCACAAGCUCUCAGCCCGAAUUCAAAUCUAAAAUCUCAUUUGUUAUAAAUUCUGAUAAAUUUAUUUGGGAAUUGCUAUUUUUCAUUCGUUAAUUAUUUCUCUUUUAAUCGAGUAAAAAAUUAAAACUAAAAAGACAUGAUAAUUUACUUGGCAUUUUUUAACUUUACAAACAAAUAGUCAUUUUAGCUUUCCAUUUUUUUUUUCUCUUUUAGCCUUGAAACUUAUAUGGUUCCUUAAAUCACUCCAAAAAAAAUGAUGAAAAAGACUAACAAAUUCUAGCACCUACGUGGCUGAUGUUGACCCUAGUAGUUAAUGGCAACACCUACGUAGUGGUUAACAGAUACCACACCAACACUGUUUGUUGACGUGACAAUGCCAAAUGGUCAAUAAUCGCUGACAUGGUAGCGCCACGCCAUCGCCCAUUGAUGACAUGUUAACCUUUGAGUUAAACUCAAAUUACUCUUUCCUUUGUUAUAAAUUAAGAGUAUAAAUAAUUCUGAUAAGAAUAGUUACUUUUCAUUAACUCAGUUUAAAGGACUAUAACACGUAAAGUUUGGUCUAUUGCAGAAUUCACAUGCCAUGCGGGACGUUUACAUUAUGCAGAAUUCAACACAUAUAUGGGAAUUUUUGUAUUUCCACAAUCAUCAAAUAAUUUUCAUAAAUUGAUUACUUUCUUUUUACCAUAUAAUUUUCAUUCAUAAAUUGAUUACUUUUUUUUUACAAAAGAAGUAAAAUAAUUAAUAUUCGUGAGAUUACAAAGUCUUCUUCCUUAUACACGUCAAGUUUGGUCUCAAAUAAUUUUCCACACAAAAGAAUACUUUUAACAAUCAAUUGUCUAUUGACUAUACUUUGAACUCCACAAAAAAGACUAAGACCUUCAAUUGUCUAUUGACUACACUUUAACUCGACAAAAAAAGACUAAGACUAUCAAUUGUCUAUUGACUAUCAAUUGGUUCCAUGACAAGUCUAAAUAUAUGAGCCACAAGAGGUUCCCCAAUGAUCUCGAAAUUGAUCCCCGUAAAUUGGAAUUAGAGAGAGACAAAUAUUUCAAGACAUGCAGGUUGUCAAUCAAAUCAAUCAAUUUCGUAAAGGAGGACAUCCAUGACAGAUCCAAAUGUUCAAAAUUACUGCUCUGAUUGAACUUCAGAAGAUCAAGACUAAGGAUUCGGUUGUAUCCUAAGUUGAGCAAAUUGAGGUUUGGCGAAUGAAGAAUGUUUCUUGAGAACUUUCCUUGCAAAUCACAACCACCAAGACUGAGAGACUUUAUAGAAGAGGAUAGAUUCAUGAAAACAUUAGGAUUAAUAGAAGGCAUGAUAAUUCUAACAAGAAAAAGAUGUGUCACCUCAGUUAGGUUGUGAACAAGUCCCUCCAAAGAAUUUUAUCAAGAGUUAAUUGGUGAGAAAAAACAUUAUGAGAGAGAUCAAGUGAAACCAAAUUUGACGAGUGGGAGAUUUGGGAUGGGACUUUUCCUGUAAAUAACGUUUUUUAGAUGUUAAGAUACACCAGCCUUGUAAACCGACCGAACUAGGAUGGAAUUUUGGAAAGAUUAAAAUCAUUGUAGGCAAGGUUGAGUUUUUGAAGGUGAGGAAGGAGGAAGAGAGUGGUAUUGGAAGGGAAGUUGCCAUAUAGCCAACUGCAGCUCAAGUCAAGGGCAAUAACAUGAGCAUUAAGGUGAUGACAAGUGACCCCAUACCAUGAGCAGCAAUCUGUACCCUCCUUCCAUGAAUUUGUCUUGGGAUAAGAUUUAAGGCCGUCAAAAUCAUCGCAAUACAAAGCAGCAUGGUCUGUCUGAGUGAUCGAAAAUGAAUUCUUGAACUGGAUUAGAGAAGCAGCUUCGUGGUGAGAGCAGGAGUGAGAUCCUGAAGAAGAAGAAGCAUAAAGAUGGGGAAAGAAGAGGAAUAGGCAGAGAGAGAGAUAGGGGCCAUGUUAUGUUUGUAGAGGAAGAUGAAGGAUAGGAAUGGUAUUUAUAGGCAACAAAUAGAAUCCAAUAUUAAACAAAAGCUUUGAUGAUUAAUACCACAACACCACUGUUACAGUGUUGUUUCUUUUAUGGUAUAAAGAUUGUUAUUGGAAGAGUUUGAAAUGCUGACAUUGAAAACCUAUAUUUUUCAAUACUCAUCAACAACCACUUCCUUUUUACCAUAUCUUUUUCAUUCCCAAAAUUGGAUACAUUGUUUUACCAAAAUUUUGUAUUUCAUUUGAACUCCCUAAACAACUGAGAAAAUUAACAUUGAUGAGAUUACAAAAUAGAUUGACUUAGUCUUCUUCCUUAUAAUACGUAAAAAAAAAUGUGAGUGUCUAUUCACUUAUAAUAUUUCCAUGCUAGAGGUAGUUUUUGGAAAAUCUUUAAUUAAACCUUAAUUUCAUUUUGUUAAAAUUUUUAACUGGAUUAUCGAAUUGGCUUCUGAUUGUAGGUUGAUCAAUGAUGGGCUGAUUUCUUCUUCUUCUUUUUUAAUUUUUUUAGGGUUUAUAAUAUACUGCUUAAUGUUGUUGAUUUAUUUUUCUGAUCAUCGUUUCAUUCGUUUGUUGAAGAUAACUGAAUUUUUAUUGGUUGUAAUUGGACUUGGGUUUUAGCCAAUGACUAUAAUCAAAGGGUUAAUUUAAGGUUCGAAUGAAUUAUUUGAAAAUUUUAUUAUUUUUCUUUUCAAUUAGUUGUUUUACAAGGAUUUAACUUAUAUUAGUCAAAUGAACUGGGUUUAAAAAAUGAACAAGAACGAAGAAAUUGGAUGGUUGACUGGACACUGGAAAGGGGAAAAGCUAAAAGUUGUAAAUGUUUUGAAUAUAGAGUUGUAUUCUUUUCAUGGCUUCAGAAAAAUGUAUGCAAUGUUUGGCCAGCGAUAAUGGACAAGUUUUUUUAAACCUCCAUGCCUAAGUCAUGCUUUCAUAAACAUGGGCAGCUAACACCGAGAAGUCAGUAAGCGAUUUAAAAGUGAAGCUCAUAUGCGUCAUUGCUACUCGCUUUGCAGCUAAACUCCUGAGUGACCGGGGAUGGUUGAUUUGAGGUUUAAUUCUAGCUAGUAGAUUCUUAGGUUUGUUAAGGGUCUUUUUGGAGACAAAUGUCUGAGAUUGCUGGAAAAUGCUUCUUACCAUCAUAUUAAUGUCUAUUCGGGUUGCGUUUUCUUAGAGUUUUGGAUUCUUUGCAUCUUAUCAUAAAAUUGAGUUAGAUAUAACAUGUCAUUGUUAUCUGUUAAUUGUUUCACUUGGGACCAGGAGCAUGGUGGCAACUCAAUACAGCUGUAAAUGCAUAUUUCAGCGAGGGUGAUAGGUAUAUAUUUAUGAAUUAUGCUAAUAUUUUGUUAUGAUAAGUAAUUCUAGGUUUAUAGCUUUAUUGGUUUGUUUGUUUUCUCAUGUUUCCUACAAAAAUAAGGCCAACAUCAACCAUAGUUUCUGUAGAUUAUGCCAUGGAUAUAAAUGAUCCAAAUGAAGUUGUACCAAAUGGGCCAGUCCCUUCCAUUUCUACCAUCAUCUAGAACAAACGAACAAUCGUCUCUUCAUCAUCGAAACUUCCAUAGCAGUUUCUUCGAUGGUGAUUCUGGUUCAACUUAUGAACCAAUUGAUACAUAUCCAACAGAGGUGAGAGGGGUUAAGUAUAGCCAUGAGCCAUCUAGUCAUGCUCCUGUUGUUGAGGAUGCCUCUGAAACUGCACAAGCUCUCGGCCCGAAUUCCCAUGAGACUGUUACAAUUGGUGAAGUAGGUGACGAUUCAAUUGCGCAGCCAAGGUGGCAGAAUGAUAACUGUAACAACCAGCAUGUUACACCCAGCGCUCCUGCCUUUGAUAAUUUGCUAGACUAUGGCGAUGACAUUGAAGAACAAAUGAUUCAAGCUGCCAUUGAGGCCUCUAAGCGGGAUGCUGAGGCAAGUUUUAAAAAAAGGACGCUUCCAAUUUGAUAGUGUUGUGGUGCCCUUCAUUCUUGUAGUUGCUGUAAAUGCUUGUUUUACAGAUUGCCUUUUUCAUGUUUAAAGUGUUAAAGUGUUGCAAAUUGAAGUGUUUUAAGUAAUGCAAAUUGAAUUGUUUAGUUGCUGGAAAUUGAGAUGUUUUAUGGCCGUAAUUGAGUGUAUAAAUGUUGUAAAUUGAAGUGUUUUAUUGCUGGAAAUUGGAUGCAUGGUAUAAUGACAUGAUAGAAUGUCAUUACAAUGUUGUAACUUUUUGAUGUUGUAAAAUCAUAUGGAUUAUGACAUCUAAACUAAUGAAAUCGUGUAACUUUUUAUUAAUAUAUGAAUAUUAUGUUGGGAUGUGAAAUAUAAUUCUCAAGUUAUUUAUUACUUCUAAUAUCUAAUAUUUCAUUGUAGAAUAAUUAAAAUUAUUUGUUUCACUAAUGAUAUUUUAGCACAUUCAAUAUCUAUUGCAGUUUAAAAAUAAUAAUUUAGAUUAUAUAUUAUUUUUAUAGUAUUAUAUAUUAUGAUUUUAGUAAAUUCAUAUAAUAGUAAUUAUAUUAAGAAUUUUAUUAAAUUAUAUUUAAUAAUAAUUAUGUUAAAAUAUGGUUAAAUUAUUUAUUAUCUUUAUUAAAUUAUUUUUAAUAAUAAUCUUUUUAAAAUUUAAUAACAAUAACAAAAAUCAUCUACUUAAAAAAGAUUCUGCUAAGGGUAUUCUAGUCAUUUUAGUUUUUUCCUUAUGCAAUUACAACAUCAUUCCAUUCAACCAAACACAAGAAUACCAUUACAGUUCUAUUCCGUUCCAUUCAACCAAACAAUUGAAUUACUGAUUACAGCUCUAUUCCAUUACAGUGAACCAAAUAUAUCCUUAGUAUGAAUGGCUGUCGAGGCAUGUAGAAAUUUGCACACAAAAGAACAAAAUUGUGCACUACUUAAAACUUCAAAGCAUGUGUGGCCUUAAUUUAAUUUUUCAUCUUUUUUAGCCCUUAAACCUACAUUGUUUAUCAGAUGAAAAAAUUAAUAUCUAUUAACUUUGCUAAUGUGCAAGCAUAUGCAACUUCUUUUAAAUCUAAAAAAUAUAAAAAUAAUUAAAUAUGUAUAAAUCUAAAGAUAUCUUAAACUUAAAACUAAAAUUUUUUAAACUAAUGCAAAUUUUUAUUAUUUAAAAAAUCUUAAAAUUUUCAAAUUAAAUUCCAUUUGUUUUCCACCGUUGAAGAACACCUUUAAUCACAACUUCAUGCUGUAUUGCCUAGAAAUUGUUUUGCAAAUUUAUUUUGUUUUAUUUAUUUCUAAACCCAUAUUUCUUUUCUAUAACUCCAAUUAUUAGAUUGUUUAGGGUUUUGAGUAACUUUCGAUUUUGGAAUUUUAGAUUUUUUAAAUUUAAAUAUGAAGUGCUCUUCUUCUUCUCCAAACCCACAAAUUUUUCUGCCAAAUUUCUACUCAAGGUUUUACUUUCAGCUAUAAAUAAAGCGUAUAUUAUAUUUAUAAUGAUCUAAGAAUAGUAGAGUCGAUGCCGAUCUACAUGAAAAAGGAUGAAAAAAAAAGGCAAAGAAUGAUAAUAUGAAGAGAGCAUAAAUCAAUAAAGCAAAUGAAAAACGAGCAGGAUUAAAGUAAAUGGGUAUUUAAUAUUUUUUUGUGAAAGUUCAAAGACUGAUUAUUUAUAAAAUUGGAUGUGGAAAAAUUAGUUGGAAUUUUUUUUCUUACACCAAUUGAUUUUUUAUAUAAAAUUUUUAUUUAUUUUUAAGUGUUGAAACCACUUUUUGAAAACAAAAAAAAAGUGUUACUUUUAUUUUGAAAACGGAAACGAAAAAAUGGGAGUCGCCACCGAUAUUUUUUUUGAGGUGUGAUCGGAUCACCUUAAAACAAUUUUGGUCUACGAAUAAAAAAAUGGGUCCGGGAGUCAAUUACGUAGGAGGAAGGAUUAGCACCCUCAUAACGCCCAAAAUUGAUACCGAAUUGCAUAAUUAAUGUCUUAAAGUCGAAUGUCGAAAAUUCAAAAAGAUUAAAAAUGAUCCCCUUUAAUUAAUGACAUAUUUUUAAACAAUAUUUGUAUAAAUUUGAUCAUAUGUAGAAAGGUCUUCUCAUCCUGAGUCAACAAAAUGUCGUAUCCCAUAAGUUAGGAUGCGACAUUUAGAUUUCCGAGCAUAAUCUAGCCUUUAAAACCCUUUAUUGAAACUUUAUGUAUUUGAAAACUAAAAAUGUUUGACCAUCUUGGUUCAAUGAGGAAAUCGAAAACCCGUAAGUUAGGACAAAUUUCCUCAAAGUUCCAAAGACGAUAUAUACGUUUGCCUUUAUUUAAAAAAAAAAGAUACUCGGUUACUUAAAUUCAACGAGGAAAAUUGGAGCCUAAUAAGUUAGGGCACAAUCUUCUCGAAAAUAUUGGAUACCGGGUAUUACGUUAUUUUGAAAACUUUGAAUAAAAUGAUUUCAAUACUUUGACUAAACGCAACAUUUUAAAUGAAUAAAAUGCGAUGGAACAAUAACGUAUAACGCGAAGUGAUAAUUCGUAAACUAAAAUAUACGCUAAUGAUCGACAAAGAAUCAAUGAAUACGAGUAAGCAAUACAAUACAUCAUAUAAGAGCAACAAUCUCAUAUCCCACAUUAUGCAAAUACUAACAUCCAUUUUAGCAAGCUAAAUGAAUUAAAAGUUAAUUAAAGAACAGCAAGCAAAUUAAUGUAAAUCUAAUAUAACAAGCUUUAAAAUAAAAUAAAAAUAAAAAUCAUGAAAAAGAGGAAAAUUCAAACACUAAAUUGUAUGUAUAAAAUAUUUGGCACAAAUAAUAUAUAGGAAAACUUGCAAUAAAAAAAUGAAGAAAAUAAAGAAUAAAUAAGAUGCAAAAUAAUACAUGUUCAUCUAAAUAAGUAGUACAUAUAAAAUAAAAUUUUAAUAUAAAUGUUGAAAUAAACAAAGCGUGUAAUUGAACAUCAUUUCCACUAACUAGAUCCUUCUUCGUCAACUGCUGCGAUUGCCUUUCUUUGACUUUCUUUUUCGCCUCUUCUCAUGUUGGUUUUCAACCAAAUUCACCAACCAUUUCGGUUUUCCAGUUUGGAAAACAACAUAUCCCACCAACAUUCCGAACACUACUCCGCAUCCAUAACCUAUCAACACCACUUUCCAACCAAAAGUAAUGUUUGAUUUUGAGCCAUCUUUUUCAAGCACAUCUGGAGGUGUUGGCGCAAUGAUGUUGCAACCUUUCGAGACCGGAAACCCACAUAUGAAUCAUUUCCAAAUGUGUUGAAUUGUUUGCCUUGAGGAAUCUGACCAUGGAGUUGAUUUUCAGAAACAUUUAAGGACAAAAGAAAUGGCAGAUCUACCAAUCUAUUUGGAAUGGUUCCAGACAACCUGUUUGAAGAUAGUGUUGGCACAUAAUUAAAUUAACCUUGCACAAAUAAAUUAUGAAAAGUUAGAAGAGUGAAGAGACUUGAAUAUGAAAAGUGAAAAAACUUGAAUAUGAAUAGUGAAGAGACUUGAAGAUGAAAAGUUAAGAGGCUUGAAUAUGAAAAGAUACACACAUGCAUGAAUAGUCACAACUCCUAGCAUAUAGUGAUAUAGAUGAAUAGUCACUUACAACUCCUAUAUAAAGAGUUGUAUGUGAUGAAGAAUUAUUAACUUUGUGUGCUUGAAAUAAAAGAUUAUUUGAAAGAAUUUUUUCAUACAAAAUUUAUUUCUCUUCUCCAUUAUAUUCUUUAUCAUUUUCUUUGUUUUAUUUCUCCAAAUAUUAAUCAUUCAACUACAAAUUGGUAUCAAAGCCUUGUUCAAUCGAAAUGAACAAUUCUAUUCCUCUUUCUUCCGUUCCCCAAUUAACCAAAGAAAAUUAUGGCAAAUGGAGUAUCCAAAUGAAGGCUCUUCUUGGAUCUCUAGAAGUUUGGGAGAUUGUUGAAAAAGGUUAUAAUGAAGUUGAGGGUGAAGAGGAGGAAGGAUUAACACAAGUUCAAAAAGAGAGUCUAAGAAAAUCAAGGAAGAAAAAUCAGCAAGCCUUAUUUUGGAUAUAUCAAGGAGUUCAAUCAUAUGAAGCGGCUUGGGAAAAAAUAGCUUGUGCCACCACGGCAAAACAAGCAUGGGAAUUUUUACAAAAUUCAUUCAAAGGAGAUGAAAAGGUGAAAAGAGUUCGGUUGCAAACUCUUUGAGGAGAGUUUGAAAGAUUGCAAAAAAUAGAGUCAGAAUCAGUUUCUGAUUACUGUUCACGGGUUUUGUCCAUAGUCAAUCAAUUAAAAAGAAAUGGUGAAACUAUGGAUGAUAUUCGUGGUGUUGAGAAAAUCCUCCGUUCUUUAGAUUCCAAAUUUGACUACAUUGUGGUUGCCAUAGAAGAAUCAAAGGACUUGAGUACCAUGACUAUUGAUGAACUCACAGGUUCGUUGCAAGCCCAUGAAGAAAGAUUAAACAAGAAGAAAAAGGAAGUAGAUCUAGAUCAAGCACUUCAGUCAAAGUUGUCUCUAAAUGAGAAUAAGGGAGAUUUUAAAAAUCAAAGAGGGAGAGAUCGUGGUCGUGGAAGAGGAAGAAAUUUUAGAGGAAGAGGCUCAAAUGCUCGUGAAAGAGGUGAAGAUGUAAGCAUGGAGAAUGGAUGGAAAGAAGCCAACCAAAGUCAAAAUUUUAGAGGAUCACAAAGAGGACGUGGACGUAGAAAUCAAAGAGGAAGAGGUCGUGGCUAUUUUGAAUGUUAUAAUUGUCGCAAACCUGGUCAUUUGGCAAGUGAAUGCUGGUACAAAGAAGAAGAGAAAAAUGAAGCUAAUAUAGUACAAAAUAAUCAAGAGCAAAAGCAAGAAACUUUGUUGCUCGUAUCUCAUGGUGGAGAGAUUGAUGAUGUCUGGUACAUAGACAGUGGUGCUAGCAAGCAUAUGACAGGUAACAAAAAUUUAUUUUCGAAGUUCUUUGAAUCUGAUUGUGGAGAAGUAAAAGUAGGAGAUGGCAAAGCUUACAAAGUUAGCGGUGUUGGUGAGUUGGAGUUCAAAACAAAGCAAGGAAGGGUAGAGAAAAUGUCUGAAGUUUAUUUUGUUCCUGGUCUUAAAAAUAAUCUGCUUAGCGUUGGGCAUCUCUUGAAGAAGGGGUAUGAUAUUCAUUUCCGAGACAUGGCUUGCUAUUUAUCAAAGAAAAAUCAGGUUGUUGCUAGAGUUGGAGUGGCAUCAAAUAAUCUUUUCUCUCUUACCCUUCAAAAUCAGAAUAUGUCUUGUUUUAUUGGUGCUCAUAAAGGAAUUUCAAAGUUAUGGCAUGAUAGAUAUGGACAUUUAAACUAUGGAAAUUUGGAGAUGCUUUCAAGGAAGAUGAUGGUUAGAGGUUUACCAAAAAUCGAUCGGCUUGAUGAUGUUUGUGAAGCAUGUCAACUUGGAAAGCAACAUAAAAUUGCUUUUCCUUCUCAAUCCUCGUGGAAAGCAAGAAGACCAUUGCAACUUAUUCACUCAAAUCUUUGUGGUCCAAUGACAGUUUCAUCUUUAGGAGGUAAUCGUUACUUUAUCUCUUUCAUUGAUGAUUACUCAAGAAAGUUAUGGGUGUAUUGUGUCAAAGAAAAAUCAGAGGCUUUUCAGAGAUUCAAAGAUUUCAAGGCAGAAGUGGAGAACUUUACUGGGUUGAAAAUUAACACCUUGCGUACAGAUCGUGGAGGUGAAUAUUUUUCAAAAGAAUUUGAGAAAUAUUGCCGAGAUAGUGGCAUCCGGCAUGAAAUGACAGUCCGCCAUACACCUCAGCAAAAUGGUGUGUGUGAAAGAAAGAACAGAACAAUUAUGGAAAUGGCUAGAUGUCUUCUUAAUAAGAAGAGGUUAUCAAGAAGAUUUUGGGCUGAAGUUGUUUCCUGUGCAGUUUAUCUUAUAAACAGAUCACCGACAAGAAGCUUGGAGAAUUACACACCACAUGAGGCGUGGUAUGGUAUAAAGCCUAGUGUUAGUCAUCUUAGAGUAUUUGGGAGUGUUGCCUACUCUCUAUUCCAGAUGCAAUGAGAAGCAAGUUGGAUGACAAGUCAGAGAAAUGCAUUUUUAUUGGCUAUAGUGAAAGAAGUAAGGCAUACAAGUUGUAUAAUCCGGUGACAAAGAAGAUUGUGAUAAGCCGAGAUGUUCGGUUUGAUGAAAAUUCCAUGUUUGAAGAUAUGGAAGUUGAAAAGGAAAAUUUGCCAAUUUUUCCUUUUGAACUUGAAGAAGAAGAAGAGGCAGUAAUUGAGAAUGCUGAAGAUGAUGCUCAAGUAGAAAAUCCUCCUGCUUCCCCAUGUUCUUCAUCAAAUUCUUCUUCAUCCAGCCCGAUCCGAAAAACGAGAAGCAUCCAAGAGUUAUAUGAUGUAACGGAUGAAGUUGUGCAAAAUGAUGCUGUAUUCUUUGCCUUCUUUGCAGGAGAAGAUCCAAUUUCUUUUGAUGAUGCAUAUCAAGAAGAAAUAUGGAGGAAAGCCAUGAAAUAAGAGAUUUUCUCAAUUGAAAACAAUGAUACAUGGGAACUCACAGAUUUACCGCCGCACAAGAAUUCAAUUGGAGUCAAAUGGGUGUACAAGACAAAGAUGAAUCCGAAUGGCUCUAUCAACAAGUACAAGGCAAGACUGGUUGCAAAAGGAUACAAGCAAAAGGAAGGAGAAGAUUUUACAGAGGUAUUUGCUCCAGUUUCAAGACUUGAGACAGUUCGGUUACUUAUUUCUCUUGCUGCCCAAAAUAAUUGGAAAAUAUUCCAAAUGGACGUAAAAUCUGCGUUUUUGAAUGGUGUUCUCAAAGAAGAAGUCUAUGUUGAUCAACCACCAGGGUUUGUCAAAAAAGGAGAAGAAGAAAAAGUUUACAAGUUGAAGAAAGCUUUGUACGGGUUGAAGCAAUCACCCAGAGCAUGGUACAGCCGCAUCGAUUCUUAUUUUCAGAAGUGUGGAUUCCAGAAAUCUCCAUAUGAGCAUACUCUCUACAUCAAAGGCAAUUAUCAAGGAAGAUUCAUGGUUGUAAGUCUCUACGUUGAUGAUCUUAUUUUCACAGGAAAUGAUGUGAAGAUGUUGAAAGAAUUUCAGCACUCAAUGAUGGCAGAAUUUAAGAUGACAGAUUUGGGAGAACUUCAUCAUUUUCUUGGCAUUGAAGUUCAUCAAUCCGAGAAAGGAAUUUUUAUUUCACAAGAGAGCUACGCAAAGGAAGUUCUAAAAAAAUUCAUGAUGGAAAAUGCGAAUCCAGUCUCUACUCCAUGCAUUACAGGUCUGAAGUUAUCUAAAGAGGGUGAAGGAAAGCUUGUCAAUUCCACCAUAUUCAGAAGUUUGGUUGGGAAGUUGAUGUAUCUGACUUCGACAAGGCCUGAUAUCGUGUAUGUUGUUAGCUUGGUAAGUAGAUUCAUGGAGAAACCUUACUCCAAUCACUGGGAGGCUGCCAAGAGAAUAUUGAGAUAUGUGAAGGGAACCAUUGAUUAUGGAAUUUUCUAUAAAUCUAAUACAUUAGUUGAUCUCAUUGGUUAUACGGAUAGUGAUUUAGCAGGAAGCAUUGAUGAUAGCAGAAGCACUUCUGGUUAUGUUUUUCACCUUGGUAGUGGUGCAGUUUCAUGGAGUUCAAAGAAACAAUCAAUUGUGGCGCUUUCGACUAUAGAAGCUGAAUAUAUCGCUGCAUCUUAUGCAGGAUGUCAAUUGAUUUGGUUACGUGGAAUUUUGGAAAGUCUUAAGCAGAAGCAAAGCAAGUCAACAAUUUUGUUUUGUGACAAUAGUUCUACUAUUUCGGUCACAAAAGAUCCAAUUCUUCAUAGAAGGACAAAACACAUUCGCAUUCGAUAUCACUUCUUGAGAGAACUAGUGAAUAAUGGUGAUGUUCAAGUUGAAUAUUGCAAGACGGAAGAUCAGAUGGCUGAUAUCUUCACAAAGCCUCUAAGUGGACAAGUCUUCAAGAAAAAUGUUGAAAGGUUGGGAGUUCAAAGCAAGUUUAAUUUAAGGGAGGCAUUGUUGGCACAUAAUUAAAUUAACCUUGCACAAAUAAAUUAUGAAAAGUUAGAAGAGUGAAGAGACUUGAAUAUGAAAAGUGAAAAAACUUGAAUAUGAAUAGUGAAGAGACUUGAAGAUGAAAAGUUAAGAGGCUUGAAUAUGAAAAGAUACACACAUGCAUGAAUAGUCACAACUCCUAGCAUAUAGUGAUAUAGAUGAAUAGUCACUUACAACUCUUAUAUAAAGAGUUAUAUGUGAUGAAGAAUUAUUAACUUUGUGUGCUUGAAAUAAAAGAUUAUUUGAAAGAAUUUUUUCAUACAAAAUUUAUUUCUCUUCUCCAUUAUAUUCUUUAUCAUUUUCUUUGUUUUAUUUCUCCAAAUAUUAAUCAUUCAACUACAGAUAGGUCCAACCAUUCAAGACUUGUCAAAUCCCCUACUGAGGUAGGGAUACCACUAUUAAGGUUAUUAUGAGAAAGGUUGAGCCCUUUCAGUAAGUUAAGCUUCCCAAUAACCUUUGGAAUCUCCCCUUCAAACUGAUUGCUUGAUAGAUCAAUGAUCACCCACAUAGUGAAAAUUUUCACCAAUUCCACGUCUUGUCCUUUCAUAACAAUUCCAAUGGAAUAGGCAUAGAAGUCAUCUCCAUCAUUCACCCCCAUGUACGACACUGUACUACUAACCUUCUCUAGAUUUAUGAUAGCCUUGAAGCUGUUGAUGUAUCUCACUAGUAGGGGUCCAGAAAAAUAAUUACUUGAGAGGUCAAAAAUUUGGAUUUUAGAGAAAAAAGGGCUAGACUUGGAGUUAUUGACACACAGGGAACCAUGCAUUUGAUUUGACUUUAGUACAAGAACUUGUAGCUGUGGAAGACUUCCCAACCAAUGAGGAAAUGUAUCAUUGAUCUUGUUGUUACCAAGAUCUAGUACUUCCAGACCUCUACAAUUAAGGAUGGAUGGUGUCAAAGGCCCUCCUAACAGAUUUCCAUUUAAAUUGAAAUUACUCAAUUGGCAUCCCAUUGCAAAUGUUGGAGGAAUCGUCCCAUAGAACUUGUUCUUCUUCAGAUUCAAGAAUUGAAGGCUGUUGCUCAAAUUUCCAAAACACUGCGGAAUUGUUCCACUCAAGUAAUUGUGGGACAAAUCAAGAAUUUGAAGAUAAGUGGCAUUGCAUAUUAAUGAAGAGACCUCUCCAUUGAAACAAUUAUUUGAGAUCAAAAAGACAGUGAUGGUCGAAGCUGGAAUCGGAAGAUUUCCACUGAUCAAAUUGGAGCUUAAGUCAAGAACAUCAAUAUUCUUCCAUGGAAAGUGCUCAGCUUCUGUCAAAGAGUUGUGAAAUACAUUUAAGUAAGUCAAAGAGCCAUUCCCCACCUCUUGCAUCCACUAUGGAAUCUUGCCUUUAAUUUUGUUGCAAGAGAGGUCUAAGCUUUCCAAACUUUUAAGCCCUUUUAAAAAUUGGGGGAAUUCACUAAGAUUGCAAGAUGACAAAAAUAACCAUUCAAGAUUUCCACUGAUCAAAUUGGAGCUUAAGUCAAGAACAUCAAUAUUAUGACGAUAUAUAAGUUUCCCUUUAUUUUUUAAAAAAAAACCUCGUCUCGAGAUAUCGAAAGGUCAUAUCCAAUGAGUUAGGACACAACGUUUUGAAUUCCCGAGAUAAGCUUUAAUUUGAAAUUUUUAUAUUUUAAUUAAAAAAUGAUACUCAGUUACUUAAAUUCAACGAGGAAAAUUGGAGCCCAGUAAGUUAGGGCACAUUCUUCUCGAAAAUCUUGGAUACCGGGUAUUACGUUAUUUUGAAAACCUUUGAAUAAAACGAUUUCUAUACUUUGAUUAAAUGCAACCUUUUAAACGAAUAAAAUGCGAUGGAACAAUAACAUACAACCCGAAGUGAUAAUUCGUAAACUAAAAUAUAUGCUAAUGAUUGACAAGGAAUCAAUGAAUACGAGUAAGCAAUACAAUACAUCAUAUAAGAGCAACAAUCUCAUAUCCCACAUUAUGCAAAUACUAACGUCCAUAUUAGCAAGCUAAAUGAAUUAAAAGUUAAUUAAAGAACAGCAAGCAAAUUAAUGUAAAUCUAAUAUAACAAGCUUUAAAAUAAAAUAAAAAUAAAAAUCAUGAAAGAGAGGAAAGUGCUAAGGGAUAAGAUUGAAGGCCCGUAAUAUGAUCGCAAGACAAAGAAGCACGCUCUGUUAUGGAAAAAGAGUUCUUGAACUGGAUUAAUGAAGAGCAGGAGUGAGAUCCUGAAGAAGAAAAAGAAGCAUAAAGAUGGGGAAAAAAGAGGAAUAGGGAGAGAAAGAGAUAGGAGGCCAUGUUAUGUUUGUAGAGGAAGAAGGAUAGGAAUGGUAUUUAUAGGCAACAAAUAAUACCACAACAUUGGUGUUACAGUCUUUUUUUUCUUUUACAUUGAAAUGCUACAGAUAUUAGAUUUUCAAAAUAUUUGUAUUUUUCACAAUCAUCAACACUUAGUCGUCAUUUUACCAUAUAUUUUUCAUUCUUUUUUUUUUUAACAAAAUCUUGUAUAUCAUUUGGACUCGCUAAACAACUAAAAAAAUAAAGAUUGAUGAGAUUACAAAGUAGAUUGACUUAGUCUUCUUCCCUAUAACAUGUAAAGAAUGUAUGUGUCUAUUCAAUUGCCUGUCAACCAAAGCUUAUUAAUGUGGAAAUUCUUUUCCACACAAAAGAACAAAAUUGUGCUCUAUUCAGCUACGUUUGAGGAAGGAGACGGCUGGAAAUUUAAUCCACCGAUUCCAUAAAAACGUGUAUAUUUAUUUAUAAAUAUAUAUAUAACCUCAUGAUUCAAAUCUAAAAUCUCAUUUGUUAUAAAUUCUUAUAAAUUUAUUUGGGAAUAGUUAUUUUUCAUUCGUUAAUUAUUUCUCUUUUAGCCGUGAAACUUAUAUGGUUCGUUAAAUCGCCCCAAAAAAUGAUAAAAAAGAUUAACAAAACUAGCCCCUACGUGGCUGAUGUUGACCCUUAGUAGUUAAUGGCAACUCCUAUGUAAUUGUUAACAGAUACCACAGCAACAAUGUUUGUUGACGUGACAAUGCCACAUGACCAAUAAUCGUUGUCAUGGUAGUGCCACGCCGUCACCCAUUGAUGACAUAUUAACCUUCGAGUUAAACUCAAAUUGCUCUUUCCUUUGUUAUAAAUUAAGAGUAUAACUAAUUUUGAUAAGAAUAGUUACUUUUCAUUAACUCAGUUUAAAGGACUAUAACACGUAAAGUUUGGUCUAUUGCAGAAUUCACAUGCAAUGCGGGAUAUUUACAUUUUGAAGAAUUCAACACAUAUAUGGGAAUUUUUGUAUUUCCACAAUCAUAAUUUUGUUAGUGAUCAACAACUACUUCCUCCUUACCAUAUAUUUUUCAUUCAUAAAAUUGAUUACUUUUUUUAUCAAAGAAGUAAAAUAAUUAACAUUCUUAAGAUUACAAAGUCUUCUUCCUUAUAACACGUAAAGUUUAGUUCCAAAUAAUUUUCCACAAAAAAAAGACCAUCAAUUGUCGAUUGACUAUACUUUAACUCCAAAAAAAAGACUAAGACUAUCAAUUGUCUAUUGACUACACUUUAACUCGACAAAAAAGGACUAAGACUAAGACUUUCAAUUGUCUAUUGACUUCACACUUGCGGUUGCUUCCUCCUAUCUCUCUCACCCAAACUUAAUUUAGAAGCAAUGGGGAAAUUUUGGACAUUUGGGCCACAAUGAACAAUACUUCCACACCAUUUGCAGUAUUGACUACGUUUACUUGAGGGAAAACAAAGACAUGAAUGCUGGAAAUUUUAACUAGUUUGUACCGUCAAUGAAGCUACGUACCUAAAAGCCUUUUAGGAUAUCAAUUCCUGUAAUUGGAUUAAUCUCAUCGUUGCUGCAAUCUUUUGACAGUGUAAUCGAAUCUUAAAUAUGUUACUCUGCAAUGCUGUUGUAAAAAUUACUCUUAAAAUUGUCGAUAGAUAUAUAGGUUUGGCACAAAAUUAAGAAUACACAAAGGCAGGUUGAAUUAUUCCAUGUUUGAACAUAAAUUCAUAUGGCAAAAGGGCCCAAACCAUACCUUAUGUUCAUGAAUUCUCAUCAUCACAUGUUUAUAAAUGCAUCUCAAAACUUGAAUAAUUGAAUCUUUUGUAAUUCUACAUGUAUUUUUUUUUAUGGUGAGCAGUAUAAUGUUUACUAAAAAUUGAAAUUCAAGAAAGAAGACAUACAUAGUUGCACCAUACAAGUUGUUACACUCGAACUAAACCCUUACAAAUAGUACGAGAUGCAAUGAAAUACAGAGGAAUUGGUACAAUCAUAAAGACAGACACAUACCAAUGCAACUUUUCACCAUAGGAAAAACUUUCUGACAGACUACUAAACAAGAAAUUAUGAAGACACAGCAGAAAUGCUUUGACUUCUUUUGCACCAACUAGAUCCUUCUUCAUCCAUUGAUGCGAUUGCUAUAUUUUGGCUUUCUUCUUCGCCUCUUCUCAUGUUGGUUUUCAACCAAAUUCACAAACCUUUUCACCUUACCGGUUUGGAAAACAACAUAUCCCAUGGCCAUUCCAAACACUACCCCGCAUCCACAACCUAUCAACACCACUAUCCAACCAAAAGCAAUGUUUGCUUUUGAGCCAUCCUUUUCCAGCACAUUUGGAGGUGGUGUCUCAUUGAUGCUGCAACCUUUGGAGACUGGGAAUCCACAUAGUCUCUGUUUCCUUCAUAUGAAUUGUUUCGAAAUGUAUUGACAAUCUGACCAUGGAGUUGAUUUUCAGAAACGUUUAAGAAGAAAAGAAAUGCCGGAUCUGCCAAUAUCUCUGGAAUUAACUCAGUUCAAAUGACCAUAUAACUCGUAAAGUUUGGUCGAAGACUGGCAGCGUCUAUUGACUUCAACUCUUGCUAUUACCUCAAGAAGAAAGACUGCUACAAUUCUAUCUUCUUUAAACCAGCUAUUUAAAAGCAAUAAGGACAUUAAAUCCACCAAUUUAUCUUUGAAGUCAUUCGUCAUGCAGCUCUGCUAUGUACGAUUAUUGGCAAAAAUCUUGAAAGGAGACAACCUCAAAUUUGAAGACAAGAAAUGAGCAAGAACAUGCACCAACGAAGAAUCGAUUAUUGUUUUGUAUUUGGUAAAUACAAUUUGAGUUAAAUAAUCAAGAAUGAUAGUGAAUAAAUAAGGAAAAACAAUGUAGAUUCAGAACCACAAUAAAUCAUAUUAAGCUCAUGAGUUUAUAAUAUAUAUCUCUGCAGCUUGAUUGCCUUGUUAGCUAUAAACAUAACCUGUUAAUUCCAUCAUUAAUACCAUUAGAUAUAUUUUGAUGGGGGAGAUUUUUUAGUAGGAAAACAGUUGAAGUCAUUCAAGAAGACAUAAACAGCUGCAACUACGUAAGAGUUUAACUUUGAGAAUAGAUCCUUACACGUUAUUGAAAUGCCAUACUAAAGAUAAAGACAUAUAGCUAAACGUUAGACACACCAUAAAAAUAUAUAUAGGUAAAGUGAUAGGGUGUGAGUAAGGAGGCCAUGCUAUGUUUUCAAAUAAGAUUAUCAUGGUAUGAAUUAUGAGAACCCUAUUUAUAGGAAGAACAAAACCGAUAUGAAACUAAGAAUAUAGUCCAUUGAUAAUGAAGAAUCUAAGAAAUUUAAUGGAAAUUGUGGAUAAGCAUCGUGUUUUUAUCUCUGAUGGAGAAAAGCUAAGAGUGUGAGGAAGACCAACUGUCAAUGUCACCCAAACCGAAUCUACAAGUCACCACAAUGUACAGUAAUUCAAAGCAGGAAAAGUUCAUAGUUUCAGAGUAAAUAACACUUCAAUGAUUGUAUUAUAGAAAACAUGUGUAUCCUAUAUAUGUUGAACAAUAUUAUCUAACAAACAUAUUUUCCAAAAGACUAGAAAAUUUGUGAUUAAAUGCUAAAGUUACAUAUUUUAUGUAAUUAAAUUGGUUAAUUUAUGAGAGUGCACCACUAAUUUUUCCAUGUUUUUGUUGAAUUUUGUGCAGGGGUGCAAUUUGGGGCUAAAUAGAAGAAAAAGGAAACAAUUGGGCUAGAUUGAAGAGAGAAGCAAAGAAGGAGGGCCAAAACAGAAUUUUUCCAGAUUAAUUAGCUGAAAUUUUUGUUGACUUAGUGGGAGAUUAUUUUGGGAUUUUUUUUUAUAUCAUGGAAUAUUUUUCCUUAAUUUUCUAUACUAGUUGGCUUUUAAUUUAGCAAGGCCACUAGUAUAAAUAGAGGCUACAUUGUUCAUUUUAAUCAUCAAGUCUUGAAUCAAUUCAUAAAUCAAGCUUUCAUCUUUCAAUACAUUCUCUCUUUUCUACUCACAAAUUUAUUUGUUGUUUUUAGUUUCAUUUACUUUCAAUCCAUUAAUUUCCAGCUUGUUACCACUUAAACCAUUUUCAAUUUCUUUUUCAAACUUUCUUUCCAUCUCCAGUAGCUAAUUCACUUUAUUACACCCCCAAAAUUCCAGCCCCCCAAACUAAAUCACGCCACCCAUUCCUUUCACCCAUUUUACCUUAUUUAAUUUAUCCAAUACCAACAUGCCCCAAACCUUAGCCAACUAAAUUCAUUUCCAGCUUUAGGUCGGAAUUAGCCUCGUCAAAACCCGUGAGUUACGAACCCGAGCAAAUUAACUCCUAAAUUUUAGUACUUAUUAUUUCUCCGGAUUAAGAGUAUGAUUUUGUCAACUCACAAAGUCAGAUCAACAUUAAGUUAAAAAAGACGUCGUUUGAUUUAGUGUGGUUAGACGUACAGUUGGAAUUCCAAAAAGAUCGAUUCUAAUCGGUUUUCUGUGAACACAUUGGCGUGCCAAUUGGAGAUUGCUGUUUGGUUCCGUCAAGGGAAGUAGUAACCCGAUUUAAAUGUCCCACGCGGUUGAGGGCAUUGGUUCGAGCUAGGGUUUUCUAGAACGCAAAGCUGCCGGAGUUCUAAAUCACGAACAUUUCGUGGUUGUUCGAUCAGUAAGGGUUAGUUAUUGGACGUUCCAUAACUAAUUUACACAAGGAAGAGUUAGUGUCUGAGGCGUCCUUGGUAGCUAUAACUAGCUUAUUGGAAAAGAGGAGUUCAUCUAAUUUUGAGAAUCGGUUCAAAGACGAGGAAAAUUCGUGCCUAAAGCUGAGCUUAUUCUAAUUAAAUUUUCUUCAUAUUUAUUUAACUAUUUUAAUUAUUCUGUUUUCAACUUUAUCUUUUCACGCAUUUUAUUUAUUUAUUUCAGGUCUUCAAAUUUUAUCCCCCCGAACUUCUUGGGCACGACAACUGCCCCAACAUAAAUCUGGUCAAAAUAGAAACAAUUUGCAGUAAACCCAGUCUCUGAGGGAUCGACCCUACUCCCUAUACUGUUUAAAUCGCAAAUUAGGCGUAGGUUUAUAUUGGUGGAUUCGACACCCAUCAAUUUGUAUGUCAUUUUCUAUUACUUGCAAGAAAACUACAGGGGAAAUUGCAUUUCUAAUUCAUCCAUAGGCUUUAAAUUCAAACAAGAAAAAGGAAAAAGAAUAUAUAUAUAUCAACAGGAAACUUCAAGGAGAGAAAUUUUGUUACAUCAAUUUUCCAGUCAUAUUUAAUCUUUACCCAAAGUUGAUUCUAGAUUAAAUUUGGAAAAAAUUAAAAAAGAGGACAUGUAUUUUUUUUUAUUUUUGAAAAGUAAAGGAUUAUAUCUCAGCCAAAUAAAAAAGUCACAAUGCAAAGCCAAGAGCCAAAGCCAAGCCAAGCACACACUCAACUAGCAGACAUAACUCAUACAGGACCUAGAUGUAUUAUUGAACUCUUAUAUAAAAGACAACUGAAGAUGCAAAGCUUAAUUGUUAAGCUUUUCUGAUGCUUGAUAAGCAUAGUUUUAGUUCAGUUCCGAAAUCUAAACUGCUUUGCUAUGGGAUUAUUUUUAUAAGUACAUUGAGAUCAAUGCAUGCUAUUGCGAUUUAUUAUCUUUGAUGCCAAGGAAAUGACAGAAUUCAAAGACCAAAAGGUUCGAUUACAUACUAGAUCAUGGAUGUAAGCCAAUCUACAACCUCUCUCCUCGACCUCCAUGUGAAACCAGCAUGAUUUGAAUUCUCAGCCGCAUAUACCCUCACAAACUCCUCAGCAACAACAUAAAACAUAUACCUAACACUCCUUUGAGAACCGAUAACUGCACAGACAGAUUCACUAAUGGAAGCCUUCAAGAAAUAUUGAACCACACAAUUACCACACUUCUGUGAAAUAAACUUGUUGGUGCAAAGAGACAACAAUAGACUGUUUUCAAUCUUGCUUGUAUAGCAAGCCUCGAGCCUUGCUGAAGAAACAAACUCAAAAGCAAGAACAGAAACACAUGCGAAUGAAAAACAAAAGAAAUUGAGAGAGAGAGUAUUUUGAAUGAAAAGAGCUGAUAUUUCAUUAACAAAUCCAGAAGGCAUAAUGCCAUUACAUAUAAUAGAUAACAACAACAAAAUGAACAAGUCUUUACCUAAUGACAUACCUAACACCACUAAAUUUACAUUGGAAAUUGUUAAUCAGCUUGCUUAAGUUUCUUUGCUGAUUUUUUCAGUCAAUCAAUCAACAAAAAACAUCAUAAGGUUUACCAACUUAGUUCAACAUGAACUAGAUUACAAAAUAAUAAUUAAAAAUACAAUCAAAACAUAACAAGUAGUUAGGCAACUUUAAGCUCCAGUUUCUGCACUUCAUAGCUCGACUGCUUGCUGCCACUUCUCCUUGCAUGGCCACCUUUGCAUGUCUUGCAUGGGAACUAAAUUCAACACUCCUCCUUAGUUUCCAUGCUAGUGACACCUAAUUGCCUUCUUAAUUUAACAAAUUUAGACACAUUGAGUGCCUUUGUAAAGAUAUCAGCAAUUUGCUCUUCUGAAUUGCAAUGAACCAGCUCGAUUUCAUGAGCUUGCUCCAUCUCCCUUAUGACAUGUAGCUUGAUGUUGAAGUACUUUGCUCUACCAUGAAAGAUAGGAUUCUUUGCAAUUGCAACAGCAGAUUUGUUGUCACAGUAAAUCUCUGUUGCCUUUCCUUGAUUUUGAUUUAAAUCAGCUAGGAUUUUUCUAAGCCAUAUGGCUUGAUUUACAGCAGAUGCAGCAGCAACAUAUUCAGCUUCUGCUGUUGACUGUGCUACCAGACUUUGCUUUUUAGAACUCCAGCAAAACAUGCCUGAGCCAAGACUAAAGGCAUAUCCAGAUGUGCUUCUCAUGUCAUCACAAGAUCCAGCCCAGUCACUAUCAACAUAGCCUAUUAGCUUCAUGUUUAUAGCCCUUUUGAACAAUACACCAUGAUCAAUGGUGCCUUUGAUGUAUCUAAGCACUCUUUUAGCUGCUUGAAAGUGCUGAUCAUUGCAGCAAUUCAUGUAUCUGGAUAGCACACUAACAGCAAACAUGAUAUCGGGUCUUGUUGCAGUCAAAUACAACAGACUACCAAUGAGACUUUUGUACAUAGUCUCGCAAAUUGGUUCACCACUCCCUUGCCUCGAAAGCUUCACUCCAACAGCCAUUGGUGUGCUUGUUGGCUUGCAGUUCUUCAUAGAGAACUUAUCCAGGAUCUUCAUAGUAAAAGAACUCUGACUAAGAAAGAUUCCCUUUGCUGUUUGCUUCACUUCCAUUCCAAGGAAGUAGUUCAUUCUGCCUAAAUCAGACAUUUCAAACAUUUCCAUCAUUUUUCUUUUGAAAUCUUCCAGCAUUCUUCUAUCUCCUCCAGUCACCAAUAAAUCAUCAACAUAGAGUGACAGGAUAAGCUGAGUUUCAGCUUGGUUCUUCUUCACAUACAGUGUUGGUUCACUGAGACUUCUCUCGAAUUCCAAACUGAGCAAGUAAGAAUCAAUUCGAGCAUACCAGGCUCAAGGAGCCUGUUUUAGGCCAUACAAAGCCUUUUUCAGUCUGUACACCUUGUGUUCUUUGCCAGUGACCACAAAUCCUUGAGGCUGUUCGAUGUAGAUCUCUUCUUCCAGGAAACCAUUGAGAAAUGCAGACUUAACAUCAAGCUGAUGAAUGGUCCACUGAUGUUGAGCAGCCAAGGCAACUAUCAUUCUAACUGUGUCAAGCCUGGCUACUGGUGCAAAUGUCUCCAGAUAGUCCAGACCAUACCUUUGGCUAAAACCUUUGACAACAAGCCUGGCUUUUAGCUUGUUCAGACUGUCAUCUGCAUUCUGUUUUGCUCGAUAGACCCAUUUUACUCCAAUGGUCUUCUUUCCAGUAGGUUUAUCAACUAGCUCCCAUGUCUGGUUCUUCUCAAUCAUGUUGAUUUCAUCGACCAUAGCUAGUUUCCAGCCUUCAUCUGCCUCAGCCUCUUCAAAACUGCUAGGUUCUGCUAUUGCAACCUGUGCCCUUUCAUAAAUAUCAUCUAGGGGCCUUGUGCCUCUCACAAGCACAUCAUCAACAUCCAUUUCAGGUCCUAGCUGCUCAAGUUCAGCUUGAUUAGGCACCAGGUCUUCUGAAGCAGCUUCUGGUUCAUUCUUUUCCCAAUUCCAACAAGCCUUCUCAUCGAAGAUGACAUCUCUGCUCACUUGAACUAUGUUUGUCAAAGGAUCCAGCACCCUGUAGCCCUUCUUAACUGAGCUAUAGCCUACUAGAACACCUGGUUGAGCCCUUUCAGAGAGCUUGUCUCUCUUAACUGCUGGUAUUUGUGCAUAACACAGGCAACCAAACACCUUCAGAUGUACCAAGGAAGGCUUGAAACCGGACCAAGCCUCGAAAGGUGUUUUGGAUGCAAGAGCUUUGGUAGGAAGCCUAUUUUGAAGGUAGACAGCAGUGUUUACUGCCUCAGCCCACAUGGUCUUGGGCAGUUUCUUCUCAAACAGCAGGCACCUGGCCAUAUCCAUCAAGCUUCUGUUCUUUCUUUCUGAUACCCCAUUCUGCUGAGGUGUGUAGACAUUUGUAAGCUGGUGUUUGAUACCAGCAUCAUUGCAAAUGGCUUGAAACUGAGCUGAAGUGUACUCAGUGCCAUUGUCUGACCUUAUCGAUUUCAGCUUGCAACCUGUUUCUGUCUCUACAGCAAUUUUAAACUUCACAAACACUUGAGCUACCUCAAACUUGUGUUUUAAGAAGAAAAUCCAGCAAAACCUUGUAAAAUCAUCAAUGAAGAGGAUGAAAUACCUAUUUUUCUUGAGUGAUUCAGUCCUCAUCGGGCCACAUACAUCAGAGUGCACCAGCUGUAGUUUUUUAGUAGCUCUCUAAGCUGAAUUUGUAGGAAAUGGCAGUCUUGCCUGUUUCCCCAUCUGGCAAACUUCACACACAUCAUCAUGCUCCACUGAGCUAGUAAAGUUCUCUGCCAAGCCUUCUUUGGCCAUUCGAGCCAAUGAUCUGAAGUUGGCAUGCCCAAGCCUUUGAUGCCAAAGCUUGGAAUCAUCAACAGAGGCUGUAUAUGCAGACUUUGAGUCAUUUGGCCAGUGUACCUCAAAGCAUUUGUUAGUCAUUGUGACUGUCAUAAGGCUUGAUCCACUUGGAUCAGCAAUGUGGCACUGUUUGUUCUUGAACACAACAGAAUAGCCUUUCUUGAGCAAUUGAGCUAUGCUGAGAAGGUUUCUGUCGAUUUCUGGCACUAACAGCACAUUUGGAAUGAUCUUGUUGCCUGUGGGGGUACAUAUCAGCACCUCUCCUCUUCCUUCAGCCCUUAUGAACUGACCAUUUCCAACCUUGACCUUGGUUUUACAACUUCUAUCCAAGGUUUUAAAUAAGGAGGCAUCUGGUGACAUGUGGUUAGUGCAACCACUGUCCAAUAACCAGCCUUUUGAGCAUUUCUUCUCAGCAGCUAAGAAAGAAACAGCAAAGACCUGCUCUUCUUGAUCACUACUGUCCUCAGCUACUCGAGCUUCAACCUUUGGUUGUUGAAAUUGACUCUGCCUUGACUUGGUUUUAUUUUUGCAAACCCUUUCAACAUGGCCUUUCUUCUUGCAGUGUUGGCAUACUGCAUCUGGCCUGAACCAGCAUCUGUCUUCUGGAUGACCUGGCCUCUUGCAAUGUCUGCAGGGCUGGUCAUUGCUCCUUGCAGUAUCAGGCUUAGGCCUGCUUUUCCAAGGCUUUUUACCUCUUGGAGCAUUGAUGCUCGAGGCUUCUCUGGCCUUGGCAUUGAAUGCACCUUCCUGGUGGUCUUCAGCUCUGCUAGCUCUCCUUUGUUCCUGAGCAUAGAAAGUGUUGAUUAGCUCAGUCAAAGAGAUGGUAGCAAGGUCUCUUGAGUCCUCAAGAGAGGAUAUCUUGGCCUCAUAUCUCUCAGGCAAAGUGGAGAGAACUUUCUCUACUAUCCUUGCCUCAUCAAAGUGCUCACCAAGGAGCCUUAUACUGUUAACCACUGCCAUGAUUCUAUCUGCAUACUGCUUCACUGUUUCUUCUUCCUUCAUCUUCAGGUUCUCAAAAUCCCUUCUCAAAUUCAAUAGCUGUUGUUGCCUUGUUCUCUCAGUGCCUUGAAACUCCUCCUUAAGCUUAUCCCAUGCCUGUUUUGGAGUCUCACAGGCCAUAAUUCUGGUGAAGAUGACAUUUGACACACAAUUCUGAAUGCAGGACAUGGCUUUGUGCCUUUUGGUCCUCUCAUCAGCAUGUUGCCUAAUCUGAGCUACUGUGGGAUUGGCCCUCAGUGGUGCUGGCUCAGCAUCUGUGUUGACAACUUCCCACAGAUCAAAGGCCUGUAGGUAAGUCUUCAUCUUGACCAGCCAUAUGUGAAAGCCUUCUCCAUUGAAGACUAGUGGGGCUGCUGGUGAAAAACUUGAGGAAGACAUUCAGCUUUCUUAGUUUGAUAAAACAGGUCCACUAAGAAUGAAGCUCUAGAUACCAAUUGUUGGUGCAAAUAGACAACAACAGACUGUUUUCAAUCUUGCUUGUAUAGCAAGCCUCGAGCCUUGCUGAAGAAACAAACUCAGAAGCAAGAACAGAAACACAUGCGAAUGAAAAACAAAAGAAAUUGAGAGAGAGAGUAUUUUGAAUGAAAAGAGCUGAUAUUUCAUUAACAAAUCCAGAAGGCAUAAUGCCAUUACAUAUAAUAGAUAACAACAACAAAAUGAACAAGUCUUUACCUAAUGACAUACCUAACACCACUAAAUUUACAUUGGAAAUUGUUAAUCAGCUUGCUUAAGUUUCUUUGCUGAUUUUUUCAGUCAAUCAAUCAACAAAAAACAUCAUAAGGUUUACCAACUUAGUUCAACAUGAACUAGAUUACAAAAUAAUAAUUAAAAAUACAAUCAAAACAUAACAAGUAGUUAGGCAACUUUAAGCUCCAGUUUCUGCACUUCAUAGCUCGACUGCUUGCUGCCACUUCUCCUUGCAUGGCCACCUUUGCAUGUCUUGCAUGGGAACUAAAUUCAACAAAACUCCUUCUGCCACUCGAAACAAUGACCAUUCCAAACAUUUUGAUAGACAAUACACAAUUUGCUUCACUACUUACUCACAUAGCCAAAAAAUAUCCAAUGAAACUGGCAAAGGGUUCUUCCAAAAUGGUACAUUAGCUGCCAAAAAGACAACCACCAUAUAUUCCUUCAUUCAGUAAACAGCUUCAAUAUGGAAAUAAGUUAUUAUCUUAAAAAUGCUUUUUCUACCACAGAAGAAUAAGAACUAGGCAUCUCAGAAAAUUUGCUAAAUUAAUGACUUUGCUCCCUUCAAAAUAAACAAAUGAUUAACUGCAUUAUCCCAAAGAGGUCACCAUCAACCUCCAGUUGAACUUUCAAGGAAUAAUAAUAAAAAAUAGAAGGAAAUAAGGGGGAAAAAACCCAACCAGAACUCAGUAAUAGCUGAGCCUUGAAGAUCUGUAGGUAGUAAGAGAAAAACCCCAUGACGACUAAAGUCCAGGCUUGAAAGAACCAAAAGGGAGCAACAUAUGACUAUGAUUCACUGGACCAAGAGAAUCACCAAUGAAUAAAGGAAAAAGGGUACUUUCCUUUAUACCUAAACAUACAAUAUUUAGCCUCAAAAUGGGAAAAUUUCAGGUUUUCACAAAGGGUUUAAGAAAGAGGGUGAAAGUUAAAGAACUUGUCUUUGUUUUGAUGUGUGGUACACGAGAUAGUGAAGGAAAAUAGAGGUGAGGAAAUAAGAUGGAGUAAGUGCCUAAGUGGUGAAAAAGGAGAGCCUAAAAGAGACAUUUUUGAAGGGUAGUUUAGAAGCUGCAGAGGCUUUGGCAUACAGCAGCUGAUAAUGAGAGAAGACAAACCAGAAAUGUAAGUACGACGACGAUAAAAAUUAAAAAAUUUUAAGAAUUAAUGAAAUAAAAUUUUGUAGCUUAGCGAAUUGGGACGAAGUCCACCAGUGUGAUGCCCAUAGAUCCAUACCUGGGAUUUUUCUAUUUGGGCUAACUUUCUAACUUCUCCCACCAGUCUUAAAACUUUGCAGAUUUUUUCAAUUUGAUCUGGAUUGUAUGAUAACAUAUCACUUUGAGAUUGGAAAAAAAAUUAUUUUUUUUAAAUUAGAGAAAAAAUAAAGAAACUAAAUUUCAAGCAUGCAAAGUACAAAAGAAAGAACUGUAUUAAUAAAAGAUGAGUUACUUCACUCAGAUUGGAGUACCCUUUAAACAAGUUUAUUCUUGUAGAGAAAGAAACUGGAUUUUGAUUUCAUUUGCUGUGGCAAAAUUUUUAAUUUCAACAACAGUAUAACAUAUUGAAAGCCUGCCUACAUCUCGGCAGAAAAAUUUACAAAUUCUUUCAUCAGACAAUUUAAAUGAUGCAAUGCAAAGAUUCAUCAAUGUAUGAUCUUUUUAUCAUAAAUGGCUGUUUUACUGGAAAACUUGAUAUGUACUGUCUUUCACAUUCUUUUGUGCUGAAUGGUCUCUGAAAACUGCAAUCAUCAACUAUAGAUAACCCAUUCCUCAGCGCCGCCAGAGCCGACCUUGUUGUUUCUGUUCUUGAACUUGCCUGUGUCAUCAAAGGCAGUGAGCAUUUAUCAAUGUUAUAAAAAUGGCAUAUCGAAGUCAGAUUUUACUUGACAAUACACAAAUGUAAGAAGAUAAUUCACCUUUGAUACUCUUUAGAACGCUCGAGAAACUCUUUCGCGAUGUCUUUUCUUUAAUAUGAUUGCAAUACUUGUCUGAUAUCAGCCGGACCAUUGUGUUAGUACAAAACUCCGGUAAGGAAAAAAACUCGAACACACGAUCGGAACUCGAAAAGAAAAAGAAGAAAUAGGACAGGCUCCAAGGCGUGUAUCAAGCCACUAUCUUUAAGGUUAUAUUCGCCCCCACUUAUCUUCAGUGUGCAAACGAGUUCCAAGCAAAUUAACCUCGAGGAUACAAUGAAGCCAAUGACUAUUUGCGUUUUGCACUGACGAGAAUAGUCCACUAUACACUAAGUAAUGUAUAACAAAAACUCAAUUUCUACAAAGGAUUUCUGCAGCAAUACUUUAUAGAAUAAUCUAAUAAUAUUAGAAAAUGAAGGAAGAGAAGAAAUAAUAUUAGAAUUUGUUGAUAUGAUUUCCAAAUGAAAUCCCAUUCCUAUUUAUAGGAAUUUUCAUGUCUCUUCAUAGAGACAUCUUUCAAUAGGUGUCUUUAUGAAUAAAUAAAUAAUAAUAAUUAUUCAUUUAAUUUUGUAACUAUUCAAAUAAUAUUUUUUGAAUAGUUAUAAUUCUUUUUUAAAAAAUCAAAUGAUAUAACUUUUGACCAAUGACCAAAAGUUUUAUCUUUUGAUUAAUUACACCCAUUCAUUUAUAGUUAUUGGGAUACUAUAAAUAUUUGAAAAUAUUCCAACAAUCUCCCCCCAUUUUCAAAAUAUUUAGAUUUUGAUAUUCUUGGAAAUCAAUUUGCAUAAAUAAAGGUGUCUUACGAUUGAACCUUCACUUAGUGAAAACAUGUUAAAGUUAAUCGAAAUUGUAUGGUAGACUAAGCUUUGAACCAACUAUUCCAUUUGAUUAAUUGAACACAUCUCACACAAUGAUUUCAACAUCAGUCAAUGCAUAGUAUCUAGGGACACUAUUAUAGCCAUGUGUCUAUGUCCUCUUUUCAUGAGUGCUGUCAGAGCCAAGCCCUUAAGCUCCUAGAAGCGGCCACACUUCCACUCACAUAGGUAGAUCCCAUCAAAAGUGUUCCCGUAAUUAUAACACUCUAACAUAUUUAUGUUAUGGGUCCAUUAAGAGUAAAUUACUCAUCCUUCCCUUAUCAUUACGGGUACCUAGCACUUUAAUCUUAGGAUGGAUUUAUUUAUAGUGCUAACAGUCACAUACUAAUGAUGUACUUUGUCUCAUUGAACUCAAGACUUGACGUUAUACCAAGCAUUGAGUCGAGUUUCCAUCAUGGGUGACUCUAAUUAAUAGGCUUGAGUCCCAUCCCUUUUGAGGUCCUUUUUACUGCAUCUCUAGCAAGACUUUUUGUCAAAGGAUCUGCCAAAUUUUCACUUGACCUCACAUAAUUAAUAGUGAUCACUCCAUCAGAGAUUAAUUGUCGGACAUAACUAUGUCUUAAUCCAAUGUGUCUAGACUUUCCAUUAUAUACUUGGCUAUAUGCCUUUGCUAGAGUAGCCUCACUAUCACAACGGAUAGAAAUAGGUGAAAUUGGCUUAAGCCAUAAACGUACAUCAUAAAGCAAAUUUCUUAACCAUUCUGCUUCUUUAGAUGCAGCGGCUAAUGCAAUAAAUUCUGCUGCCAUGGUGGAAUCAGUAAUACAUGUUUGUUUCUUGGAACCCUAAGAAAUGACUCCUCCACCAAGAAUGAAGAUCCACCCACUAGUAGAUGCAUGAUCUUCCAAACUUGUAAUCCAACUAGCAUCCGAAUACCCUUCUAAAACUGGAGGAUAUCCAUUAUAACACAAUCCAUAGUUAAUAGUUUUCUUUAAGUACCUAAGUACUCUAUUUAAAGCUUGCCAAUGCAAACUACUUGGAUUAUUUGUGUAUCUACUCAAUUUUCCAAUAGCAUAUGCAAUAUCUGGUCUUGUACAAGUCAUUAUGUACAUAAGAAAACCAAUUGACUUGCAUAUUUCAAUUGAUCAAUUUUCCUACCAGCAUUAGAUACUAAUUUUAAUUGAGGAUCCAUGGGUGUAGAUACUGGUAUACAGUUGAAAAUAUCAAACUUUUUAAGCACAUUUUCAAUGUAAUGUGAUUGUGAUAAAGCUAUAGUGCUUUCAUCUCGGGUUAUUUUAAUCCCAAGAAUAACAUCUUCUACACCCAUAUCCUUCAUAGCAAAGUUGUUUGACAAGAAUUUCUUUGUGUUUUCUAUUUGUUCCAAAUCCGUGCCAAAAAUGAGCAUGUCAUCUACAUAUAAGCAAAUUAUAACACCCUUUCCAUUAUCAAAUUUACUAUAUAUGCACUUAUCGGAUUCAUUUAUUUAUAGCCAUUAGCUAAAACAACCUUGUCAAACUUUUGGUGCCAUUGUUUUGGUGCUUGUUUAAGCCCAUAUAAAGAUUUAACAAGCUUACAUACCUUAUGCUCUUGUCCUGGAACAACAAAUCCUUCCGGUUGCUCCAUGUACACUUCCUCUUCCAAUUCACCAUUUAAAAAUGCAGUUUUAACAUCCAUUUGGUGAACAACCAAAUUAUAUAUAGAGGUAAGUGAUAUUAAUAGUCUAAUUGUAGCAAUUCUUGCUACUGGAGCAUAGGUAUCAAAGUAAUCAAUACCUUGUCUUUGUGUAAAACCUUUUGCUACCAACCUUGCUUUAAAUUUAUCAAUGGUUCCAUCGACCUUCAUUUUCUUUUUGAAGAUCCAUUUACAACCUAUUGGUUUGGAACCUGGUGGAAGAUCAACUAAGAUCCAAGUUUGAUUUCCCAUUAUUGAAUCCAUUUCAUCAUUUAUUGCUUCUUUCCAAAAAGUAGAGUCUUGAGAUUUCACUGCUUCUUCAAAUGUAACAGGAUCAGAUUCGGUAUUAUAACAAUAAGGUAUCUUAUUGCAUAUACUUUCACCUUUUCCUUCUAUAAGAAACAUAAUGAAAUCUGGUCAAAAAUCUUUGACCUUUUUAAUCCUCUUACUUCUUCUUAAUUCUUGACAAGAUUCAUCAUUAUUAUCAAUUUGUUUCAAUGGAAUCUCAUUCUCAUUUGAAGAAUGAAUCAAUUGUUGUGGUUGUAAUUGUCUUGAUAUAGAAUUAAAUCUAUUUUCAUCAAAAAUAGCAUCUCUUGAUUCAAUAACCGUAUUAAUUGAAAUUGAAUCAUUUGGUUCAAUUACUAUGAACCUAUAUGCCUUGCUAUUAUGUGCAUAACCUAUAAAUAUGCAUUCAAUUCCUCUUUCACCUAACUUUUUACGUUUAGGUGUUGGAACUUUUACAAUAGCUCUACAACCCCAAACCUUUAAAUAAUUAAGGUUUGGUUUCCUUUUCUUCCAUUGUUCAUAGAGGGUUAUUUUAGUUUCCUUAUUAGGAACUCUAUUCAAUAUAUGACAAGCUGUUAGAACAGCUUCUCCCCAAAAACCCUGUCCAAGACCUGAAUAUGAUAACAUUGAAUUUACCAUUUCAAUCAAGACUCUAUUUUUCCUUUCAGCUACACCAUUUUGUUGUGGUGUGUAAGGGGCUGAAACUUGAUGGACAAUUCCAGUGAGUUCAAAAUAACUUGGAUUAUAGUAUUCUCCACCUCUAUCCGAUCUUAAGCACUUGAUAAAUGAUUCACACUGAAGUUCAACUUCAGAUUUAUAAACUUUAAAUUUAUCAAGCGCUUCAUCUUUUGAAUGCAAUAAAUAUACAUAACAAUAUCUAGAACAAUCAUCAAUAAAAGUAACAAAAUAUUUCUUUCCACCUAAUGUAGGAGUAUUAUGCAAGUCACAUAAAUCACUAUGUAUCAAAUCAAGCAAUUUUGUUUUCCUUUUAACCUUAGGGAAAGGAUUUCUUGUAAUUUUAGUCAACAUACAGGUAUUGCAUUUUUCAAUAUUAUUAUUAAAAACAGGAAUUAAAUCUAAUUUAUACAUGUCAUUCAAUUUUCUAUAAUUCAAAUGACCUAAUCUAUAAUGCCACAAACAAAAUGAUUCAACCAUAUAAGCAGAAAUAGUAUUUUUAUUCUUAUUAAUAAUAUUAAGUUUGAACAUGCUUUCAUACAUAUACCCUUUUUCCCACAAAAAUUCCUCCCUUAGACAAAAUAAACUUAUCUGCCUCAAAAACAAGUUUGAAACCAAACUUAUUCAACAGACUUCCAGACACUAAAUUUUUCCUAACUUCUGGUACAUAAUAUACAUCAUUUAAGGUUAAAACCUUUCCAGAAGUGAAUUGUAGUUCAACAGACCCUUUGCCUUUAAUUUGCGGUGGAAGAAUUUCCCAUGUACAAGACAUUGUCAUUUUCACAUUGUGUGACUUUGUGAACAUGCUUUUGUCUUUGCACACAUGUUUGGUUGCUCCGGUAUCAAUCCACCAUGUAUUAUCAUCUUGUACCAUAUUAAUUUCAGAUAUCAUUGCAACGAACUUUUCGUUAUUAUCAGCCUUAGAAGAUGAUUUCUUCUUUAAAAAUCGAUAUUCAUUCUUGAAAUGUCCCGGCUUUCCACAAUGAUAGCAUGAGCCCUUUUGUUUCUUUUUGAACUUAGGUGCUCUAUCAGCCUGAUUGAACUUUCUUUUGAAUGGUUUAGUAGUCUGUACUUCCUCCGUAACAUGUACUUUGGCAUUUUCAGAAUUUAGGUUCUGAUCUUGUUGUCGAUACUCUUCUUCAAUACGAAGAUGAUUUGCCAAAGCCUCAAGAGAUAUUUCCUCUUUCUUAUGUUUUAGACUUCUUUUAAAGUCUUUCCAAGAUGGAGGAAGUUUGUCUAUUAUAGAGGAUACCACAAUUAUUUCAUCCAUUUUCAUAUCAUAUUGCUUAAAUUGAUUCAACAUCUUUUCAAUAUCACGAAAUUGUUCCAUAACAGAACGACCAUCAACCAUUUGAUAAUUAUUGAAACGACUGACAAGAAAUUUCUUACUUGUAACAUCUUCGGUCAUGUAUCUUGCCUCCAAUUUGUCCCAUAAAUCUUUAGCGGUGACGUCGUUUUGGUAGGUGUCGAACAAACCAUCAGAUAAACCAUUCAAUAUGUGGCCCAUGCACAUGUAAUCAGCAUUGUCCCAUUUUUGUCUUUCUCGGGUUGCAGCAAUAGAUUCGUUUUCAUUCUCUUCAGGUCUUGGAGUAUCCAAAACAUAAGCAAUCUUCAAAGUUGAUAACAAAAAGUGCAUCUUUUUCUGCCAUCGUCGAAAAUUGCCACCAUCAAAACGAUCAAGUUUAACAAAGUUGGAAGCCAACUCCCUUAGUGUUCCACUUUCAUGUGUUGUGGUAGUCAUCAUGAAAUAUAACCUUAAAAUUGUUAGUACAAAACUCCGGUAAGGAAAAAAACUCGAACACACGAUCGGAACUCGAAAAGAAAAAGAAGAAAUAGGACAGGCUCCAAGGCAUGUAUCAAGCCACUAUCUUUAAGGUUAUAUUCGCCCCCACUUAUCUUCAGUGUGCAAACGAGUUCCAAGCAAAUUAACCUCGAGGAUACAAUGAAGCCAAUGACUAUUUGCGUUUUGUACUGACGAGAAUAGUCCACUAUGCACUGAGUAAUGUAUAACAAAAACUCAAUUUCUACAAAGGAUUUCUGCAGCAAUACUUUAUAGAAUAAUCUAAUAAUAUUAGAAAAUGAAGGAAGAGAAGAAAUAGUAUUAGAAUUUGUUGAUAUGAUUUCCAAAUGAAAUCCCAUUCCUAUUUAUAGGAAUUUUCAUGUCUCUUCAUAGAGACAUCUUUCAAUAGGUGUCUUUAUGAAUAAAUAAAUAAUAAUAAUUAUUCAUUUAAUUUUGUAACUAUUCAAAUAAUAUUUUUUGAAUAGUUAUAAUUCUUUUUUAAAAAAUCAAAUGAUAUAACUUUUGACCAAUGACCAAAAGUUUUAUCUUUUGAUUAAUUACACCCAUUCAUUUAUAGUUAUUGGGAUACUAUAAAUAUUUGAAAAUAUUCCAACACAUUGCGGGCUACAUCUGUGAACAAAUCAAAACAAAUGGUACUAUAAUCAACAAAUGAAUAUAGGAAACAUAAAAUUUGAACAAAGGCGAUGUGCAGAGGAAAAAGCAACAACAUAAGACUUACAUUCAAGAAAUGGAAUAAGGUCUAAAAGUGCGGUAUCAUCAGUCUCGACCUUAUAUGGCUUAAUAUGGACACAAUUUUCUGGUUGAAGGCUAGAAUCAAAUGCAUGAGCACUCACAUAUAAAAUCUUGGUUGGAUCCCUGUUUAGCUUUGAAAGAUCCUGCCAACAGGAACUAUUUGUUAACAAUAAGGCUUCUUUUUAAGUAGCAGCUUGUAAAGGCACUGUCUCAUAUAUUAAUUCACAUAGUAUUGUAGAAACUAAGGAGGAGAAAACCAAAAGCAAAAUGUUUUGAAGGGAAGAGAUUGACUAUGACAUGGUAAAAGUAUCAUGGAGGCCCCUAUGUUAGGAGUUAGAUUGCCUUUUGCCCCCUUUACUCAAAAACUGGAUAAAUUAGUCCCUAUAUGUUAGAUUAAAGAGUAAGCUAGACUUUCUGUUAAAAAUUUCAUCCAUUGCUACUGUUAAAAACUGGUGCAGUUGAUAAAAUAACCAAACAGUUACACAUAAUGUGUCACGUGUACCUCAUGCUAAUGUAUAUGGACCAAUUUUUAACAGUAGAAAUGGAUGGAACUUGUAACAGAAGGGCUGGUUUGCUUUUUAAUCUAAUUUACAGGGAUUAAUUUGCCCAUUUUUUUAGUAAAGGGGUGAAAUGCAAUAUGACUCCUAGUAUAAGGGCCUCCAUGGUACUUUUACCACUAUGACAUACUCUAUAAUGCUUGCCAUCCUGAUAUUUAGUAGCACCCCUUGAUAGCCUAUAUCGUAUACAAUGGUUAGUGUCCAACCUUUCACAAGCAGGAUCAACAUACCGCAUAGCCAAAAACAAAAUAAUUAUGAACUUGCAGGCAACAUCAGUUAUAGUAUAUCUGAAAAAGAUAAGGAAAAAAAACUGUUACUUUCAUAUCUAAUUUCUUUAUAGUAUUAGGACAAACUAAACAAUGGAUAUAUCACAUUAUUAAGACUUAGCUAAGGAGCCGCUGAUAUACAUUCAAAUGAUCAAUCAUAAAGGAUGAACUAGGAGGCCUAAUGAUAAAUCAAAAUUACACCUAAACCAGUUAUAUGUCUAAAGGCAAUUGCACAUUAUAUCAAUCAAACAACUAAAAUAAAUAGAGAAAAUCCUUUAAAAUAUUCAAUUUCUAAACAAAAUCAAACUCACAUCAAUAGCAGAUCUUGACAAAGAAACCCAAAAUCACAAAUGAUCCUAUCUUUUUAAAAGGGGAAAAAGAAAACUUACUAUAAGAGAGAUAACCAGCAUAGCCAGUAGUUCCAGUAACACCUGCAAUGAGUCCGUACUUGACAAAGCUCUAAAUUUUCCCUCCCGAAACCUGUGGGGCAACUUUCGGCGCCAGAGGAGGAGGUGUCGACUGAUCGGAGAGAAUGGAUUGUGAAGAACAAUCCAAACUUAAUUUACAAGCAAUGUGGAAAUUUUGGACGUUGCAGUAUUGACUACGUUUACUUGAGGGAAAACAAAGACAUGAAUGCUGGAAAUUUUAACUAGUUUGUACGGUCAAUGAAGCUACCUCGAAUGUUAAAUAUGUUACUCUGCAAUGCCAUUGUAAAUAUGACUGUUAAAUUUGUUGAUAGCGGAAUUGUUCCACUCAAGUUAUUGUGGGACAAAUCAAGAAUUUGAAGAAAAGUGACAUUGCAUGUUAAACAAGAGACCUCUCCAUUGAAACUAUUAUUUGAGAUCAGAAAGACAUUGAUUGUCGAAGCUGGAAUCGGAAGAUUUCCACGGAUCAAAUAGGAGCUUAAGUCAAGAACUACAAUAUUCUUCCAUGGAAAGUGCAAAACUUCUGUCAAAGAGUUGCUGUAAUUGGAUUAAUCUCAUCGUUGCUGCAAUCUUUUGACAAAUCGAAUCUUAAAUAUGUUACUCUGCAACGCUAUUGUAAAUGUUACUCUUAAAUAUUACUCUGUAACUAGAUUGAUGGCUCAAUCUUGUUUUUAACAUUGUUAUGGGUAUUACUACUUUCAUGCUUUGAUACGCGAUACCCUCUUUCUAGGUGACAUUUUUGCUCCUUCCGGGCCACCAUGGGCUCUCUGCAUCACUCACCAACCUCAUUAGAUUCCCCGGGUGCCAUUUGGCCAUCUCAAGUCUCAAAAUAGCAUCAAAAUGCACUCUAAUAAUUUAUUAAUAUAAAGAACUAAAACAAAAUAAAAACACAACAAAGAUAUCUAAAUUGCACGAAAAUAAGCUUUUAAGUGUGAUGGAGAGUCUAAUUUGACAUAUCAAUUAAUGUUUGACUAUCUCCAUCUCACUUUUUAUUAAUUAAGGAAUAUGAAUUAGAAUUAAUAUAAACUUACUAUUUUAACAUUUCAUAAGCAAAAGCUAAAAUAAUAUUGGUCACAUCCCAUAUCUUCAUAUAUAGCUUAUCAGACAAAAGUUAAAACAGCCUUCAGUUCAUCUACAUUCUACAUUCCACGUCGAAUCUGCAAGCAUCAAAUAUUAACCUUUGAACUCCAAAAUAACAACACCAAUUUCCAGCAAUUGCAGAAGAAUGUCCAAUAAUUCCACACAAAUUAACAACAAUUUGCCAGCAUCCACUACAUUCGUAUGAAUUCCACACAAAUUAAGACUGGAAACUCUAACUUGUUCAUACCCUCAAUGAAGCUACCUAAAAGUUAUGAAUUCCACUGCAAAUUUUGUAUUGCUUGGAAUGAAUUGACUGUAAUUUCCUAUUACUUGCCACAAAAUUUUCUUUUACUGCUAACUUGUAAAAAAAUUAUGAAAAUACAACAGAGAUCAUUGAGACAUUUUGUUCUCCUUUCUCCUUUACUGAGCAGUAGCAAAGAUUAUCGAGACUAAAUUGAAAGUCAUGAAAGAAGACAUAAACAACACCACCAUACAAAAUGUUACACUCAAACAAACCAUUACAGAUAGUACGAAAUGCAAUGAAAGACACAGGAAUUGGUACAACAAUAAAGACAGACACAUACCAAUGCAACCCUUCACCAUAGGCAAAACGGUCUACAGAAUAAGAAAUUAUGAAAAUACAACACUAAUUCUUGAACAUCAUUUCCAGUAAUUAGAUCCUUCUUCGUCUAUUGCUUCGAUUGCCUUUCUUUGACUUUCUUCUUCGCCUCAUCUCUUGUUGGUUUUCAACCAAAUUCACCAACCAUUUCGGCUUACCAAUUUGGAAAACAACAUAUCCCACGGACAUUCCGAACACCACUCUGCAUCCAUAACCUAUCAACACCACUUUCCAACCAAAAGCAAUGUUUGAUUUUGAGCCAUCUUUUUCAAGCGCAUUUGGAGGUGCUGGCUCAAUGAUGUUGCAACCUUUCGAGACCGGAAACCCACACAGUCCAUUAUUCCCUUCAUAUGAAUCAUUUCCAAAUGUGUUGAAUUGUUUUCCUUGAGGAAUCUGACCAUGGAGUUGAUUUUCAGCGACAUUGAAGGACGAAAGAAAUGGCAGAUCUGCCAAUCUAUUUGGAAUCGUCCCAGACAACCUGUUUGAAGAUAGGUCCAACCAUUCAAUACUUGUCAAAUUCCCUAUUGAUGUGGGAUACCACCAUUAAGGUUAUUAUGAGAAAGGUUGAGCCCUUUCAGUAAGUUAAGCUUCCCAAAAACCUUUGGAAUACCCCCUUCAAACUGAUUGUUUGAUAGAUCAAUGAUCAUCCACAUGGUGAAAAUUUUCACCAAUUCCAUAUAUUGUCCUUUCAUAACAGUUCCGAUGGAAUAGGUAUAGAAGCCAUUACCUCUCGGAACAUACAUCCCCAUGUACGACAUUGUACUCCCAAUCUUCUCUAGAUUUAUGAUACCCUUGAAGCUGUUGAUGUAUCUCACUGGUAGGGGUCCAGAAAAAUAAUUACUUGAGAGAAAAAAAAUUUGGAUUUUAGAGAAAAAAGGGCUAGACUUGGAGCUAUUGUCACAUAAGGAACCAUGCAUAUGAUUUGACUUCAAUACAAGAACUUGUAGCUGUGGAAGACUUCCCAACCAAUGAGGAAAUGUAUCAUUGAUCUUGUUCUUCUUCAGAUUCAAGAAUUGAAGGCUGUAGCUCAAAUUUUCAAAACAUUGCGGAAUUGUUCCGCUCAAGUUAUUGUGGGACAAAUCACGAAUUUGAAGAAAAGUGACAUUGCAUAUUAAAGAAGAGACCUCUCCAUUGAAACUAUUAUUUGAGAUCAGAAAGACAUUGAUCGUCGAAGCUGGAAUGGGAAGAUUUCCACGGAUCAAAUUGGAGCUUAAGUCAAGAACUGCAAUAUUCUUCCAUGGAAAGUGCUCAACUUCUGUCAAAGAGUUGUGAGAUACAUUUAAGUCAAAGAGCCAUUGCCCACCUCUUGCAUCCACUGUGGAAUCUUGCCUUCAAUUUUGUUGCAAGAGAGGUCCAAGCUUUCCAAACUUUUAAGCCCUUAUAAAAACUGGGGGAAUUCACUAAGAUUGAAAGAUGACAAACGUAAGUCUAUAAGAUUAGACAAUAUAUGGUUAACACAAGAAGUAGUAUUAAAUGUUAAGGAUAGGCUGUUAUAUGAAAGGUCGAGAAGUUUUAGAGUUGGAAGGUUUGAGAACAUGCGAAACUCUAUGACACCACUAAGAUUAUUUGAGGAUAAAAGGAGGUGGGUAAGAUUGAGAAGUUGGAAUAUUGAAGAUGGAAGAGGACCUUGGAGUUUAUUAUUGUUUAACCUUAUCAAUUCUAGUGUUUUGGAUUGGAAUUCUUUGAUAUGCCCACUGAAUUGUUUUUAGAGAGAUCUAUUGUUUAACCACGUUAUUUUUCAGUGACGGAUCGAGAAAUAAAACUUAGGGGGAGCAGGGGCGAAGUUAGAAAAUUAGUUUGGGGUAAUCGAAAUUAAAUUAUAUAUUUUUAUGAUAGUAAAAAUAGAAUUUCGUCAUUUUAAUAGCCUAUAUCUUUAUAAUUUUUAGAGGAUUAAAUUAAUUUUUUAUCAUUUGAGGGGGGCAAAGUGCAAUUUUACCGUUAUUAAUUUAAAAUUUUAUAAAUUAUAAAUGGCCUAAAUUUUAAAAAAAAAAUCAUUUUAGGGGGUUGAGACCCUGUCAGCCCUCUCCCUAGACCCACCCCUAGUCUUUUUGAUACAAUUUGGCAGUUUAAGUACUUAAUUAGUGCAAAAAAAAAAAAACUAGGGGCUCAAUAGCUUUUUUUUGAAAAAGUUUGAGAGCCUUUUUGAUCCAUUUUGGCAGUUCAAAUGCCCAAUUCAGUGCAAGAAAAGAAGUAGGGGCUUAAUUAUUUUUUUUUAAAAAAAGUUUGAGAGCCUUUUUACACCAUUGAACCUUUUUUAUACUAAUUGGUAGACGCGAAGUUAUAAAUAUUUAAUUGUUAAUGUAAUUUUUAGAAUUUCUAAAGAAUAAUAAUAUUUAAAAUCUUAUAAUUUUUUUUAUUUCAUGUGCAUAAAAAACUUAAAUAAAUAAGUGUUUAGAUUUAGAUUAAUCACGCUGUCCAUUUAUUCAUAUUCAUUCUAGAGGUAUAACUUUUAGUUAUUUUAUAUGUUUUUAUAAUUAAAAAUAAUGGUAUAAAAGUCGAUUAAGUUUUAGCUCAAUUGACAUAGACAUUGUUGUUGAGGAGGACCUAUUGGUAGUUCUAGGCAUUGUGUCAAAAUGAACUAUAUUUGAUAAGAACCUAUAAUGAAAUUAAUGUUAAAAAAAUAAUAGUAUAAAAAGCUAAUAUUUUUAUAAAAGUUUCAUUUUUUUUUCAGUUUUUGGAUUUUUCUCAUAUAAAAUUUUAGAAUUGUUUCUUGAAUUUUUAUAGCUUUUCUUAUUAUGAUGUUAUAUAAUUUUAGAUUUUUAUACAUCUUUAAUAUUUUUUUAGUUUUUUAUUGUUUCUCAAAUAAUGCUUGGUUGAUGUAGCUUGCCAAGUGGUAUCGUGUUAUUGGCUGUCAAUUUCAAUAAUAAAAAAAUUUGGAGUUGAUUAGUUAUGAACUAACUCGAUUAAUCAAUUCUAAAUUUAAGUACUAAUUAAGUCCAAAAAAAGUUCAAAUUUCAAUUCAUGCAAGUUGGAUGGCAAUGAAACGGGAUUGGGGUGCGAAUAUUGUCAAAUUCACUAUUGUUUCAUAGUUGAUGUGUUUUGUCCCAUCACUCACCCCCGCUCCACUAUGGAUGUUUAAUUUUGAAAACCACUCACCCCAUGGAUGUUGGAUGCAUCCAUCCCUGCUUCACGUCGUGCCAUUUCAAUUUAAUUUUUAUUAGUUUUUUUAAAAAUAUUUUCAAUUUUUUUUUAAUUUUAAAAUAUUUUCAAUCUUUUUAAAACUUAUAAAUAUUUAAACAUAAUUAUUCAAGAAAAACAUUUAAACAUAAAACAUAUGAGUUUUUUAUAACAUAUUUUUACCCUUUAAUAGUUAUAAAUAUACAAGGGUCGAAUAGUAAUUUCAAAUAGUGAAAUAGAGUGGAUUGGGACAAACAAUUACCAUAACUGCUACACUUAAUCAUCGUAAAAAAAAAAAAAAAAAAUCUAUUUCAUCCCCGCCCAUAUUCCCUUUUAAAAGGAUCUACUCUAAAUGAAACAAACCAAUUCAAAAUCCAUUUAACAUCCUAAAUUCUAAAACUAAUUUUGAUAUGAAGUCUCAAUUAAAUUCAAGUAAUAAGGUUUUUUGAUAUGGUUUACACUACUAACUUCUAUAUGAAAACAACAACCAUUUCCCAUGAUGUUUGCGGCUUACCAACAAAUCCUUGCAGAUUUUCAACGUAGAAGAAAAUCAUGAAAAUAAAAAAAAAAAAAAAAAAAAAACUCUGGUUGGGAUUUGUUUCAUAUGGAAAACAGAAAACAAAACUUAAGUUAGUCAAAAUUACCAACUCACUGCUGACAACAUUUUUGUUGUAACCAAACAUUUGGAAGAAAAUAAACACAAGAGCACGCCGUUGACCUGUAUUUCUUUUAUUCUUCAAUUCUAUUUCAUCUUUAAGCUGUAACCAAUGAUAAUCAAAUCUUGACUUGCAUAAAAACCAAAGAAAACAAAAUGAAUGCAGCAGAAUUUUCUACCACAAAUGAGUAGUAAUUUACAGAUAAUAAAAUUAUCGAAAAACUAUUGAGAGUCGAAUUUCAUAUUAAUUGUGGUAUCCAUGAACUAGAAUGUAUUAAAAAAAGAAGGAUAUUGACCUUGAGACUACUUGCAAUUUUCAAAAACACUCUCAAUUCCUCUCCCCCUCUUCGGGCACCGGCCCAAGAUCCUGCCAUUGGCUACCACGCCGGCCGCUAGUCGCCAGCGCCGGCGCCGUGCAUGGAGGAGGAGAGUCCAAAAAUAUCCUUUUUUUUUUCUCACAUGCAGAUCCUCGGCCUCCAAACACUCCGACGACGGCUACAAAGGUAAAAAGGCCUCUCAUUUUUUAUUUUUAUAAUGCUUCAAAAUAAAAAAAUAAAAAAAAGGGAAAAAAUCACCUUUAAAAAAAACUGAUUCCUGUUUUUUAUUUCUCUUUGUUUUUUUUUUUCCAAAAGAGAACUCCCUUAAUUUUUCAUCUUUUUUAGCCCUUAAACCUACGUUGUUUAUCAAUAACCUUAAACUUACAUUGUUUACCGGAUGAAAAAUUUAAUAUUUAUUAACUUUGCUAAGGUGCACAUAUGCAAUUUAUUUAAAUCUAAAAACUAUAAAAUAUCUUAAAAUUAAAACUAAAAGUUUUUAAACUACUUGAUUGCUCCUUUCUCCUUUACUGAGCAGUAGCAAAGAUAAUCGAGACUAAAUUGAAAUCCAUGAAAGAAGACAUAAAACACCUCCAUACAAAGUGUCACACUCAAACAAACCAUUACAGAUAGUACGAAAUGCAAUGAAAGACAGAGGAAUUGCUACAAUAACAAAGACAGACACAUACCAAUGCAACCCUUCACCAUAGGCAAAACAAGAAAUUAUGAAAAUACAACACUAGUUCUUGAACAUCAUUUGCAGUAAUUAGAUCCUUCUUCGUCCACUGCUGCGAUUGCCUUUCUUUGACUUUCUUCUUCGCCUCUUCUCAUGUUGGUUUUCAACCAAAUUCACCAACCAUUUCGGCUUUCCAGUUUGGAAAACAACAUAUCCCACCAGCAUUCCGAACACUACUCCGCAUCCAUAACCUAUCAACACCACUUUCCAUUCAAAAGCAAUGUUUGAUUUUGAGCCAUCUUUUUCAAGCACAUUUGGAGGUGCUGGCUCAAUGAUGUUGCAACCUUUCGAGACCGGAAAUCCACAUAGUCCCUUAUUUCCUUCAUAUGAAUCAUUUCCAAAUGUGUUGAAUUGUUUUCCUUGAGGAAUCUGACCAUGGAGUUGAUUUUCAGAAACAUUUAAGGACGAAAGAAAUGACAGAUCUGCCAAUCUAUUUGGAAUCGUCCCAGACAACCUGUUUGAAGAUAGGUCCAACCAUUCAAGACUUGUCAAACUCCCUAUUGAGGAGGGGAUAUCACCAUUAAGGUUAUUAUGAGAAAGGUUGAGCCCUUUCAGUAAGUUAAGCUUCCCAAUAACCUUUGGAAUACCCCCUUCAGACUGAUUGUUUGAUAGAUCAAUGAUCAUCCACAUGGUGAAAAUUUUCACCAAUUCCCUAUCUUGUCCUUUCAUGACAAUUCCAAUGGAAUAGGUAUAGAAGCCACUACCUCGAGAAUCAUUCACCCCCAUGUACGACACCGUACUACCAAUCUUUUCUAGAUUUAUGAUAGCCUUGAAGCUGUUGAUGUAUCUCACUGGUAGGGGUCCAGAAAAAUAAUUACUUGAGAGGUCAAAAAUUUGGAUUUUAGAGAAAAAAGGGCUAGACUUGGAGCUAUUGACACGCAAGGAACCAUGCAUAUGAUUUGACUUCAAAACAAGAACUUGCAAAAAUGGAAGACUUCCCAACCAAUGAGGAAAUGUAUCAUUGAUCUUGUUGUUACCAAGAUCUAGCACUUCCAGACCAUUACAAUUAAGGAUGGAUGGUGUCAAAGGCCCUUCUAACAGAUUUCCAUUUAAGUUGAAAUUAGUCAGUUGGCAUCCCUUUGCAAAUGUUAGAGGAAUCGUCCCAUAGAACUCGUUCUUCUUCAGAUUGAAGACUUGAAGGAUGUUGCUCAGAUUUCCAAAACAUUGCGGAAUUGUUCCACUCAAGUAAUUGUGGGACAAAUCAAGAAUUUGAAGAUAAGUGGCAUUGCAUAUUAAAGAAGAGACCUCUCCAUUGAAACUGUUAUUUGAGAUCAAAAAGACAUUGAUGGUCGAAGCUGGAAUCGGAAGAUUUCCACGGAUCAAAUUGGAGCUUAAGUCAAGAAAUUCAAUAUUCUUCCAUGGAAAGUGCUCAACUUCUGUCAAAGAGUUGUGAGAUACGUUUAAGUAAGUCAAAGAGUCAUUCCCCACCUCUUGCAUCCACUGUGGAAUCUUGCCUUCAAUUUUGUUGCAAGAGAGGUCUAACCUUUCCAAACUUUUAAGCCCUUUUAAAAACUGGGGGAAUUCACUAAGAUUGCAAGAUGACAAAAAUAAGCUUCUAAGAUUAACAGUAGAUGUAGUAUUAGAUGUUAAGUAUAGGCUGUUAAAUGAAAGGUCGAGAUAUUUUAGAUUUGGAAGGUUUGAGAACAUACGUAACUCUAUGACACCACUUAGAUUAUUUGAGGAUAAAACGAGCAAGGUAAGAUUGAGAAGUUGGAAUAUUGAAGAUGGAAAAGGACCUUGGAGUUUAUUAUUGUUUAGAUAUAAAUGUUCUAGUGAUUUGGAUUGGAAUUCUUGGAUAUGCCCACUGAAUUGAUUUUGAGAGAGAAUUAUAACCUUUAAGGAGGGAGCAGUAUACAACCAUGACGGAAGUGUUCCAUUGAGUAAAUUGUCAGAUAAGCCUAAAUAUAUUAGAUUAGGAAAAGUGGUUACCUCAUCUGGAAUGGAUCCUUCUAAAGAAUUUUCAGAUAUUCCCAAGUAUUCCAGCUGGGUUAGGUUUAGAAUUGACAAUGGAAUUUGUCCACUCAAUUGGUUCUGCGACAAGUCUAAAUGAGUGAGUUGCAAGAGGUUCCCCAAUGAUAUUGGAAUUUGUCCACUCAAUUGGUUCUGCCACAAGUUUAAAUCAGUGAGUUGCAAGAGGUUCCCCAAUGAUCUUGGAAUUUGUCCACUCAAUUGGUUCUGCCACAAGUCUAAAUCAGUGAGUUGCAAGAGGUUGCCCAAUGAUCUUGGAAUUUGUCCACUCAAUUGGUUCUGCCACAAGCCUAAAUUAGUGAGUUGCAAGAGGUUCCCCAAUGAUCUUGGAAUUUUUUCACUCAAUUGGUUCUGCCACAAGCCUAAAUGAGUGACUUGCAAGAGGUUCCCCAAUGAUCUUGGAAUUUUUCCACUCAAUUGGUUCUGCCACAAACCUAAAUCAGUGAGUUGCAAGAGAUUCCCCAAUGAUCUUGGAAUAUUUCCACUCAAUUGGUUCUGCCACAAGCCUAAAUGAGUGAGUUGCAAGAGGUUCCCCAAUGAUCUGCCACAAGCCUAAAUGAGUGAGUUGCAAGAGUUUCCCCAAUGAUCUUGGAAUUUGUCCACUCAAUUGGUUCUCACACAAGUCUAAAUAAGUGAGUUGCAAGAGGUUCUCCAAUGAUCUUGGAAUUUGUCCACUCAAUAGGUUCUGUGACAAGUCUAAAUAAGCGAGUUGCAAGAGGUUCCCCAGUGAUCUUGGACCCGGUCCUGAUAAGUUGGAAUGGGAGAGAUCUAAAACCUUCAAGGACACAAGAUUCCCCAUCCAGUCAGGCAAUCCUCCAAAAAAAUUUGCGCCUCCAAGAAUCAACUACUCCAAAGAUGAUAAAUUUGUGAAUGAGACAGACAAUCCUUGAAAGAAGGAAUUUCCUGAGAGAUCUAAGUACUUUAAGGCCUGUAGAUUAUCAACUGAAUCAAUGAAUUCUGUAGAGAAGGACACGAACGACAGAUCCAAAUGUUCAAGAUUGCUGCUCCGAUUGAACUUCAAAGGAUCAAGAUUGAGGUUUUGGUUGCCUCCCAAGUUGAGGAGAUUGAGGUUUGGCAAAUCAAAAAUGUUUUUUGGGAAUUUUCCUUGCAAAUCACAAAAAGCAAGACUGAGAGACCUUAGAGAAGAGGAUAGAUUCAUGAAGACAUGAGCAUUAACAGAAGACAUGUCCAUUCCAUCCAAAAACAGAUGUCUGACCUCGGUUAGGUUGUGAACAAGUCCCUCCAGAGCAUGUUUGUCAAUUGUUUGUGCAUCACCCCAACAGGAGAGAUCAAGUGAAACCAAUUUUGACAGGUGGGAGACUUGGGAUGGGACUUCUCCUGCAAACCCUGUAUUGGAAAGGUUGAGGUAGAAUAGGCUUGUAAACCGACCUAAGUCGGAUGGAAUUUUGGAAAGAUUAAAAUCAUUGAAGGCAAGGUUGAGUUUUUGAAGGUGAGGAAGAAGGAAGAGAGUGGUAUUGGAAGGGAAGUUGCCAGAUAGCCAACUGCAGCUCAAGUCAAGGGCAAUAACAUGAGCAUUUAGGUGGUCACAAGUGACCCCAUCCCAUGAGCAGCAAUCUGUACCCUCCUUCCAUGAAUUUGUCUUGGGAUAAGAUUUAGGGCCGCAAGACGAAUAAGCAGCCUCUGUUAUGGAAAAAGAGUUCUUGAACUGGAUUAGUAAAGAGCAGGAGUGAGAUCCUGAAGAAGAAAAAGAAGCAUAAAGAUGGGGAAAGAAGAGGAAUAGGCAGAGAAAGAGACAGGGGGGCAUGUUAUGUUUGUAGAGGAAGAUGAAGGAUAGGAAUGGUAUUUAUAGGCAACAAAUAAUACAACAACAUUGGUGUUACAGUCUUUUUUAUUUUCUCGAGUUCUAUGAGUUUGUUUAAAUUCGCCGUGAAUACUCGAUUUUUUUUUACGUUUUUGAUUCAAAUACCGCUAAAAACAUUAAUCGGUUGCCAUUAAAUAUGUCAUUUUCUAUUAGCUGCAAGAAAACUAUCCGAUAAACUGCAUCUUCUUCUUUAGAUGAAAUUUUGUAAAAAAAAUUUGACAUUAUCUCUUAUAUGGUCCUUCAAUUUUAUUUAAAAAAUGAUUUUAACUCUCCAUUUAAUUUUUCAAACAAAUUAACGCAACAUUUUAGUUAUUGUCUACUGUCCAAUAAUGCCAUGUGUAUCAGUACAAACAUUCCCAUUUCUUUUUUUUUUUUUUCAUUUUCCCAAAAACUCAUUUCACUCUUAGCUUUAUAAAGAAAAAAAAAGUUAUUUUAGCCCUUAAUUUAAUUUUUCAUCUUCUUUAACCCUUAAACUUAUAUUGUUUAUCAAAUAACCCUUAAACUUGCAUUGUUUAUCAGAUGAAAAAAUUAAUAUCUAUUAACUUUGCUAACGUGCAUACAUAUGCAACCUCAUUUAAAUCUAAAAAAUAUAAAAAUAAUUAAAUAUGUAUAAAUCUAAAAAUAUCUUAAAAUUAAAACUAAAAUUUUUUAAACUAAUACAAAUUUUUAUUAUUUAAAAAAUCUUAAAAUUUUCAAAUUAAAUUCCAUUUGUUUUCCACCAUUGAAGAACACCUUCAAUCACAUCAACAACUUCAUACUAUUUUGCCUAGAAAUUGUUUUGCAAAUUUAUUUUGUUUAUUUAUUUCUAAACCCAUAUUUCUUUUCUAUAACCCCAAUGGUAGCAAAGGAAAUGUAAAAAAAAAAAAACUUAAAAAUCAAAUUUUUAAUGAUGAAGGGAAUUGAUUUAUAUUAAAACCAAGGAUUACACUGAAAAUACAAAGAGUUGAAGGUACUAAACAAGCAAAUAAACCCUAGCUACAGUGAUAAUUAACUUAACUAUCUACUAUUGGAACCAAGAAAAACUAAAAGAAAACAUGAAUUAAACCCUAGAGUUAUGAAGAAGAAAACAAAAACUCUAAAAAUAAAGAGAAAAAUUGAAAACCGUGAAAUGUUAAGUGUGCCCUUUGUUCAGCCAAUUUUUUGCCCUUUCUAGCAAAUUACAGAUCCAAAAAUAGUGACCAAAUUGUCUUUGAUGGUCUAAUUUUGGUUAGGGGGAAAAGGAUUACCCCUACGGUUAUUUUUUUGUCUCCUCCCAUCAAUGAUAUUGCGAUACCCAAAGUUUGGUAUCGCGAUAUCCACGACAGUCUUGAGGAUCCUUGGGAGUUUUGGGUAUCGCGAUACCUUAUGACCGUUAUCACGAUAACACUGUUGAUAUGCGGUACCCUCUUUCUAGGUGACAUUUUCGAUCCUUCUGAGCCACCAUGGGAUCUCUGCAUCACUCAUCAACCUCAUCAGAUUCCUCGGAUGCCAUUUGGCCAUCUCAGAUCUCAAAAUAGUAUCAAAAUGGACACUAAUCAUUUAUUAGUAUAAAGAACUAAAACUAAAUAAAAAAACGACAAAGAUAUCUAAAUUGCUUGAAAAUAAGUUUUUAAGUGUGAUGGAGAGCCUAAUUUGACAUAUCAAUUUACAACAGAUUAUAAACAUAAUUUGCGGAACCUUGUUAAAAUUUUGAUUUUCUUUAUUAGUUUCUUUCAAUAUUCUGUACGGUACAUUUGUAGUAAUAUAUUGUGCAGAUCAUAGACUACAUUGCUUUAUUAGUGUUCUAUUGUUAAUCUAUUAUUAUUAUUAUUAUUAUUAUUAUUAGCACCACUUCCUUUUUACCAUAUAAUUUUUAUUCAUAAAAAUGAAGAGUUGAUUUACUAAAGAAAGAAGAAGAAUUGAUGAGAUUAUAAAGUAUAUUGACUUGGUCUUGCUUCCUUUAUAUGUAUGAAUGUGGAAAUCGGCAUAAUGCCAACUUAUUUUCCACGCAGAGGAAGAAAAUGGUGCUCUCUUGUCACUCCCUUUAACUUGACAAAAUACAAGACAUGUGAUCCACCAAUGAAUGUUUGACUAUCUCCAUCUCACUUUUUAUUAAUCAAGGAAUAUAAACUUACUAUUUCAACAUUUCAUAAGCAAAAGCUAAAAUAAUAUUGGUCACAUCCCAUAUCUUCAUAAGACAAAAGUUAAAACAGCCUUCAGUUCAUCUACAUUCUACAUUCAUAUCAAUUGCACACAAAGUCAUAUCUGCAAGCAUCAAAUAUUAACCUUUCAACUCCAUAAUAACAACACCAAUUUCUAACAAUUGCAGAAGAAUGUCCAAUCAUUCCACACAAAUUAACAACAAUUUGUAGCAUCCACUACAUUCAUAUCAAUUCCACACAAAUUAAGACUGCAAUUUCUAACUUGUUUAUACCCUCAAUGAAGCUACCUAAAAGAUAUGAAUUUUUUAAUAUUAUAAAGUUAAGUGACCAAAACAUAAAUUUUCUACUAGAUUAGUACUUGAGGUGUAGUUUACCUUAUAAUAAAUAACUAUAAUAAAUUUGUGAAUCAAUUGCAUAAUUAAAUUAAGAUUUUCAAGCCUUUUACCAAACCAAACUUGAAAGGAGAAAAAGAAUCAUGAAAGAAUCCAGUUUUAAAAGCCUUUCACUUUUCCCAAGUCCAAUACACAAAUUCACAAGAUCCCACACUCUCAUUUAUCCUCUUCAAAAAGCAAGGUCCACAACAAAAGAUUAAUUUAGAUAUUAAUUAUUUUAUUUUAAUGGGAUAUAAUUUGAUAUUUUGUUUUUAUUUUAAUUAAGUGUGUUUAAAUUAGUGAUAUUUGUUAUAAUAAUUAAGUUAUACAUUCGGGAAGGUUGAUAAUAAUGUUCACACCAUAGAUGUUGUGAAGAGCCACUAAAAGUGACAAUUUAUCUAUGCUAAAAAGGUGUUUGAAUAGAGUAAUAUUGGACAAUGUCCUACCUCAAGACCCAAAAGGGAUGCCAAUUUAAGACCCAAGGAAGCCUUCGACUUAUCUCACUUGUGUAAGGAGCUAGAGUUAUCUCUUUACUAUUAACAACAUAAUUAAUCAUAUUCUAUAAUUCACCUUUAAGGUGUCUUAUUCACUUGUUUAGGUCAACUAUACCAAAUUCAGCAUUUUAUUUCGCCAAACCAAAAUUGUCAUUUGCCAUAUAGGGAUCGCCAAGCCUAUAAAAGCCAAAAUCUUUUCAAAGAUUUGCCUCGUUUAGCUCGAUUCUUCAAUUUAUCUUCUCAAUCUCAAUUAUUAACGUUUGUCUCUCUAACUUGCCUCCUCAAAUUUAAUCAUUAAAACUAAAUGCAUUACGUGCUCACCAUACUACAAGAACAUAAACUUAUUUAUUUCAAGAGGAUCACUUUAUAAAUUUCCAUCAAUUAGGGAAAAAUUAUUAUACCUCUAUAAGUAUAUUUUAAAAUAUGGCGAUAUUUCAAGAUAGCACCUAUCACAUUUCAAUAAAACUCAUUAUAUAUCUACCACCAUCAUAAUUAAGUAAUAGAGCAUCAUUCUAUAUGGACACACAUCAAGCUCAUUUCCUUUUAUGUUAAUUAUUCACGUAAUUCUAAUUUUCAAUUAUUUCCUUAAAUAUUAAAAAUAACUACUCUGUUAAUGCCAUGUAGCUAUUUUGAUUAAUGAUUUCCAUUUAAUUUGUUUUCCUCCUGACUUGGAAAUGUGGACUUGACAACAAAAUGAAAUUUGAGCAUGACACCUUAAUUUUGUGGUUGGUUUGACGAAUACUGAAGGUUGGUCAUCUUGAAACAUAUAUAAAAUUAAAUGAUUGAAUUAUUGAAAUUAUUAAAUAAAAUAAUUAUGAAAUUAGAAUUUAAGGUUAGAGGUUAUUUUUAGAAUUUUAAAUUUUCUUUUACUGCUAACUUGUAAAAAAAUUAUGAAAAUACAACAGAGAUCAUUGACACAUUUUGUUCUCCUUUCUCCUUUACUGAGCAGUAGCAAAGAUUAUCGAGACUAAAUUGAAAGUCAUGAAAGAAGACAUAAACAACACCACCAUACAAAAUGUUACAUUCAAACAAACCAUUACAGAUAGCACGAAAUGCAAUGAAAGGCAGAGGAAUUGGUACGAUAAUAAAGACAGACACGUACCAAUGCAACCCUUCACCAUAGGCAAAACGGUCUACAGAACAAUAAAUUAUGAAAAUACAACACUAAUUCUUCAACAUCAUUUGCUGUAAUUAGAUCCUUCUUCGUCUAUUGCUCCGAUUGCCUUUCUUUGACUUUCUUCUUCGCCUCUUCUCUUGUUGGUUUUCAACCAAAUUCACCAACCAUUUCGGCUUACCAGUUUGGAAAACAACAUAUCCCACCGACAUUCCGAACACCACUCCGCAUCCAUAACCUAUCAACACCACUUUCUAACCAAAAUCAAUGUUUGAUUUUGAGCCAUCUGUUUCAAGCACAUUUGGAGGUGCUGGCUCAAUGAUGUUGCAACCUUUCGAGACCGGAAACCCACAUAGUCCCUUAUUCACUUCAUAUGAAUCAUUUCCAAAUGUGUUGAAUUGUUUUCCUUGAGGAAUCUGACCAUGGAGUUGAUUUUCAGAAACAUUGAAGGACGAAAGAUACUGCAGAUCUGCCAAUCCAUUUGGAAUCGUCCCAGACAACCUGUUUGAAGAUAGGUCCAACCAUUCACAACUGGAUUAGUGAAGAGCAGGAGUACUGAGAUCCUGAAGAAGCAUAAAGAUGGGGAAAGAAGAGGAAUAGGCAGAGGAAGAGAUAGGGGGCCAUGUUAUGUUUGUGGAGGAAGAUGAAGGAUAGGAAUGGUAUUUAUAGGCAACAAAUAAUACCACAGUGUUACAGUCUUUUUUUCUUUUACGUUGAGAAGCUAUAGACAUUAGAUUUUCAAAAUUUUUGUAUUUUUCACAAUCAUCAACAACGACUUAGUCUUCUUUUUACCAUAUAUUUUUCAUUCUUAAAAUUGGAUAUUAGAUUUUCAAAAUAUUUGUAUUUUUCACAAUCAUCAGCAAAAUCUUGUAUUUCGUUUGAACUGUCUAAACAACUAAAAAAAUUAAGAUUGAUGAGAGUACAAAGUAGAUUGACUUAGUCUUUUUUCUCAUAACCCUUAAAGAAUGUGUGUAUCUAUUCACUUGCAGGUCAACCAAAGCUAAUUAAUGUGGAAAUUCUUUUUCACAACAAAAUUGUACUCUAUUCACUACGUUUGAGGAAGAAGACUGUUGGAAAUUUAAUCCACCGAUUCCAUAAAAACGUGUAUACUUAUAUAUAUAUAUAUAUAUAUGUAUAACCUCAUAUAAAAUCUGAUAAAUUUAUUUGGGAAUAGUUAUUUUUCAUUCGUUAAUUAUUUCUCUUUUAAUCAAGUAAAAAAAUUAAAACUAAAAAGACAUUAUGAUUUAUUUGGCAUUUUUUAACUUCACAAAUAAAACGUCAUUUUAACUUUCUAUUCUUUUUUUUAUCUCUUUUAGCCUUGAAACUUAUAUGGUUCGUUAAAUCACUCAUUGAUGACAUAUUAACCUUUGAGUUAAACUCAAAUUGCUCUUCUCUUUGUUAUAAAUUAAGAGUAUAACUAAUUUUGAUAAAAAUGGUUACUUUUCAUUAACUUAGUUUAAAGGACUAUAACACGUAAAGUUUGGUCUAUUGCAGAAUUCACAUGUAAUGUGGGACAUUUUUUAACUUUACAAACAAAAAGUCAUUUGCGCCACAAUGUACAAUACUUCCACACCAUCUGCAGUAUUGCUACGUUUACUUGAGGGAAAACAAAGACAUGAAUGCUGGAAAUUUUAACUAGUUUGUACCGUCAAUAAAGCUACCUACCUAAAAGCCAUUUAGGAUAUCAAUUCCUGUAAUUGGAUUAAUCUCAUCGUUGCUGCAAUCUUUUGACAGUGUAAUCCAAUCUUAAAUAUGUUACUCUGCAGUGCUAUCGUAAAUAUUACUCUUAAAAUUGUGGAUAGAUAUAUAGGUUUGGCACAAAAUUAAGAAUACACAAAGGCAGGAUGAAUCAUUCCAUGUUUGAACAUCUGCAACAUAAAUGCAUAUGGCAAAAGGGCUCAAACCAUACCUUAUGUUCAUGAUGUUAACAUUAAUGGGAGACAACAUUAAUGGCAAACAAUACAAAGUGGUGCAAGUUUAGCACCCUAAAGUUGACUUUGAAAAAGUGGCAUGGGAUAAAUUUUUUUGGUCCUUGAGAUAAUGGGCUAUUUAUUGUUUGGUCCUUAAACUUCAACUAUAAAUAGGCCUUCUCAUUUCUCAUUUCAAUUCAUCCCAACCAAUCUUUCUCUCUUAGUUUUCUCUCUUCUCCCAUUUGAGAAUUCUUAAGGAAUUCAAUUUGUUUGUAAUACUUUGGAGAUAGUAAAGUUAUCAUCUGGUGUUAGUGCCCGAGGACGUAGGUAUAAUUUACCGAACCUCGUUAAAACUCUUGUGUUCUUUCUUGUCCUAUUUUUCUUUCAAUAUUUGAGGGUAUAAUAGUAGUAUUUAAUUGUGCUAUUAAAUUACUAUAGAAGGGAUAUUCUGUCUAAGGAAAGACUUGGUAUUUAAGAGAUCCAUGUGAUCCACCUCUCUUCCCUGGGAAUUGAACUUUGUGUGAUUUUUUAGUACAAUAAUUUACACGCUUCCGACCCUAUUGGAACAAUACAUGAAUUCUCAUCAUCACGUGUUUAUAAAUGCAACUCAAACUUCAAUAAUUGAAUCUUUUGUAAUUCUACAUGUAUUUUUUUUUAUGGUGAGCAGUAUAAUAUUUACUAAAAAUUGAAAUUCAAGAAAGAAGCCAUACAUAGUUGCACCAUACAAGAUGUUACACUCGAACUAAACCCUUACAAAUAGUACAAAAUGCAAUGAAAUACAGAGGAAUUGGUACAAUCAUAAAGACAGACACAUACCAAUGCAACUUUUCACCAUAGGAAAAACUUUCUGACAGACUACUAAACAAGAAAUUAUGAAGACACAGCAGAAAGGCUUUAACUUCAUUUGCACCAACUAUAUCCUUCUUCAUCCAUUGAUGCGAUUGCUAUAUUUUGGUUUUCUUCUUCGCCUCUUCUCAUGUUGGUCUUCAACCAAAUUCACAAUCCUUUUCGCUUCUUCUGAGCCACCAUGGGCUCUCUGCAUCACUCACCAACCUCAUCAGAUUCGCCGGGUGCCAUUUGGCCAUCUCAGGUCUCAAAAUAGUAUCAAAAUGCACACUAAUCAUUUAUUAAUAUAAAGAACAAAAACUAAAUAAAAAAACAACAAAGAUAUCUAAAUUGCUUGAAAAUAAGCUUUUAAGUGUGAUGGAGAGCCUCAUUUAACAUAUCAAUUUAUAGUAGAUCAUAAACAUAAUUUGCGGAACAUUGUUAAAAUUUCGAAUUUCUUUAUUAGUUUUCUUUCAAUAUUCUGUAUGGUACAUUUGUAGUAAUAUAUUGUGCUGAUCAUAGACUACAUUGCUUUAUUAAUGUUCUAUUGUUAAUCUUUUAUUAUUAUUAUUAUUAUUAUUAACACCACUUCCAUUUUAUCAUAUAAUUUUUUUUCAUAAAAAUGAAGAGUUGAUUUACCAAAAAAUUGUAUUUCAUUUGAACUCCCUAAAGAAAGAAGAAGUGAUGAGAUUAGAAAGUAUAUUGACUAGGUCUUGCUUCCUUUAUAUGUAUGAAUGUGGAAUUUGGCAUAAUGCCAACUUAUUUUCCACGCAGAAGAAAAUGGUGCUCCAUCCACUCUGUUUAACUUGACAAAAUACAAGACAUGUGAUCCACCAAUGAAUGUUUGACUAUCUCCAUCUCACUUUUUAUUAAUCAAGGAAUAAAAACUUAACAUUUCAACAUUUCAUAAGCAAAAGCUAAAAUAUUGACCUUUGAACUCCAUAAUAACAUAAGUUAAAACAAAAGUUAAAACAGCCUUCAGUUCAUCUACAUUCCACAUCAAAUCUGCAAGCAUCAAAUAUUGACCUUUGAACUCCAUAAUAACAACACCAAUUUCUAACAAUUCCAGAAGAAUGUCCAGUAACUCCACACAAAUUAACAACAAUUUGCAGCAUCCACUACAUUCAUAUCAAUUCCACACAAAUUAAGACUGCUUGUUUAUAAAGCUACCUACUGCAAAUUUUGUAUUGCUUGCAAUGAAUUGACCGUCAUUUUCUAUUACUUGCCACAAAAUUGGAAUUCUGAUAAGUUUAAUUUGGAAUAUGAUCAAUUUUGGUUAAAUUGGAGUGAAUAUUACUAUUUCUGUUUUAGCAAUUAAAGCAACCUAUAUGUACCCUUUUACACUCUGCAUUGUUCCAUGUUUCAAUUCAUUACAUCAUUCCUUCAACUCUGCUAUAUAUUAUCACCGUCUCCACAUAACCAAACCUUUUACUGCUAACUUGUAAAAAAAUUAUGAAAAUACUGUCGAAACCAUUUUUUUAUUUGAAAAAUGAGAGUCGACUUUAAGAAACAAAAAUGAGAGUCGCUACCAAUCUUUUUUGAGGUGUGAUCAUAUGCGCAAGAAAAUUUGCUCUCACUUACUCUCGAAAUUUACAGUAGGGGCUUAGGCUACCAAUAAAUUCUCAAUUAGAUAAUGAAUCAUCUACGAGCAACGAUUCCAAACCACAAUGAAUUGAGAGCUCAAACUAGCUCUUCCUCUAACUCAUAGAAGGCUCUAAUGAAUCCGAGGCUUCACACAUGACAAUCACACAAUACUCACAAUCAAAUGACAGCCAAGGACCCACUUAAACUAACCAAAACACAAGCCUAAGCUACCUUCUCAUGUAACCAAACCCUUUAGCAUGAUGAAAUUAAAAUGCAAAUAUAUUGAUCUACACUUAACAUUUUCACAAGAAACAAGUUUCAUUCAUCGCCAUAUUCAUCUAUAACUAAACUCCAACCUUUAAACCACACAAAACUAUACAUUUCAAGGUAUCGACAUUUUUCGACAAGUUUUGGCUAUAAUAAUGAAAAUUCAUUAAAACACGAGAAAUCUUUAAUAGAACUUAGAAGUAAUUUUAGAAACCUUCUAAUCAAGUUAAAACAAGUUGAAAAACACUUUUAAAUCACAUUUUUAUCCACAAUCUCAAAUUCCACUAUUAAUGACCCAAUUUUUGGGUUUUAAUUAAAACAUGUCAAUUUUAAAAUCUAAAUAACAUUAAAAAUUAAUGGUAAAGUAAAUGGUUACUUUUGAUGGGAGAUUAAUUGAGUUUUGACGUAAAUUUGAAAAACGAAGAAGAUGAUGAAAUCUAUGGCAUUUUUGAGUGUUUUUCUUAGAGAUUUAUGAAGGUAAUUGACUUGGGAGUUAUAAGAAAUCAAAGUAUUAUUGUUUGGGAAUAAAAUAAAUAAAUUGAAAGAUGAAGGGAAUAGCAAAGGACGGCAAUAGCAAACUUUGGAGAGUAACCAUCGUGAAAUAGAACUGGGAUUGGGGUUUAUUAGGUUCAAUUUUAAAAAUUGGUAAAACUGCAAUAUAAGUGCUCACUAUUUUAACUUUGUUACAAAUUAUUCCUUUUUUUCUAAAAUUUAGAAAUUUAAAACUCAUUUUCAGAAAUUGACUCCAUUCCCUAAUAGCCAUUGUAGAAAACAUUAUCAAAUACUAACCUUAAGAAAUUUGAGCGCAUAUAGGCUAAAAUUCCUAAAAUACACUCGAAAUUCUUAGACCCUAUUUUGGAGUGUUACACACAUGGUCAUGAUUCAUGUUGAAUUAAUCCAUCAUUCACCGUAAUAAGACUUGUCAUUGUAAUAAUUUAUUUUGAUACGUAUUAUUUUAUGAUGCAUAAACAUCAUAAAAUUUUCUAUUAUGCAAUAAUAGAAUUAGUUAAAUCAUCUAAUAUCUAAAAAAUUAUUAUUAUUUUAAUAAAAUCAUUCAUCAAAUUCCUGUUUUCAAAUUUCAUACAUGAAAUUAACAAAUAAAGAUAGCUCUAAAUAGCAAAACAUGGUAGGAUGGUUUUGUUGUGCAAACUUAGGAUUUCAAUUCUCAUCAAGGAACUUGCAAGCCUAUUAUAGUAGAAAUGUUCUAUCCAAAUGAUAAAGAUGUUGAUGCAACAUUUUAGAUUGCAAAUUCCUUGAUCACAUUUGGAAUCCUAAGCACAGGGACUUGCAAGCCUCUUAGCUCCAGGAACUUUAGAUUGUACCUGUUCAAAACAUUUUUCAAAGAAGGAACCAUAGGCGUCUAUUCUGGUUCAUCUCAUUGAAUACAUCAAAUGGAGGAUCAAUACGCUGAAAAAGGGACAACGGAAAGAACUUUAGCCAAUAACUUGAAUUUUAUAACUACUCCUAUGCCAACCAGCAAACCAUAACAACACAAAUGUUUGUUCUGUUAAGGAACAAUACACAGACAUAUUCACCUACCCUUGGUGCUGACAGAAUAUGCCCAUUCACUUGGGUGAAAUUAGAGUUGAUAUUAACCCCACAAGAUUUCUGCACCAUAAUUACUGCUAAGUAAAACCUGCACAUCAAUUUUCAUUCUUCACUAGAAACUGAAUCUAUUUUUGUAAGUAAAAAUUAGUUGUAUUCAUUGUUCACAUAAUUGAUCUUUUGUUGUGGAAGUAUUGUAUUUCCGGUAAUCCAUUAAGUAUUCAGUGUUUGAUGCAAUAGAUUUGUAUUUUAUUAUUUUAUUUUGUGGAAGGAUCCUUUAUCUAUUUUGUUUUUUACAUUUCUGAUAAGUUUACAUUUUUCAGUAAUUAACUUAUGUUGUUUUUGCCAAACUUUGUAGCGUUUCACUUUUGGUAAAAUUUCAUCCUUGGUCCCUUUAAACUCCUUUUUGCUUUAAUUUGAUUGCUUUCUAGCGUUGCAAAUUACAUGACACUCUUCAAAUGUCUUACUAAAUUCUCACUUCUACGAGUGCUAUGAUAAUCAAAUAAAGUUCAAUUCAAUUUUAAGUUCCAUACAACACUUACAAGGCUACAAAAUGUGUCCUCAACCACAAACAAUCCAAAUUUGCAGAGAAACCACCCAUUAUAUAUAGGUUUGCCAAUGAGAUGGCAAGCAGACUGCUAGCUAGAAAUUCAUGCAUCUUUGAAUCACCAAUUCAAUUAAUAAGCUUAACUAGAGGAAAUAAGGACUUUACAUCCACCAAUUAAAGCAACCUAUAUGUACCCUUUUACAGUCUUCAUUGUUCCAUAUUUCAAUUCAUUACAUCAUUCCUUCAAUUCUGCUAUAUAUUAUUACCGUCUCCAGAUAACCAAACCUUUUACUGCGAACUUGUAAAAUAAUUAUGAAAAUACAACAGAGAUCAUUGAGACAUUGUUGAAGCUGGCUUGGAUGAAUGCCAAGCUGUCCGAGCCAUGCAAGUCGCGGCUGAAGCUUAUGCUGCUGUUUUGCUACUUUCAAAUAGAUAUUUUAUUACUUAGUUAGAUAUGAACUAAGUUUUUGAUAUGCUUGAUGUACUUAGGUGCUGAUAGAUUGAUAAAUCAGCUUUACCAAGUGUACAAGCAAUGUUUAUAAAAGAAUAAUAUUACAUAACUAAACUAAAUAACUAAAUUAAAUAAUAUUAUAAAGUUAAGAGACCAAAACAUAAAUUUUCUAAUAGAUUAGUACUUGAGGUGUAGUUUACCUUAUAAUAAAUAACUAAACUAAAUUUGUGAAUCAAUUGCAUAAUUAAAUUAAGAUUUUCAAGCCUUUUGUGAUUGGUAUUGGACCAAACCAAACUUGAAAGGAGAAAAAGAUUCAUGAAACAAUCCACUUUUAAAAGCCUUUCACUUUUCCCAAGUCCAAUACACAAAUUCACAAGAUCCCACGCUUUCAUUUAUCCUCUUCAGAAAGCAAGGUCCACAACAAGAGAUUAAUUUAGAUAUUAAUUAUUUUAUUUUAAUGGGAUAUAAUUUGAUAUUUUGUUUUUAUUUUAACUAAGUGAGUUUAAAUUAAUGAUAUUUGUUAUAAUAAUUAAGUUACACAUUCGGGAAGGUUGAUAAUAAUGUUCACACCAUAGAUGUUGUGAAGAGCCACUAAAAGUGACAAUUUAUCUAUGCUGAAAAGGUGUUUGAAUAGGAGUAUUGGACAACGUCCUACCUCAAGACUCAAAAGGGAUGCCAAUUUAAGAUCCAAGGAAGCCUUUGACUUAUCUCACUUGUGUAAGGAGCUACAGUUAUCUCUUUACUAUUAACAACAUAAUCAUAUUCUAUAAUUCACCUUUAAGGUGUCUUAUUCACUUGCUUAGGUCAACUAUACCAAAUUCACCUUUAAAGCAUUUUAUUUCGCCAAACCAAAAUUGUCAUUUGCCAUAUAGGGAUCGCCAAGCCUGCAAAAGCCAAAAUCUUUUCAAAGAUUUGCCUCGUUUAGCUUGAUUCUUCAAUUUAUCUUCUCAAUCUCAAUUAUUAACGUUGUCUCUCCAACUUGCCUCCUCAAAUUUAAUCAUCAAACGUGCAUUACGUGCUCACCAUACUACAAGAACAUAAACUUAUUUAUUUUCAAGAGGAUCACUUUAUAAAUUUUCAUCAAUUAGGGAAAAAUUAUUAUACCUCUAUAACUAUAUUUUAAAAUAUGGCGAUAUUUCAAGAUACCACCUAUCACAUUUCAAUAAAACUCGUUAUAUUUCUACCACCAUCAUAAUUAAGUAAUAGGGCAUCAUUCUAUAUGGACACACAUUAAGCUCAUUUCCUUUUAUGUAAAGUCCUCUACAUAACUUAAAAGGGAUGGAAAACAUAGAGCAAAACUCUAUAUAUCCAUUCUCUCCUAAAGCUUUCAACUCACUCUUAACAAUACUACCACUACCAUGUGAAUCACCCUUAACUGUUAACCUUUUAAAAAUAACUACUCUGUUAAUGCCAUGUAGCUAUUUUGAUUAAUGAUUUCGUUUAAUUUGUUUUCCUCCUGACUUGGAAAUGUCGACUUGACAACAAAAUGAAAUUUGCGCAUGACACCUUAAUUUUGUGGUUGGUUUUGUUGGAAUAUUUUCAAAUAUUUAUAGUAUCCCAAUAACUAUAAAUGAAUGGGUGUAAUUAAUCAAAAGAUAAAACUUUUGGUCAUUGGUCAAAAGUUAUAUCAUUUGAUUUUUUAAAAAAGAAUUAUAACUAUUCAAAAAAUAUUAUUUGAAUAGUUACAAAAUUAAAUGAAUAAUUAUUAUUAUUUAUUUAUUCAUAAAGACACCUAUUGAAAGAUGUCUCUAUGAAGAGACAUGAAAAUUCCUAUAAAUAGGAAUAGGAUUUCAUUUGGAAAUCAUAUCAACAAAUUCUAAUAUUAUUUCUUCUCUUCCUUCAUUUUCUAAUAUUAUUAGAUUAUUCUAUAAAGUAUUGCUGCAGAAAUCCUUUGUAGAAAUUGAGUUUUUGUUAUACAUUACUCAGUGCAUAGUGGACUAUUCUCGUCAGUGCAAAACGCAAAUAGUCAUUGGCUUCAUUGUAUCCUCGAGGUUAAUUUGCUUGGAACUCGUUUGCACACUGAAGAUAAGUGGAGGCGAAUAUAACCUUAAAGAUAGUGGCUUGAUACACGCCUUGGAGCCUGUCCUAUUUCUUCUUUUUCUUUUCGAGUUCCGAUCGUGUGUUCAAGUUUUUUUCUUACCGGAGUUUUGUACUAACAAUUUUAAGGUUAUAUUUCAUGAUGACUACCACAACACAUGAAAGUGGAACACUAAGGGAGUUGGCUUCCAACUUUGUUAAACUUGAUCGUUUUGAUGGUGGCAAUUUUCGACGAUGGCAGAAAAAGAUGCACUUUUUGUUAUCAACUUUGAAUAUUGCUUAUGUUUUGGAUACUCCAAGACCUGAAGAGAAUGAAAAUGAAUCUGUUGCUGCAACCCGAGAAAGACAAAAAUGGGACAAUGCUGAUUACAUGUGCAUGGGCCACAUAUUGAAUGGUUUAUCUGAUGGUUUGUUCGACACCUACCAAAACGACGUCACCGCUAAAGAAUUAUGGGACAAAUUGGAGGCAAGAUACAUGACCGAAGAUGUUACAAGUAAGAAAUUUCUUGUCAGUCGUUUCAAUAAUUAUCAAAUGGUUGAUGGUCGUUCUGUUAUGGAACAAUUUCGUGAUAUUGAAAAGAUGCUGAAUCAAUUUAAGCAAUAUGAUAUGAAAAUGGAUGAAAUGAUUGUGGUAUCCUCCAUAAUAGACAAACUUCCUCCAUCUUGGAAAGACUUUAAAAGAAGUCUAAAACAUAAGAAAGAGGAAAUAUCUCUUGAGGCUUUGGCAAAUCAUCUUCGUAUUGAAGAAGAGUAUCAAAAACAAGAUCAGAACCUAAAUUCUAAAAAUGCCGAAGUACAUGUUAUGGAGGAAGUACAGACUACUAAACCAUUCAAGAGAAAGUUCAAUCAGACUGAUAGAGCACCUAAGUUCAAAAAGAAACAAAAGGGCUCAUGCUAUCAUUGUGGAAAGCCGGGACAUUUCAAGAAUGAAUGUCGAUUUUUAAAGAAGAAAUCAUCUUCUAAGGCUGAUAAUAACGAAAAGUUCGUUGCAAUGAUAUCUGAAAUUAAUAUGGCACAAGAUGAUAAUACAUGGUGGAUUGAUACCGGAGCAACCAAACAUGUGUGCAAAGACAAAAGCAUGUUCACAAAGUUCACACAAUGUGAAAAUGACAAUGUCUUGUACAUGGGAAAUUCUUCCACCGCAACAAUUAAAGGCAAAGGGUCUGUUGAACUACAAUUCACUUCUGGAAAGGUUUUAACCUUAAAUGAUGUAUAUUAUGUACCAAAAGUUAGGAAAAAUUUAGUGUCUGGAAGUCUGUUGAAUAAGUUUGGUUUCAAACUUGUUUUUGAGGCAGAUAAGUUUAUUUUGUCUAAGGGAGGAAUUUUUGUGGGAAAAUGGUAUAUGUAUGAAAGCAUGUUCAAACUUAAUAUUAUUAAUAAGAAUAAAAAUACUAUUUCUGCUUAUAUGGUUGAAUCAUUUUGUUUGUGGCAUUAUAGAUUAGGUCAUUUGAAUUAUAGAAAAUUGAAUGACAUGUAUAAAUUAGAUUUAAUUCCUGUUUUUAAUAAUAAUAUUGAAAAAUGCAAUACCUGUAUGUUGACUAAAAUUACAAGAAAUCAUUUCCCUAAGGUUAAAAGGAAAACAAAAUUGCUUGAUUUGAUACAUAGUGAUUUAUGUGACUUGCAUAAUACUCCUACAUUAGGUGGAAAGAAAUAUUUUGUUACUUUUAUUGAUGAUUGUUCUAGAUAUUGUUAUGUAUAUUUAUUGCAUUCAAAAGAUGAAGCGCUUGAUAAAUUUAAAGUUUAUAAAUCUGAAGUUGAACUUCAGUGUGAAUCAUUUAUCAAGUGCUUAAGAUCGGAUAGAGGUGGAGAAUACUAUAAUCCAAGUUAUUUUGAACUCACUAGAAUUGUCCAUCAAGUUUCAGCCCCUUACACACCACAACAAAAUGGUGUAGUUGAAAGGAAAAAUAGAGUCUUGAUUGAAAUGGUAAAUUCAAUGUUAUCAUAUUCAGGUCUUGGACAGGGUUUUUGGGGAGAAGCUGUUCUAACAGCUUGUCAUAUAUUGAAUAGAGUUCCUAAUAAAGAAACUAAAAUAACCCCCUAUGAACAAUGGAAGAAAAGGAAACCAAACUUUAAUUAUUUAAAGGUUUGGGGUUGUAGAGCUUGGGGUUGUAGAGCUAUUGUAAAAGUUCCAACACCUAAACGUAAAAAGUUAGGUGAAAGAGGAAUUGAAUGCAUAUUUAUAGGUUAUGCACAUAAUAGCAAGGCAUAUAGGUUCAUAGUAAUUGAACCAAAUGAUUCAAUUUCAAUUAAUACGGUUAUUGAAUCAAGAGAUGCUAUUUUUGAUGAAAAUAGAUUUAAUUCUAUAUCAAGACAAUUACAACCACAACAAUUGAUUCAUUCUUCAAAUGAGAAUGAGAUUCCAUUGAAACAAAUUGAUAAUAAUGAUGAAUCUUGUCAAGAAUUAAGAAGAAGUAAUAGGAUUAAAAAGGUCAAAGAUUUUGGACCAGAUUUCAUUAUGUUUCUUGUAGAAGGAAAAGGUGAAAGUAUAUGCAAUAAGAUACCUUAUUGUUAUAAUACCGAAUCUGAUCCUAUUACAUUUGAAGAAGCAGUGAAAUCUCAAGACUCUGCUUUUUGGAAAGAAGCAAUAAAUGAUGAAAUGGAUUCAAUAAUGGGAAAUCAAACUUGGAUCUUAGUUGAUCAUCCACCAGGUUCCAAACCAAUAGGUUGUAAAUGGAUCUUCAAAAAGAAAAUGAAGGUCGAUGGAACCAUUGAUAAAUUUAAAGCAAGGUUGGUAGCAAAAGGUUUUACACAAAGACAAGGUAUUGAUUCCUUUGAUACCUAUGCUCCAGUAGCAAGAAUUGCUACAAUUAGACUAUUAAUAUCACUUACCUCUAUAUAUAAUUUGGUUGUUCACCAAAUGGAUGUUAAAACUGCAUUUUUAAAUGGUGAAUUGGAAGAGGAAGUGUACAUGGAGCAACCGGAAGGAUUUGUUGUUCCAGGACAAGAGCAUAAGGUAUGUAAGCUUGUUAAAUCUUUAUAUGGGCUUAAACAAGCACCAAAACAAUGGCACCAAAAGUUUGACAAGGUUGUUUUAGCUAAUGGCUAUAAAAUAAAUGAAUCCGAUAAGUGCAUAUAUAGUAAAUUUGAUAAUGGAAAGGGUGUUAUAAUUUGCUUAUAUGUAGAUGACAUGCUCAUUUUUGGCACGGAUUUGGAAUAAAUAGAAAACACAAAGAAAUUCUUGUCAAACAACUUUGCUAUGAAGGAUAUGGGUGUAGCAGAUGUUAUUCUUGGGAUUAAAAUAACCCGAGAUGAAAGCACUAUAGCUUUAUCACAAUCACAUUACAUUGAAAAUGUGCUUAAAAAGUUUGAUCUUUUCAACUGUAUACCAGCAUCUACACCCAUGGAUCCUCAAUUAAAAUUAGUAUCUAAUGCUGGUAGGAAAAUUGAUCAAUUGAAAUAUGCAAGUCUAAUUGGUUGUCUUAUGUACAUAAUGACUUGUACAAGACCAGAUAUUGCAUAUGCUAUUGGAAAAUUGAGUAGAUACACAAGUAAUCCAAGUAGUUUGCAUUGUCAAGCUUUAAAUAGAGUACUUAGGUACUUAAAGAAAACUAUUAACUAUGGAUUGUGUUAUAAUGGAUAUCCUCCAGUUUUAGAAGGGUAUUCGGAUGCUAGUUGGAUUACAAGUUUGGAAGAUCAUGCAUCUACUAGUGGGUGGAUCUUCAUUCUUGGUGGAGGAGUCAUUUCUUGGGGUUCCAAGAAACAAACAUGUAUUACUGAUUCCACCAUGGCAGCAGAAUUUAUUGCAUUAGCCGCUGCAUCUAAAGAAGCAGAAUGGUUAAGAAAUUUGCUUUAUGAUGUACCUUUAUGGCUUAAGCCAAUUUCACCUAUUUCUAUCCGUUGUGAUAGUGAGGCUACUCUAGCAAAGGCAUAUAGCCAAGUAUAUAAUGGAAAGUCUAGACACAUUGGAUUAAGACAUAGUUAUGUCCGACAAUUAAUCUCUGAUGGAGUGAUCACUAUUAAUUAUGUGAGGUCAAGUGAAAAUUUGGCAGAUCCUUUGACAAAAAGUCUUGCUAGAGAUGCAGUAAAAAGGACCUCAAAAGGGAUGGGACUCAAGCCUAUUAAUUAGAGCCACCCAUUAUGGAAACUCGACUCAACGCUUGGUAUAACGUCAAGUCUUGAGUUCAAUGAGACAAAGUACAUCAUUAGUAUGUGACUGUUAGCACUAUAAAUAAAUCCAUCCUAAGAUUAAAGUGCUAGGUACCCGUAAUGAUAAGGGAAGGAUGAGUAAUGUACUCUUAAUGGACCCAUAACAUAAAUAUGUUAGAGUGUUAUAAUUACGGGAACACUUUUGAUGGGAUCUACCUAUGUGAGUGGAAGUGUGGCCGCUUCUAGGAGCUUAAGGGCUUGGCUCUGACAGCACUCAUGAAAAGAGGACAUAGACACAUGGCUAUAAUAGUGUCCCUAGAUACUAUGCAUUGACUGAUGUUGAAAUCAUUGUGUGAGAUAUGUUCAGUUAAUCAAAUGGAAUAGUUGGUUCAAAGCUUAGUCUACCAUACAAUUUCGAUUAACUUUAACAUGUUUUCACUAAGUGAAGGUUCAAUCGUAAGACACCUUUAUUUAUGCAAAUUGAUUUCCAAGAAUAUCAAAAUCUAAAUAUUUUGAAAAUGGGGGGAGAUUGUUGGAAUAUUUUCAAAUAUUUAUAGUAUCCCAAUAACUAUAAAUGAAUGGGUGUAAUUAAUCAAAAGAUAAAACUUUUGGUCAUUGGUCAAAAGUUAUAUCAUUUGAUUUUUUAAAAAAGAAUUAUAACUAUUCAAAAAAUAUUAUUUGAAUAGUUACAAAAUUAAAUGAAUAAUUAUUAUUAUUUAUUUAUUCAUAAAGACACCUAUUGAAAGAUGUCUCUAUGAAGAGACAUGAAAAUUCCUAUAAAUAGGAAUAGGAUUUCAUUUGGAAAUCAUAUCAACAAAUUCUAAUAUUAUUUCUUCUCUUCCUUCAUUUUCUAAUAUUAUUAUAUUAUUCUAUAAAGUAUUGCUGCAGAAAUCCUUUGUAGAAAUUGAGUUUUUGUUAUACAUUACUCAGUGCAUAGUGGACUAUUCUCGUCAGUGCAAAACACAAAUAGUCAUUGGCUUCAUUGUAUCCUCGAGGUUAAUUCGCUUGGAACUCGUUUGCACACUGAAGAUAAGUGGGGGCGAAUAUAACCUUAAAGAUAGUGGCUUGAUACACGCCUUGGAGCCUGUCCUAUUUCUUCUUUUUCUUUUCGAGUUCCGAUCGUGUGUUCAAGUUUUUUUCUUACCGGAGUUUUGUACUAACAGGUUUGACGGUCAUCUUGAAGCAUAUAUAAAAUUAAAUGAUUGAAUUAUUGAAAUCAUGAAAUAAAAUAAUUAUGAAAUCAGAAUUUAAGGUUAGAGGUUAUUUUUAGAAAUUUAACUUUUUAAUUAAUUAAUUUAGCACAAAUUUUAUACAAGUCAUGAACUUAAUUUCAUCAAAUUAUAUUAUCCAACUUUUACUGUUAAUAAAUUAAGCGGUAAAAAAAAACACAUGUCUUGAUAUAAAAUAUCAAAAUUGAUUAUAUUGAAGGUGGUACAAAUAAUUGCAAGAAAUUGUAAUUAUUAGGUAGUGAUUAUAACCUCUCAUAAUAAAUUUUGAAAAUAAUUAAUGUUAAUUAUUCACGUAAUUCUUCUAAUUUUCAAUUAUUUCCUUAAAAAUUAAAAAGUAACAAAAAUAUAUAUAUAAAUUAUAAUGGUUAAGAAAAUAUGUCAUAAAUAUGUAAUUAUAAGUAAUUACAUCAAAAUUUAAUUACUACUGCUUUCUAAACACCCCUAAAAUUUAAAUAUAAUCAUUUCUUUGUUUAAAUAUGCUAAAGAUUUCUAUACUCUUUUAAAAUUUAAAUUUUAGUCUCCAUGCUUUAAUUUUGAGACAUUGAGUUCUUAUAGUUUUUUAUUUAAAAAUCUUGGUUUCUCCAUCUAAUUUUGCCAUUAAAAUUAAUGGUGUCAACGGUAAAAUAAAUUUUUAACCCUCAACAUAUAUUGUGCAGAUCAUAGACUAAAUUGCUUUAUUAGUUUUCUAUUGUUAAUCUUAUUAUUAUUAUUAUUAUUAUUAUUAUUGUUAACACCACUUCCAUUUUAACAACACCAAUUUCUAACAAUUGCAGAAGAAUGUCUAGUCAUUCCACACAAAUUAACAACAAUUUGCAGCAUCCACUACAUUCAUAUGAAUUCCACACAAAUUAAGACUGCAAAUUCUAACUUGUUUAUACCCUCAAUGAAGUUACCUACUGCAGAUUUUGUAUUGCUUGGAAUGAAUUGACUGUCAUUUUCUACUACUUGCCACAAAAUUUUGUAUUGCUUUAAAUUCAAACAGGAAGAAGAAAACAUGAAAAGAUGAUGAGAUGAGCAUGAAGAUUGCUAUAAAUUUGAUCCACCAAUUAAUAAGCUAACUAAAGGAAAUAAGGACAUUUGAUCCACCAAUUAAUGUUUGAAUUCACUAUAGUACUAUGCUUUUUACUGUCAAAAUCUUGGAUGCAGAGAUUAUUGGGACUAAAAAAUGAGAGUCAUGAAAGAAGACAUAAAUAGUUGAACCAUACAAAAUGUUACAUUUAAAACAAACCCUUACAAAUACUACGUAAUGCAAUGAAAUAUAGAUGAAUUGUUACAAUAACAAAGACAGAUGCAUGGCAAUGCAACCUUUCACCAUAGGAAAAAAAUUGGACAGACUUCAAAACAAGAAAUUAUGAAGAUACUGUUGCGGAAGCGACGAUAAUAUUAAUAACAAUAUUAUCAGAAAUAUUUAGAUAAUUAUUAUGCCAACAAUUAUACUAAGAAAAUUCCCAGUUAAAUUGGAGGGGUCACAAAUGGUCCCGCUUAAAACCCAACAACUAGACAGAACUCACUUAGAUAUUUAUAGCAAUAAUAACUAAAUAAAUAUAACCAACAUAAAGCUAUUAAAUAUAAGCAAACAAAUAAGAAAUAAAAUACCAGAGAUUUAACGAGGUUCGGCCAAUUUAGCUUACGUCCUCGGACACUACCAAAUCAAUAUUUCUACUAGAAAUAUUACAAAGGAGAAGAUUUUUUGGGAUGAUACAACCAAAGGGGGAGGGGUUCUAUAUAUAACAAACCAAACCCCCUCCCUUUCUAUCUUUUCCUAAUGUGGGAUAUUGCCAAUAUUCAACAAAUCUCCACCUUGGCGAUAUUCCACAUCUUCGAACAUCUUCUCAUAACACUAACUUCAAUAGUGUCUUCAAAUUUGCAACCAAUCGCCUUCUUCCCUUUUGGUAGUUGUGCCAGCUUCCACGUCUUGUUUUUCUCUAGAGAUUGCAUUUCCUCUUCCAUUGCACCUAACCAUCUAUUAUUCUCUAAACUCUGAAUGGCUUUGGUGUAAGUGGAUGGAAUAUUAUCAACAACUGGAAGUGCAUAAGCUACCAUGUCAGUGAAACGAGCAGGUUUCUGAAUUUCUCGUCUCUGCCUUCUGACUGCAAUUGGCUCUGAUUGCUGUUGAGGUUCUUGGGUAGAAACCUCUUCCUCAUCUGACUCUGCAUCUGCCAAUGAAGAAUCACUAGUGGUACCUUCUGCUGGAAUUACCACACUCUGCUCAAACUCCACCUGCUGCGGAGUACACUCCACCUGCUGCGAAGUACUACUCACUCCUUCUGGAUUUACCUUAUUCAACAUGGCAGAUUCAUGAAAGGUAACAUCCCUACUGAUUAUCGUCUUCUUUGCCUCUAGACACCACAAACGAUAUCCCUUAACACCAGCAUUGAAGCCCAUGAAUAGAGCCUUCUUUGCUCUUGGAUCUAACUUUGAUUCUUUCACAUGAUAAUAUGCAAUAGAACCAAAAAUGCGCAAGGUGUCAUAAUCAGUAGCAGGUUUUCCAUACCAUUUUUCCAAAGGAGUCUUGCCAUUUAUAGCAGAUGAUGGCAAAUGAUUGAUGAGAUGUUGAGCGUACGUCACAGCCUCAGUCCAAAACUUUCUAUCUAAUCCAGCAUUAGAUAACAUACAUCGAACUUUCUCCACAAGCGUUCGAUUCAUUCGCUCUGCCACCCCAUUCUGUUGCGGUGUUCCACCUACGGUGAAGUGCCUUACUAUGCCACAAUCUUGGCAUAUCUUCAGGAAAGGAUCGCUUUUAUAUUCUCCACCGUUGUCUGAUCGGAGAACCUUAAUCUUCCUUCCUGUCUGAUUUUCAACUUUAGUUUUCCACUUAAGGAAAACUUCAAGCACCUCAUCUUUGUUCUUCAUAGGAAACACCCAAACUCGUCUGGAAAAAUCAUCAAUAAAGGUGACAAAAUAACGUCUUCCUCCAAGUGAUGGAGUCUUGGACGGUCCCCAUACAUCAGAAUGCACAUAAUCCAGAAUACCUUUAGUAUUGUGAAUCCCAGUGCCAAAUUUCACCCUUCGUUGUUUUCCCAGAACACAAUGCUCGCAAAAUUCAAGUUUGCAAGUCUUUGUACUUUUCAAUAAUCCUUGCUUGGCUAGAGUUUGCAAGGAUUUUUCACCAGCAUGGCCCAAACGCAUAUGCCACAGCUGUGUUGCCUCAGCGUCCUUCUUGGUACUCGAAAUUGCUGCUGCUGUUGUCCCGACCACUGUACUACCUUGGUAGUAAUACAGAUUGUUCUUUCUUAUGCCAUUCAACAUCACCAAUGCUCCUGAAGUUGCUUUAAGAACUCCAUCUCGUAUUGUCACAACUAGGCCUUUAGAUUCUAACGACCCCAAAGAGAUGAGAUUCUUCUUCAACUUUGGGACAUAUCGUACAUCCCGCAAAAUUCUAGUAGAUCCAUCAUGACUCCUCAGUUUAAUUGAACCUAUCCCGGCUAUUUUACAUGUGUUAUCAUUACCCAUGUAAACAACCCCUUCAUCUAGUUUUUGAAAUUCAAAGAACCAUUCCCGAAUGGGACACAUAUGAUAGGAACAACCAGAAUCCAUGAUCCACUCAUCUGCAUAUAAUGUUGAAGAUGUCAUACUAAGAGAAAAGUUUGACUCUGCUUCACUAUUGCAUUUUGCAACAUUUGCAUCUUGCGGAGUCUUCCCUUUUUUCUUCAAUUUUGGACAAUCUUUCUUCCAAUGUCCUUUUUCUUUGCAAAAGGAACAUUCAUCUUUGGCAACAGCUCGACCUUUGGACUUUCUUCUCUUCCCAUUAGACUGACUUUGCUGACGACCUCUUGUUACCAAUGCUUCCACUGCUGCUUCACCUGAACCUUUCAACUUAUCCUUUCGGCGUAAUUCAUAGCUAUACAAUGCAGCAGUUACUUCAUUGAAAGUUACUUCCGAUUUUCCAUGAAGUAGAGUAGUUUCAAGGUACUCAAACUCCUCAGGAAGCGAUCCCAACAACAUUAACGCCAAGUCUUCGUCUUCAAAAGUCACAUCCAAAUUCAACAAAUCAGCCACCAGCUGAUUAAAAUUGGUAAUGUGCUCGUUCAUCGUGGUACCAGGAACAUAAUUGAAACGAAACAGUCUUUUCAUCAUAUGCAACUUAUUUUGACUGUUCUUCUUCAAGAAUUUCUCCUCCAAUGCUUUCCACAAUUUACUUGCAGAAGUCUCUUUACUGAAUGUAUACUUCUGCUCUCUGGAAAGACAUGAUCGAAUUGUACCACAUGCCAAUCGGUUGAUGGUCUUCCAUUCUUUAUCAUCAACCCCUUCUGGUUUUUCUUCCUCAAUGGCAAUAUCUAGACCCUGUUGAAAGAGGGCAUCUAGAAGCUCACUUUGCCACAUGCCAAAAUGACCUGUUCCAUCAAAAAUUUCCACUACAAAUCUCGUAUUUGCAGUUCCAAUCCUCGGCAAAAUGUACGAAGUGGAAGUUGUUGAUAUGGAUGGUUUUUCUUCUGUCAUUUUUGCCAUAGCUUCUACUUAAUAGCCACCAAAUGCAGAAUACCCACAAGCUUUAGGAAAUGUUUCUGAUGUGUAAGAUCAGACUAAGCUGCAAACACAGAGCAUACUACAAAACCUUGGCUCUGAUACCAAUUGUUGCGGAAGCGACAAUAAUAUUAAUAACAAUAUUAUCAGAAAUAUUUAGAUAAUUAUUAUGCCAACAAUUAUACUAAGAAAAUUCCCAGUUAAAUUGGAGGGGUCACAAAUGGUCCCGCUUAAAACCCAACAACUAGACAGAACUCACUUAGAUAUUUAUAGCAAUAAUAACUAAAUAAAUAUAACCAACAUAAAGCUAUUAAAUAUAAGCAAACAAAUAAGAAAUAAAAUACCAGAGAUUUAACGAGGUUCGGCCAAUUUAGCUUACGUCCUCGGACACUACCAAAUUAAUAUUUCUUCUAGAAUAUUACAAAGGAGAAGAUUUUGGGAUGAUACAACCAAAGGGGGAGGGGUUCUAUAUAUAAAUAUCUAAGUGAGUUUUGUCUAGUUGUUGGGUUUUAAGCGGGACCAUUUGUGACCCCUCUAAUUUAACUGGGAAUUUUCUUAGUAUAAUUGUUGGCAUAAUAAUUAUCUAAAUAUUUCUGAUAAUAUUGUUAUUAAUAUUAUCGUCGCUUCCGCAACAAUUGGUAUCAGAGCCAAGGUUUUGUAGUAUGCUCUGUGUUUGCAGCUUAGUCUGAUCUUACACAUCAGAAACAUUUCUUAAAGCUUGUGGGUAUUCUGCAUUUGGUGGCUAUUAAGUAGAAGCUAUGGCAAAAAUGACAGAAGAAAAACCAUCCAUAUCAACAACUUCCACUUCGUACAUUUUGCCGAGGAUUGGAACUGCAAAUACGAGAUUUGUAGUGGAAAUUUUUGAUAUGGAUGGUUUUUCUUCUGUCAUUUUUGCCAUAGCUUCUACUUAAUAGCCACCAAAUGCAGAAUACCCACAAGCUUUAGGAAAUGUUUCUGAUGUGUAAGAUCAGACUAAGCUGCAAACACAGAGCAUACUACAAAACCUUGGCUCUGAUACCAAUUGUUGCGGAAGCGACGAUAAUAUUAAUAACAAUAUUAUCAGAAAUAUUUAGAUAAUUAUUAUGCCAACAAUUAUACUAAGAAAAUUCCCAGUUAAAUUGGAGGGGUCACAAAUGGUCCCGCUUAAAACCCAACAACUAGACAGAACUCACUUAGAUAUUUAUAGCAAUAAUAACUAAAUAAAUAUAACCAACAUAAAGCUAUUAAAUAUAAGCAAACAAAUAAGAAAUAAAAUACCAGAGAUUUAACGAGGUUCGGCCAAUUUAGCUUACGUCCUCGGACACUACCAAAUCAAUAUUUCUACUAGAAAUAUUACAAAGGAGAAGAUUUUUUGGGAUGAUACAACCAAAGGGGGAGGGGUUCUAUAUAUAACAAACCAAACCCCCUCCCUUUCUAUCUUUUCCUAAUGUGGGAUAUUGCCAAUAUUCAACAGAUACAACGUACACACUUGAACAUCAUUUCCACUAACUAGAUCCUUCUUCGUCCAUUGCUGCGACUGCCAUCCUUUCACUUUCUUCUUCGCUUCUUCUCAUGUUGGAUUUCAACCAAAUUCACCAACCAUUUCGGCUUACCAAUUUGGAAAACAACAUAUCCCACGACCAUUCCAAACACUACUCCGCAUCCAUAACCUAUCAACACCAAUUUCCAACCAAAAGAGAUGUUUGAUUUUGAACCAUCAUGCAUCAUUUACUUUGCAAACAAUUUCACAAGUAACCAAUCAUCAUCUUUAUUCAGUCCUACGUAUCAGUUGUAGUAGUUCAACCACUUCUUAUCAUUAAAACAUGCCAUACAUACACUAAGGGUAUUAAAAACAUCAAUCAAACCUAGAAAUAGGCCCAGUUGCAAAAUUUCUAAAACUGUUACAUAGGUAUUGAUACUGUCCUAGGGCUAUCCAUAUUUUUUUUAAGUGGUAUUGAUAUCACAUGGAAAAUCAAUACUAAACUAGCAUUCUAUCUCUCACCAAAUAUCAAAACAUAAAAAAUUAUUGGUACCUUUCGCAAGGUAUCAAUAAACUUACCCGAAGUAUUGAUUCCUGGGCUGAAGUAUCGAUACCAAAUACAUAUUUUGUUUCCCUGUACCUUCGAAAAUGCAAAGAUACCCUUUUUAGAAAAUAAAAUAUCGAUACCUCCACUACAGGCUAUAAAAUCUUAGCAUACUCCAACAUUAAAACCAUUCAAACUUAAUCCCAAACAACAUGCUUCAUUCACAUAGUUAAAGAACAGUGUAAUCGAAUGUUAAAUAUGUUACUCUGCAAUGCCGUUGUAAAUAUGACUGUUAAAUUUGUUGAUAGCUAUACUGGUUUGGCACAAAAUUAAGAAUACACAGGCAGGUUGAACUAUUCCAUGUAUGAACCUUUGCAACAUAAAUGCAGAUGGCACAAAGACGCAAACCAUACCUUAUGUUCUUGAAUUCUCAUCAUCACAUGCUUAUAAAUGCAACUCAAGCUUACCUAAUUGAAUCUUUUGGUAAUUCAAAAUGUAUUUUUUUUUGUAGUGAGCAGUACAAGGACAUUAGAUCCACCAAUUUCUGUUUGAAUUCAUUACGUCAUUCAGCUCUGCUAUGUACUAUUAUUUCCAAAAAUCUUGAAAGGAGACAUCCUCCAAUUUAAAGACAAGAAAUGAGAAAGAAUGGCAGUGAAUAAAUAAGGAAAAACCAUGUAUAUUCAGAACCACAAUAAAACAAAUAUUUUAUAUGUAUUUUCUCAAUCGUAUUAGUGAAAUGCUAUAAAUUUUGUAACAAUUUUUUACUAAAUAUAAAAUAUUAAAAUUAAUACAUAUGGUGAUAUUGGAUAUACAGAGAAGACCCAAGCAUGAAGUUUGAGCGGGUCCUUGUACUCUGCAAUCUUGUGGUAAAUCCUUGAACUACAUUUAUGAAUACUAAAAUAUUAAUUACCUCACUAAUUGAUGAAUCCUGAAAGUGCUCUUACGUUUUCUUAUAAAAGAACAAAGAUUACCUUGAAUAUUUGAAUUCAUUACAUCAUUGAGCUCUGCCAUGUUUUAUUACUAUGACCAUAUAACUUCAUCCUUUAAGCUUGUACAGCUAAUUGUCGAUUCACUUCACAUGCUCUUUUAUCCUUUCAUGGUCGGUCCAACUUAAUCUACAAGCAAUGAGGAAAUUCGGGGACAAUUACAGCACAAUUCCGCACAAAAUAACAACAAUUUGUAGUAUUGAUUACGUUGACUUGAGAAAUAGAGAGGAAAAAAAAACAUGCUUGUCUGUACCGUCAAUGAAGCUACCAUAUGAAUGCAUUCCAUGAAGCAUAAGCAAACAUAUGUACGAGUACCCAAUUUAAGUUCAACUUUAAGAUAGAUUAAUUAGUUUAUAUGUAGCAAUUUUACAGCUGAAAAUUUUCUGAACAUUAGAAUUGUCCAACAUAUCUACAAUGCUAUUUGUACAUUUUUUUAUCAGUAACUACUGCUAAAAUAAUUUCCUGUAAGGCGAGAUUACGGUUAAUUUAAAUUAGCUUAAGUUCGAUUUCUCAACAUGAAAAAAACAUAACAAAAUCCCUCUUAUAACGUGCCCUUCGCACAUUGAAGUAUUGACUAUGCUUAGUGGAAUAAUGUAGAGAUACAACCCCCAAUUGCAUCUUCAUUAAAGCCUACUUAUAGGAAAAUAGGGACAUGGGAUCCACCAAUUGUACCUUAGCUGCUGCCCUUAUUUCACGUCAAUGCAAGACUAUUGUUGUCAGACAAACUUAAUCAACAAACCGUGAGAAAAUUUCCGGUCGACAUUUACACCACAAUAUACAAUAAUAAAAAUUUUGCUCAUAAUGUUUACGCAAUUUGAUCAUAAUUCCAAAAAUUUAUAUAUUCUUUUAAUUUGAUGUAAUUCUAAAAAUUAUAAUAAAAAUGAAGUUCGAGCUAAGAAAAGCUCUUCUAAUAAGGUUCAAGUGACAAGGGGGAGUGCCCACUACUUUGGACACUACCCAUCACGGGAGGGUGAAAAUAAGAUUCACAGUUACUAGAGAGAUUGAAUCCCUUGCAGGAUCCAAGAAAUAUAAAGGCAAGGUUCUUGUUGUAGUAAAAUCUAGCAAGAAAAGAAAGAUUUUGUUGGACGAUUCCUCGCUUCUGAGACAAGUUCGAAUUCAUCAUCCAAGAGCGCACCUCUUUGUGUCAUGCUACAGCCUUAAACAAAGCAUCCUAAUGUUCUUGUUCUGCUGCAAAAAAGAACAAAAGGAUGAAACAAGUUGGGGUGCCAAAAUUUUUUUCUGAUGCAACUACAUCAACAAGAAAGCAGGAAGAAAGAAUCCUGGACUAGAAAAAGAAACUUUUCCUGGAUCCGGACUGCUCCAAUUCCAUAUCUUGUCCUUUCAUAACAAUUCCAAUGGAAUAGAUAUAGAAGGCACUACCUCUAUGGCCAUACACCCCCAUGUACGACACUGUACUACCGAUCUUCUCUAGAUUUAUGAUAGCCUUGAAGCUGUUGAUGUAUCUCACUGGUAGGGGUCCAGAAAAAUAAUUACUUGAGAGGUCAAAAUUUUGGAUUUUAGAGAAAAAAAGGGAUAGACUUGGAGCUAUGGUCAUGCAAGGAACCAUGCAUUUGAUUUAACUUUAGUACAAGAACUUAUAGCUGUGGAAGUGAUACAUGAUGGGAUGAAAUUUAUUAAAUUUCAAUCACCAACGCUGUCAAUUUUCAAGCUUGAGAAAUCAGCAGACUUGCGACGACUUGUUGUGUGGUAUCCUGGAAUUUUUGGGUUGAGAUUUCAAUGAAGUUGGAAGAUCUGUCUCUUAGCUUCGAAACGUAUUUUGAAUCACUCAAUUUUGAGUUCGGGAGCUCAAGUUAUGACCAUUUUAGUGAAGGCUGCGCAAGCAGAAUUUUUGAACGGGAUUAUGACGGGAAUUACAAAUUUCGGGCUUUUAAUUCGAGUUUAAAUCAUAUUUGGUUCGGUUGUAGGUUUAAUUUUUAUUAUAUAUGAGACCAAUAUUGUAUUAAUCAGCUCUUAUUAUUCUAUUAUUAGUUUGUUCUAAAUUUUUUUAUAAUUAUUAAGUAUUUUAAGUUAUUUAGGAGUUUUAUGUUAACAAGAAAGUUUAAUUUAAAACUAUUUUUUGUUUAGAUUAAAUUAGAGUUCUAGUAUACUUAAAAAUUUUAUUUAGAUUUAUUUAGCUAGACUAUAUAUAGGCCUUUUCAUUGUACACAAUUCAUUAUUAUUCUAUUUCUCUUAGAGUUAAUAAAUUCUCUCUAGAUUUUUCUUUUCAAGAAUUUCUCUUAAGUUUCUUUUAGAAGAGUUUUAACAAUCUUUUUAGAUUGUGGAGAUCAUCUUCAAACUUUUUUUUACCAAGAUUUCUAUCCUGGAGGGGAAAUUAGAGUUGUUUGAAAUGGGUUAUAGAUUCUUUGUGUUUGCAAGGCUUCUUAAGACUACAUGUCACGUUCUAUCUUUUUAUUUAUCUUGGAAGAGAAAUUAGAACUGCUUGAAGGGGGUUUUGGAUUCUUCGUGUUUCUAAAGCUUCUUAGGACUUCUAUACGUCACAUUCUAUCUUUCUAUUUAUUUUCUUUAUUCAUUUCCUUAUUGUUCUAAUAUUUGAUUUAUUUUUUUAUUCUAGUUAUUUAUUUUAAUUGUUUUAUCUGAUUUCGAUUUGAUUUCGUUUUAGGUUGUGUCAAAAUCUAAAUUUCUUUCCAAACGUGUAGAGCCCUAAGUCAAAUCCACGACUUUGACAAACUUUACGAUCCUCUUCUGUGUUCAUCCGUCUCAUUUUUUAUCAGGAAGACUUCCCAGCCAAUGAGGAAAUGUACCAUUGAUCUUGUUGUUACCAAGAUCUAGCUUAGCACUUUCAGUCCUUUACAAUUAAGGAUGGUGUCAAAGGCCCUUCUAACAGAUUUCCAUUUAAGUUGAAAUUACUCAAUUGGAAUCCCUUUGCAAAUGUUAGAGGAAUCGUCCCAUAAAACUUGUUCUUCUUCAGAUUCAUGAAUUCAAGGAUGUUGCUCAAAUCUCCAAAACAUUGCGAAAUUGUUCCACUCAAAUUAUUGUGGGACAAAUCAAGAAUUCGAAGAGAACUGGCAUUGCAUAUUAAAGAAGAGACCUCUCCAUUGAAACUAUUAUUUCAGAUCAGAAAGACUCCGAUCGUCGAAGCUGGAAUCAAAAGAUUUCCACUGAUCAAAUUGGAGCUUAAGUCAAGAAAUGCAAUAUUCUUCCAUUGAGUAGAUUGUCAAUUAAGAUUAAAGAUAUUAGAUUAGGAAAAGCAGCUACUUCAUCUGGAAUUGAACUUUCUAAUGAAUUUCUAGCUAUUUCCAAGUAUUCAAGUUGCGUUAGGUUUAAAAUUGACAAUGAAAUUUGUCCACUCAAUUCGUUCGAUGACAAGUCUAAAAAAUUCAAGGACACAAGAUUCCCCAUCGAGUCAGGCAAUAUCCUCCGCAAAUAUUUGCUUCUGAAAUAAUCAAGAACUCUAACGAUGAUAAAUUUGUGAUUGAGACAGAGAAUCUUUGAAAGAGAAUUACCUGAUAGAUCUAAGUACUUUAAGGCCUGUAGAUUAUCAACUGAAUUAAUGAAUUCGGUGGAGAAGGACAUCCACGACAGACCCAAAUGUUCAAGAUUGCUGCUCCGAUUGAACUUCAAAAGAUCAAGAUUCAGGUUUUGGUUGCCUCCCAAGUUGAGGAAAUUUAGGUUUGGCAAAUCAAAAAUGUUUUUUUGGGAAUUUUCCUUGCAAAUCACAACCAGAAAGACUGAGAGACCUUAGAGAAGAGGAUAGAUUCGUGAAGACAUGAGGAUUAAUAGAAGACAUGUUGAUUUCAUCCAAAAACAGAUGUCUGACCUCGGUCAGGUUGUGAACAAGUCCCUCGACAGCAUGUUUGUCAAUUGUUUGUCCAUCAGCCUAAUAGGAGAGAUUAAGUGAAACCAAUUUUGAUAGGUGGGAGACUUGGGAUGGGAUUUGUCCUACAAAACUUGUAUGAGAAAGGUUGAGAUAUACUAGGCUUGUAAAAAAAUUUAAAAUUUAAUCGGUUAGCAUUAAAUAUGUCAUUUUCUAUUAACUGCAAGAAAACUAUCCGGUAAACUGCAUCUUCCUCUUUAGAUGAAAUUUUGUAAAAAAAAAAAAAAUUGACAUUAUCACUUAUAUGGUCCUUCAAUUUUUUUUUUAAAAAGUCAUUUUAACUCUCUAUUUAAUUUUUCGCGUCUUUGAGCUUUUAAAUUUGCGUUAUUUAUCAAAUCAUCCCAAAAUGGAUGAAAAAGUUAACAUUUGUUAAUUCUAUUGACGAGACAUACAUAUCGAUAUCAAAUAAACAAUUAAUUGAUUUUUAAAUUUUAAAAAUUUUAAAAAUAAAACAUAUAUUAAAGUUUUCUAAGAAAUGAGGAAAUUGGAACCAUGUACAGAAGAAUGUCCAAUAAUAUAAACACAACAUUUUAGUUAUUUUCUACUGUCCAAUAAUGCCAUGUGUAUUAGUACAAACAUUCAUUAAACCUAAUUUAAUUUUAGCCAUUAAUUUAAUUUUUCAUCUUUAUUAGCCCUUAAACCUACAUUAUUUAUCAAAUAACCCUUAAACUUAUAUUGUUUAUCAGAUGAAAAAAUUAAUAUCUAUUAACUUUGCUAACGUGCAUACAUAUGCAACUUCUUAUUUAAAUCUAAAAAAUCUAAAAAUAAUUAAAUAUGUAUAAAUCUAAAAAUAUCUUAAAAUUAAAACUAAUUUUUUUUAAACUAAUGCAAAUUUUUAGUAUUUAAAAAAUCUUAAAAUUUUCAAAUUAAAUUCCAUUAGUUUUCCACCGUUGAAGAACACCUUCAAUCACAUCAACAAUUUCAUGCUGUUUUGCCUAGAAAUUGUUUUGCAAAUUUAUUUUGUUUUAUUUAUUUCUAAACCCAUAUUUCUUUGCUAUAACUCCAAUUAUUAGAUUGUUUAGGGUUUUGAGUAACUUUCGGUUUUAAAAUUUUAGAUUUUUUAAAUUUAAAUACGAAGUGCUCUUCUUCUUCUCCAAACCCACAAUUUUUUUCUGCCAAAUUUCAACUCAAGGUUUUACUUUCAACUAUAAAUAAAACAUAUAUUAUAUUUAUAAUAAUCUAAGAAGUGAAAUAAUUAGAAUUGACUUGGUCUUGCUUCCUUUAUAUGUAUGAAUGUGGAAAUUGGCAUAAUGCCAACUUAUUUUCCACGCAGAAGAAGAAAAUGGUGCUCUAUUCACUCCCUUUCCUAGCAAACAAGGCCACAUAUGACUUAGAUAGAUAUAUAUAUAUAUAUAUAUGGUCCCUAAGUGUGUAUAUAUUAAUAUAUUUUCAAGUAAACAAACUUAUGCCUUAAAAGUUGAAUAAUAGCAUCUAAGAAACAAAUUUUCCACCAGACUGGAAAUUUUGUAUUGCUUGGAAUGAAUUGACUCUCAUUUUCUAUUACUUGCUAGAAAUAGGGGAAAUUUCACAUCAAUGCAUUCACUUCACUAGGUCUUGCUUCCUAUCACUGUCAACCAAACUUGAUCGACUAGCAGUAAGGAAAUUUCAGUCAUUUGCAGCAUAAGAAUUCCACACCCUCAAAAUAAUUUGCAAUUUCAAAAAUAGAUUAAUAAGUGUGGUUCAAAUACCAAGACUAUAAUAUCUAUUCACUUCACUUGGUCUUUAUUACUCACACAGAAUGUAUCAUCAUCAUCAUUAUAUUACUCUUUUAUUGUUAUUUUUAUUUUUUUCUUGUUACUUUUAUUUGUUAUUAUUAUUAUUUUUUUAUACUUUCAUGUUUUCUUUUUCAUAUAUUCCACCUUUUAUUUGUUUAUUUCAUUCUUUUACCUAAUUAAUAUUAGAUUUUAUUAGUUGGUGCCAUUACUUAUUUGUUGUUUUUGAUAUAUCAUCGCUUCGUUAAUAUGCACCAUCAUUUUAUUAUUGUUGCAAUUACGUCACGAGCCGUUUUAAAUGUAUUCAUGCUUUUCUAUUAUGCCCCGAAUAAAUUAAAUAUCUACCAUUUUAAAUAUUACAUUAACUUUUAUGCGAUACAUAAAAAAAGAAUUUUUUUUUACCAAGGCAAAUGUUUGUUAUUUCAAAUUUAGAAAAAUCAUGUUCUAACUUACGGAAUAUGGUUGCCUUCUAAAAUUGAGAUAAUUGAAUAUAUUUUAAAAUAAACAAAAAUUUGUUUUUUUUUUUUUUACAUUUGUUCUCAUUUUCGGGAUUUAAGGCAUGGUGUCCUAACUUACGGAACGUGAUCCUUUUUCCCGAUUAAUUUAAAAUAAAUCUAUUUUUGUGAAAACAAAAUUUAAGUAAUAUUGAAACGAAGGACCGUAUUUUAAAAUCUCUUCAAAUUCUCAAUUUUUGACACUAAGACAUUAAUUAAUUAAUCAAUUAGGUACUAAUUUUGGGCGUUACGAGGGUGCUAAUAUUUCCUCGUACGUAACCGACUCUCGAACUUAUUUCCUGGAUUUUUGUAGACCAAAAAUUGUUGUUUUAGUAAAUCAAAUCUUUUAUUAAAACGAUUAAAUUACAAGGUGAUCCGAUCACACUAAUAAAAAGGAUUGGUGACGACUCCCAUUUUCGUUUUCAAAAUAAAAGUCGACCCUUUUCAAAAAUAGUUUCGACAAUGUGUAACAAGUAUUUUUAUUAAUCCAUUUGGAACAAGAUUUUGUUUCCUAAUGUUAAGAUUUGCUGGAGCAAAUAAAUUGAUUAAUGCUUUGAACUUUCCCAAACACUUUUUAUCAUUUUGUAUAAUUAGUAUAUUUGAAUAUAUUAGAUACAUCGUCUAAAACAAUGUCAAUAGUAAUUUUUUUAUAUUUUGUGGACCACAAGGGUACCAUAUAAAUAAUUUUAAAAAAAAGAUGGAGUGAUACAUUUACGUAGUGCUUAUGAAUAUAAUGUUGGAUUAAAAUCCUUAAUUAUGAGUACAUAUGUAUAAUGUUUGAUAUUACAAUUAUCUUAAUAAUUUUGUUUCUGUUUUUGUUGAUUGAUGAUUAUAAAAAUCAUUAUUUUUCUGAAGGCAUGCUUUGUUGUCAAUGACAGUACCUGCACCCUAAAAUAAUCACCAGCUUUAACAACUGCAAGAGUUGUCCUGCCUGACAUUUACUAAAAAAUCACCAGGGAGCACAUUGUCAGGAGAUCCUUGCUGGAAAAAACUUGGUAGGAUGGUUUUUUUGUGCAAACUUAGGAUUUCAAUUCUCAUCAAGGAACUUGCAAGCCAAUUAUUGUAGAAAUGUUUGUCCAAAUGAUAAACAUUUGGAAUCCUAACCACAGGGACUUUUGCAAGCCUAUUAAUUAGCUCCAGGAACUUUAGAUUCUACCUGUUCAAAACAUUUUUUCAAAGAAGGAAGCAUAGGUGAAAGGCGUCUAUUCUGGUUCAUCUCAUUGAAUACAUCAAAUGGAGGAUCAAUACGCUGAAAAAGGGACAAUGGAAAGAACUUUAGCCUACAACUUGAAUUUUAUAACUACUCCUAUGCCAACCAGCAAACCAUAACAGCAUACAUAAAAAAGAGGAUGCUGACUUACAGUUCCUUUCAUUUCACCAAAACCAAUCAAAUCCCUUGCAAUGUUGUUUGGAUCACAACAGCUCAUCUUUCAAUCCUAGAUGGCUCCGCCAAUUUUUUGAAAGCAUACAUGAACUGUUCAAGAAAUAAAUGGAUAAAACAACUACAGGAUAGAAGGCUAAAAAAUUACAAAGAGCAAUGACCUUAUUGUUAAAAUUCCAACGUCCAUUCCUUGGAAAGAUAUCUUCACCAUUGCCCACUCAAGAGAACUCAAAUAGCAGCAAGAUCUCGUAUAAAAUGUAACUCUCAACAACACACACAAAUGUUUGUUCUAUCAAGGAACAAUACACAGACAUAUUCACCUACCCUUGGUGCUGGCAGAAUAUGCCCAUUCACUUUGGUGAAAUUAGAGUUGAUAAUAACCCCACAAGAUUUCUGCACCAUAAUUACUGCGAAGUAAACCUGCACAUAAAUUUUCAUUCUUCACUAGAUACAUAUUGGAAAUUGGCCAACCAUGCUGCUGUUACAUUUUGUGGUUGAAGUGCAUGCAGCUUGAUGACAUGCUGGAGCACAUAUGGUUGCUGUAACAGCAAGGUUUCUCUUUAGUUUCUUUGUUGAUUAAACUAGUUGAAAAUGAACAAGUUGAUGACAACUUGAUGCAUUAGGUGUUGAAUGACUAGUUUAGGUGGCUUGUUUAUGUGUACAAGCAAUGUUUUAAUAGUCCCAAUGCUGAUUAGUGGGGUUAGUUGACUAUUUGAUGAUGUAUUUGACUAUAAAUGUAUGUUUUUUCUAGUUGAAUGAAUGAGCUGAAUAGGCUAUCAGCCAUAAGCUCCCUUGCUGCACAUUUGUGAGCAAGUAAAAAUACUUCUUGCACCUUGCUUCAUUGUUAUGCUCUCUGUUCUCUUCUUUUGCUGCUGCCAAAUGUUCCAACAAUACAGAAUCUAUUUUUGUAAGUAAAAAUUAGUUGUAUUCAUUGUUCACAUAAUUGAUCUUUUGUUGUGGAAGUAUUGUAUUUCCGGUAAUCCAUUAAGUAUUCAGUGUUUGAUAUAAUAGAUUUGCAUUUUAUUAUUGUAUUUUGUGAAAGGAUCCUUUAUCUAUUUUUUGUAACCUAUUUUGUUUUUUGCAUUUCUGAUUAGUUUACAUGAUGGCAUACUCAAUGAUCUCUUAAGUUAGUUAUGUUAGGCUCUUUAACCAUUGUUGUAGCUCACCGUACGUACUCCAUGCCCCCUUAUCCAUAUCUAGCUACUGACUAGUACACAACUAUCAUUGUUCUCACAUCACAUGUGGAUUGGUGGAUUUCUGAUAAUGGGUGUUGUUGCGCAUGCAGCCAUUUUUAUGGUAAGAGACAAUGAUUCAACUACUCUAUACAAUGAUUUAUUAGAUCGUGAUGUAAUCAUAUCACAUCUCAAUUGGGCAUUUAUAUUUCUUGACUUUGUAUAUUCAUAAUGAUACCAUGAUAGCCUUUUCCCCUCUUUUUUUUUGUUUUUUUUUUUUAUCUCUAGUCUCAAUUUUGGGCGUGACACAAUGAAAUUAGAAACUAAAUCUAUUUUUGUAAGUAAAAAUUAGUUUUAUUCAUUCUUCACAUAAUUGAUCCGGUAAUCCAUUCAGUGUUUGGUACAAUAGAUUUGCAUUAUAUAUAGGUUUGCCAAUGAGAUGGCAAGCAGACUGCUAGCUAGAAAUUCUUGCAUCUUUGAAUCACCAAUUCAAUUAAUAAGCUUAACUAAAGGAAAUAAGGACUUUACAUCCACCAAUUUUAGCAACCUAUAUGUACCCUUUUACAGUCUGCAUUGUUCCAUGUUUCAAUUCAUUCCAUCAUUCCUUCAACUCUGCUAUAUAUUAUUACCAUCUCCAGACAACCAAUCCUUUUACUGCUAACUUGUAAAGAAAUUAAGAAAAUACAGCAGAGAUCAUUGACACAUUUUGUUCUCCUUUCUCCUUUACUGAGCAGUAGCAAAGAUUGUCGAGACUAAAUUGAAAGUCAUGAAAGAAGACAUAAACAACACCACCAUACAAAAUGUUACACUCAAACAAACCGUUACAGAUAGUACGAAAUGCAAUGAAAGAGGAAUUGGUACAAUAAUAAAGACAGACACAUACCAAUGCAACCCUUCACCAUAGGCAAAACGGUCUACAGAACAAUAAAUUAUGAAAAUACAACACUAAUUCUUCAACAUCCUUUGCAGUAAUUAGAUCCUUUUUCGUCUAUAGCUUCAAUUGCCUUUCUUUGACUUUCUUCUUCGCCUCCUCUCUUGUUGGUUUUCAACCAAACUCACCAACCAUUUCGGCUUACCAGUUUGGAAAACAACAUAUCCCACGGACAUUCCGAACACCACUCCGCAUCCAUAACCUAUCAACACCACUUUCCAACCAAAAGCAAUGUUUGAUGUUGAGCCAUCUUUUUCAAGCACAUUUGGAGGUGCUGGCUCAAUGAUGUUGCAACCUUUCGAGACCGGAAACCCACAUAGUCCCUUAUUCCCUUCAUAUGAAUCAAUUCCAAAUGUGUUGAAUUGUUUUCCUUGAGGAAUCUGACCAUGGAGUUGAUUUUCAGAAACAUUGAAGGACGAAAGAAAUGGCAGAUCUGCCAAUCUAUUUGGAAUCGUCCCAGACAACCUGUUUGAAGAUAGGUCCAACCAUUCAAGACUUGUCAAAUUCCCUAUUGAGGUGGGGAUACCACCAUUAAGGUUAUUAUGGGAAAGGUUGAGCCCCUUUAGUAAGUUAAGCUUCCCAAUAACUUUUGGAAUCUCUCCUUCAAACUGAUUGUUUGAUAGAUCUAUGAUCAUCCACAUGGUGAAAAUUUUCACCAAUUCCCUAUCUUGUCCUUUCAUAACAAUUUCAAUGGAAUAGGUAUAAAAGUCACUACCUGUCGAAUCAUACACCCCCAUGUACGACAAUUUACUCCCAAUCUUCUCUAGAUUUAUGAUACCCUUGAAGCUGUUGAUGUAUCUCUCUGGUAGGGGUCCAGAAAAAUAAUUACUUGAGAGAUCAAAGAUUUGGAUUUUAGAGAAAAAAGGGCUAGACUUGGAGCUAUUGACACAUAAGGAACCAUGCAAAUGAUUUGACUUCAAUACAAGAACUUGCAAAUAUGGAAGACUUCCCAACCAAUGAGGAAAUGUAUCAUUGAUCUUGUUGUUACCAAGAUCUAGCACUUCCAGACCAUUACAAUUAAGGAUGGAUGGUGUCAAAGGCCCUUCUAACAGAUUUCCAUUUAAGUUGAAAUUACUCAAUUGGCAUCCCUCUGCAAAUGUUGGAGGAAUCGUCCCAUAGAACUUGUUCUUCUUCAGAUUCAAGAAUUUAAGGCUGUUGCUCAGAUUUCCAAAACAUUGCGGAAUUGUUCCACUCAAGUAAUUGUGGGACAAAUCAAGAAUUUGAAGAGCACUGGCAUUGCAUAUUAAAGAAGAGACCUCUCCAUUGAAACUAUUAUUUGAGAUCAGAAAGACAUUGAUCGUCGAUGCUGGAAUCGGAAGAUUUCCACUGAUCAAAUUGGAGCUUAAGUCAAGAAAUUCAAUAUUCUUCCAUGGAAAGUGCUCAACUUCUGUCAAAGAGUUGUGAGAUACGUUUAAGUAAGUCAAAGAGUCAUUCCCCACCUCUUGCAUCCACUGUGGAAUCUUGCCUUCAAUUUUGUUGCAAGAGAGGUCUAAGCUUUCCAAACUUUUAAGCCCUUUCAAAAAUUGGGGGAAUUCACUAAAAUUGCAAGAUGACAAAUGUAAGUCUGUAAGAUUAGGCAAUAUAUGAUUAACACUAGAAGUAGAAUUAGAUGUUAAGGAUAUGCGGAUAUAUGAAAGGUCAAGAUAUUCGAGAUUUGGAAGGCUUGAGAACAUGCGAAACUCUAUAACACCACUAAGAUUAUUUGAGGAUAAAACGAGGUGGGUAAGAUUGAGAACUUGGAAUAUUGAAGAUGGAAAAGGACCUUGGAGUUUAUUAUUGUUUAGAUAUAAAUGUUCUAGUGAUUUGGAUUGGAAUUCUUUGAUAUGCCCACUGAAUUGAUUUUGAGAGAGAAUUAUAACCUUUAAGGAGGGAGCAGUAUACAACCAUGACGGAAGUGUUCCAUUGAGUAAAUUGUCAGAUAAGCCUAAAUAUAUUAGAUUAGGAAAAGUGGUUACCUCAUCUGGAAUGGAUCCUUCUAAAGAAUUUUCAGAUAUUCCCAAGUAUUCCAGCUGGGUUAGGUUUAGAAUUGACAAUGGAAUUUGUCCACUCAAUUGGUUCCACGCCAACUCUAAAUAAGUGAGUUGCAAGAGGUUUCCCAGUGAUCUUGGAACCGUUCCUGAUAAGUUGGAAUUGGAGAGAUCUAAAAACUUCAAGGACACAAGAUUCCCCAUCGAAUCGGGCAAUCCUCCAAAAAUAUUUGCGCCUCUAAUAAUCAAGUACUCCAAAGAUGAUAAAUUUGUGAUUGAGACAGACAAUCCUUGAAAGAAAGAAUUUCCUGAUAGAUCUAAGUACUUUAAGGCCUGUAGAUUAUCAACUGAAUCAAUUAAUUCUGUAGAGAAGGACAUGGACGACAGAUCCAAAUGUUCAAGAUUGCUGCUCCGAUUGAACUUCAAGGGAUUAAGAUUGAGGUUUUGAUUGCCUCCCAAGUUGAGGAGAUUGAGGUUUGGGAAAUAAAAAAUGUUAUUUGGGAAUUUUCCUGGCAAAUCACAACCAGCAAGACUGAGAGACCUUAGAGAAGAGGAUAGAUUCAUGAAGACAUGAGCAUUAACAGAAGACAUGUCCAUUCCAUCCAAAAACAGAUGUCUGACCUCGGUUAGGUUGUGAACAAGUCCCUCCAGAGCAUGUUUGUCAAUUGUAAAUUGCUCAUACUUAUCAGUCCAAGAGGAGAGAUCGAGUGAAACCAAUUUUGGCAGGUGGGAGACUUGGGAUGGGACUUCUCCUACAAACCCUGUACGAGAAAGGUUGAGGUAGAAUAGGCUUGUAAACCGACCGAACUCGGAUGGCAUUUUGGAAAGAUUAAAAUGAUUGUAGGCAAGGUUGAGUUUUUGAAGGUGAGGAAGAAGGAAGAGAGUGGUAUUGGAAGGGAAGUUGCCAUAUAGCCAACUGCAACUCAAGUCAAGGGCAAUAACAUGAGCAUUUAGGUGGUCGCAAGUGACCCCAUCCCAUGAGCAGCAAUCUGUACCCUCCUUCCAUGAAUUUGUCUUGGGAUAAGAUUUAAGGCCAGUAAUAUAAUCGCAAGACAAAGAAGCAACCUUUUUUAUGGAAAAAGAGUCCUUAAACUGGAUUAGUGAAGAGCAGGAGUGAGAUUCUGAAGAAGAAAAAGAAGCAUAAAGAUGGGGAAAGAAGAGGAAUAGGCAGAGAAAGAGAUAGGGGGCCAUGUUAUGUUUGUAGAGGAAGAAGGAUAGGAAUGGUAUUUAUAGGCAACAAAUAAUACCACAACAUUGGUGUCUUUUACAUUGAAAAGCUAUGGAUAUUAGAUUUUCAAAGUUUUUGUAUUUUUCACAAUCAUCAGCAACCACUUGGUCUUGUUUUUACCAUACAUUUUUCGAUUUUUUUAUAGCAAAAUGUUGUAUAUCAUUUGAACUCCCUAAACAACUAAAAAAAUUAAGAUUGAGGAAGAAGACUGCUGGAAAUUUAAUCCAUCGAUUCUAUAAAAACGUGUAUACCUAUACAUAUAAUAAUCUCAUAAUUCAAAUCUAAAAUCUCAUUUGUUAUAAAUUAUGAUAAACUUAUUUGGGAAUAGCUAUUUUUCAUUAAUUAAAUUAUUUCUCUUUUAAUCAAGUAAAAAAUUAAAACUAAAAAGACAUUUAAAUAAUUUAAAUAUCAUUUAAAUUUACAAUCUGUGAUUUUAUAAUAGAAUAUGCAUUAAGGAUUUGCACACACACAGACAUGUUGUGAAGAUUGAGUGAAAUACUAGCUGUCCAAUUAAAUAUAAAAAAUGUCUUUGUUUUUCUGUUGGUAAUGAACAGGAGCCAAAUGUUGAAGUGGCUGGAACUUGUCUUGUAUUGCUUGCCUGCAGAUUUUGGUAUGUUUGAAAUGUAUGGAGAUGUGCCAAGUGGAACUAUUUUGGGGCUUAUCACUACCUCUGUGUCACACAACAGAACACAAAAUAAAAUAAUCAAAUCAGAUCUUUGAAUAUUGAAAUACCAAAAGUUAAAAGAGUACAUGCACUACAACCAAAAGUUUCGAUAUAUGAGGGUAGUGGGACAUGUAUGCUUGUGACCAAUUGGCUAGAAUUACAGGUCUGAAAUGUGGAGAACGUGUGGAUGUAAUUUUGCCCAUUUAUUACAAAUUGAUAAAACUGCAAUAUAAGUGCUUACUAUUUUAACUUUGUUACAAAUUAGUCCUUUUUUCUAAAAUUUAGGGAUUUAUAUAACUCAUUUUCAGAAAUUGACUCAAUUCUUUAAUAGUCAUUGUCGAAAACAUUAUAGAAUACCAAGCUUACGAAUUUGAAAGCAUUAUUGAAAACAAUUAUUAUUUUCAUAAAAUCAUUCAUCAAAUUUUUGUUUUCAAAUUUCAUACAUGAAAUUAACAAAUAAAGAUAGCUCUAAAUAGCAAAACCCAAUAUGUUUUAUCCAAAUUGAUAAAGAUGUUGAUGCAACAUUUUAGAUUGCGAAUUCCUUCAUCACAUUUGGAAUCCUAACCACAGGGACUUGCAAGCCUAUUACGAGUGCUAUGAUAAUCAAAUAAAAUUCAAUUCAAUUUUAAGUUCCAUAUAUAUAACACUUACAUGGCUACAAAAUGUGUGUGUGUGUGUAAGUGUCCUCAACCACAAACAAUCCAAAUUUGCACAGAAACCACCCAUUACAUAUAGGUUUGCCAAUGAGAUGGCAAGCAGACUGCUAGCUAGAAAUUCAUGCAUCUUUGAAUCACCAAUUCAAUUAAUAAGCUUAACUAAAGGAAAUAAGGACUUUACAUCCACCAAUUAAAGCAACCUAUAUGUACCCUUUUACAGUCUGCAUUGUUCCAUGUUUCAAUUCAUUACAUCAUUCCUUCAACUCUGCUAUAUAUUAUUACUUUCUCCAUAUAACCAAACCUUUUACUGCUAACUUGUAAAAAAAAUUAUGAAAAUACAACACAGAUCAUUGACACAUUUUGUUCUCCUUUCUCCUUUACUGAGCAGUAGCAAAGAUUAUCGAGACUAGAUUGAAAGUCAUGAAAGAAGACAUAAACAACAACACCAUACAAAAUGUUACACUCAAACAAACUAUUACAGAUAGUACGAAAUGCAAUGAAAGACAGAGGAAUUGGUACAAUAAUAAAGACAGACACGUAACAAUGCGACCCUUCACCAUAGGCAAAACGGUCUACAGAACAAGAAAUUAUGAAAAUACAACACUAAAUCUUGAACAUCGUUUGCAGUAAUUAGAUCCUUCUUCGUCUAUUGCUUCGAUUGCCUUUCUUUGCUUUUCUUCUUCGCCUCUUCUCUUGUUGGUUUUCAACCAAAUUCACCAACCAUUUCGGCUUACCAGUUUGGAAAACAACAUAUCCCACGGACAUUCCGAACACCACUCCGCAUCCAUAACCUAUCAACACCACUUUCCAACCAAAAGCAAUGUUUGAUUUUGAGCCAUCUUUUUCAAGCACAUUUGGAGGUGCUGGCUCAAUGAUGUUGCAACCUUUCGAGACCGGAAACCCACAUAGUCCCUUAUUCCCUUCAUAUGAAUCAUUUCCAAAUGUGUUGAAUUGUUUUCCUUGAGGAAUCUGACCAUGGAGUUGAUUUUCAGAAACAUUUAAGGACGAAAGAAAUGGCAGAUCUGCCAAUCUAUUUGGAAUCGUCCCAGACAACCUGUUUGAAGACAGGUCCAACCAUUCAAGAGUUGUCAAAUUCCCUAUUGAGGUGGGGAUACCACCAUUAAGGUUAUUAUGAGAAAGGUUGAGCCCUUUCAGUAAGUUAAGCUUCCCAAUAACCUUUGGAAUACCCCCUUCAAACUGAUUGUUUGAUAGAUCAAUGAUCAUCCACAUGGUAAAAAUUUUCACCAAUUCCAUAUAUUGUCCUUUCAUAACAAUUCCAAUGGAAUAGGUAUAGAAGCCACUACCUGUCGGAUCAUACACCCCCAUGUACGACAUUUUACUCCCAGCCUUCUCUAGAUUUAUGAUAGCCUUGAAGCUGUUGAUGUAUCUCACUGGUAGGGGUCCAGAAAAAUAAUUACUUGAGAGAUCAAAAAUUUGGAUUUUAGAGAAAAAAGGGCUAGACUUGGAGCUAUUGACACAUAAGGAACCAUGCAUAUGAUUUGACUUCAAUACAAGAACUUGUAGCUGUGGAAGACUUCCCAACCAAUGAGGAAAUGUAUCAUUGAUCUUGUUGUUACCAAGAUCUAGCACUUCCAGACCUCUACAAUUAAGGAUGGAUGGUGUCAACGGCCAUUCUAACAAAUUUUCAUUUAAGUUGAAAUUACUCAAUUGGCAUCCCUUUGCAAAUGUUGGAGGGAUCGUCCCAUAAAACUUGUUCUUCUUCAGAUUCAAGAAUUCAAGGCUGUUGCUCAAAUUUCCAAAACAUUGCGGAAUUGUUCCACUCAAGUAGUUGUAGGACAAAUCAAGAAUUCGAAGAUAAGUCGCAUUGCAUAUUAAAGAAGGGACCACUCCAUUGAAACUAUUAUUUGAGAUCAGAAAGACAUUGAUCGUCGAUGCUGGAAUGAGAAGAUCUCCACGGAUCAAAUUGGAGCUUAAGUCAAGAACUUCAAUAUUCUUCCAUGGAAAGUGCUCAACUUCUGUCAAAGAGUUGUGAGAUACGUUUAAGUAAGUCAAAGAGUCAUUCCCCACCUCUUGCAUCCACUGUGGAAUCUUGCCUUCAAUUUUGUUGCAAGAGAGGUCUAACCUUUCCAAACUUUUAAGCCCUUUUAAAAACUGGGGGAAUUCACUAAGAUUGCAAGAUGACAAAUAUAAGUAUCUAAGAUUAACAGUAGAAGUAGUAUUAGAUGCUAAGGAUAGGCUGUUAUAUGAAAGGUCGAGAUAUUCGAGAUUUGGAAGGGUUGAGAACAUACGAAACUCUAUCACACCACUAAGAUUAUUUGAGGAUAAGCUGAGUUGGGUAAGACUGAGAAGUUGGAAUAUUGAAGAUGGAAGAGAACCUUGGAGUUUAUUAUUGUUUAGAUAUAAAUAUUCUAGUGAUUUGGAUUGGAAUUCUUUGAUAUGCCCACUGAAUUGAUUUUGAAAGAGAAUUAUAUACUUUAAGGAGGGAGCAGUAUACAACCAUGACGGAAGUGUUCCAUUGAGUAAAUUGUCAGAUAAGCCAAAAUAUAUUAGAUUAGGAAAAGCGGUUACCUCAUCUGGAAUGGAACCUUCUAAUGAAUUUUCAGAUAUUCCCAAGUAUUCCAGCUGCGUUAGGUUUAGAAUUGACAAUGGAAUUUGUCCACUCAAUUGGUUCUGCGAGAAGUCUAAAUGAGUGAGUUGCAAGAGGUUCCCCAAUGAUCUUGGAAUUUGUCCACUCAAUUGGUUCCAUCCCAAGUCUAAAUGAGUGAGUUGCAAGAGGUUCCCCAAUGAUCUUGGAAUUUGUCCACUCAAUUGGUUAUGCGACAAGUCUAAAUGAGUGAGUUGGAACAGGUUCCCGAAUGAUCUUGGAAUUUGUCCACUCAAUUGGUUAUGCGACAAGUCUAAAUGAGUGAGUUGCAAGAGGUUCCCCAAUGAUCUUGGAGCCGGUCCUGAUAAGUUGGAAUAGGAGAGAUGUAAAAACUUCAAGGACACAAGAUUCCCCAUCGAGUCAGGCAAUCCUCCAAAAAUAUUUGUGACUGAAAUUAUCAAUUACUCCAAAGAUGAUAAAUUUGUGAUUGAGACAGACAAUCCUUGAAAGAAAGAAUUUCCUGAUAGAUCUAAGUACUUUAAGGCCUGUAGAUUAUCAACUGAAUCAAUGAAUUCUGUAGAGAAGGACAUGGAUGACAGAUCCAAAUGUUCAAGAUUGCUGCUCCGAUUGAACUUCAAAGCAUCAAGAUUGAGGUUUUGGUCGCCUCCCAAGUUGAGGAGAUUGAGGUUUGACAAAUCAAAAAUGUUUUUUGGGAAUUUUCCUUGCAAAUCACAACCACCAAGACUGAGAGACCUUAGAGAAGAGGAUAGAUUCAUGAAGACAUGAGCAUUAACAGAAGACAUGUUGAUUCCAUCAAAAAACAGAUGUCUGACCUCGGUUAGGUUGUGAACAAGUCCCUCCAGAGCUUGUUUGUCAAUUGUUUUUUCAUGAGCCCAACCGGAGAGAUCAAGUGAAACCAAUUUUGACAGGUGGGAGACUUGGGAUGGGGCUUCUCCUGCAAACCAUGUAUGAGAAAGGUUGAGGUAGAAUAGGCUUGUAAACCGACCGAACUCGGAUGGAAUUUUGGAAAGAUUAAAAUCAUUGUAGGC
rnacentral:lncRNA from 1 species